GCAAGGAAAAAGCAGACGACACCUCCUCUGCCGAUUCAAACCUACCUAACGACAUGUGGCAAUUGCAUGUAGACGGAGCAUCAAAUCAUAAAGGAUCAGGGGCAGGCGUCGUCAUAACCACCCCAGAUGGAACCUUGUUGGAACAAGCCAUCACACUAGGCUUUUCUGCUUCAAACAACGAGGCAGAAUAUGAGGCAUUGCUCGCAGGAUUGUGCCUAGCAAAAGAACUGACGAUCAAGAGAUUAGCCAUCUACUCAGACUCCCAACUGAUCACGAAUCAAGCCUCAGGCGAGUAUAUGGCAAAGCAUCCAAGAAUGAUCCAGUACCUCGACAAAGUCCAAGGACUUCUGAAAGAAUUUCCUACUUUCACCAUCCAACAAGUUCCACGGACAGAGAACACUCAUGCAGAUGCGUUGGCAAGCCUAGGAUCAUCACUGGACACCCAAUUCAGACGCUCCAUCCUAGUUGAACACCUUGACCGACCAAGCAUCGAAGAAAUAGAGCCAAUCGACUCAAUGCAGAUCGAUGAAGACCCCAGCUGGCAAGACCCCAUCAUCGACUACCUAGUGAAUGGAAAUCUGCCAACGGAUAAGUCCGAAGCUAGGAAGGUCCAACAGAAAGCCGCGAGAUAUUACAUGCAGGGCGACAAGCUCAUUCGCAGAUCAUACUCCGGCCCUCAUCUCACUUGCAUAAAGUACCCUCAAACACUUGAGGUCCUUUGCAAAAUUCAUGACGGCGAGUGUGGCAACCACUCUGGGGGCAGGUCACUCGCCCAGAAGGCUCUAAACGUAGGCUAUUUCUGGCCUACUAUGCGCCAUGACUCUACUGAAUAUGUCAAAAGAUGUGAUCGCUGCCAACGGUACAAACCAGUUCCUAGUCUGCCUGCCGAAAUCUACCAUCCGCAGAACAGUCCGUGGCCAUUCAUGCAAUGGGCCAUCGACUUGGUAGGCCCCAUGCCAACAGCACCUGCCAAGAAAGAAAUGAUGAUCGUCGCCACUGAUUACUUUACUAAAUGGAUCGAGGCCGAAACUCUAUCCUCUACUAAAGAAGAUGAUGUGGAACGAUUUAUCUGGAGAAAUAUUAUCUGCCGGUUUGGCUGCCCACAAUCACUAGUCACCGACAAUGGCUCGCAAUUCAUCGGCAAGCAGAUCACUGCCUUCUACAAAAAGUACGGCAUCAAGCAGCAUUUAUCUACCCCAAGAUAUCCUCAAGGCAACGGCCAGGCCGAGGCAUCCAAUAAAAUAAUAUUGGACUGUCUAAAGAAGAGAUUAGAAGGCGCCGAAGGAAAAUGGGUAGAUGAGCUCCCUGGCGUACUAUGGGCUUAUCGCACCACCAAGCGAAGAUCAACUGGCGAAACCCCGUUUUCCCUCGCCUAUGGAACUGAAGCGAUCAUUCCUCCUCACAUCACUGUCCCUUCUAUAGGCAUCGAAGUGGGCAGUAUUGAGCAGAACUCCGAGCAGAUGAGACUCAACCUUGACUUACUUGAAGGCGAGCGCGAGAAGGCCAUUGUCCGAGUCGCCUCCUAUCAACAGCGGUUGAAGUCUUACUACGACAAAAGAGCCAAGAUCAGACAAUUUCAACCAGGCGACCUUGUCCUAAGAAAGGCCUUCAUCACUGCACAAAGACAAGGAUCUAAAAAGAUGAAACCCAAUUGGGAAGGCCCUUACAUAAUCAGCCGGUCCGGGGGCAGAGGAAGCUAUACGCUUGACACCAUGGAAGGGAAGGAGAUUCCGCGACAAUGGAACGCCUACCAUCUCCAAAGAUAUUAUCCAUGACGCUUCCUGCUCAGUCCCCAGCAGACGACUGAGUACUGCACAUUUCUGAAAAAGAGAAGCAACUACUGCAAAUUCCAGAAUGUGCCACAACAAAAGACAGUUGCCCAUAAGGAGCGUCCUAAGGGAGACGCAGGGUGACGACAAAACGCGUCCGUUUGGAGACGUAGCCUGCUAAAAAAGCGUCCUAAGGGAGACGCAGGGUGCGCCAGGAAUUUCCUAAGGGACAUAUCCAGGUUCCUAUCCGUUUCCUAAGGGAGGCAGGAUAGUCACACAGUUGCCCAUAAGGAGCGUCCUAAGGGAGACGCAGGGUGACGACAAAACGCGUCCGUUUGGAGACGUAGCCCGCUAAAAAAGCGUCCUAAGGGAGACGCAGGGUGCGCCAGGAAUUUCCUAAGGGAGGUAUCCAGGUUCCUAUCCGUUUUCUAAGGGAGGCAGGAUAGUCACACAGUUGCCCAUAAGGAGCGUCCUAAGGGAGACGCAGGGUGACGACAAAACGCGUCCGUUUGGAGACGUGGCCCGCUAAAAAAGCGUCCUAAGGGAGACGCAGGGUGCGCCGGGAAUUUCUUAAAAGGGGGUCACCAUGCUCUCUGCGGGAAAUAUCCAGGUUCCUAUCCGUUUCUUAAGGGAGGCAGGAUAGUCAAAAAGUUGUCCAUAAAAAGCGUCCUUCGGGAGACGCAGGGCGACGACCAAAAGCGUCCUUCGGGAGACGCAGCCCACAAAGCAGCAUCCUAAGGGGGUUGCAGGGUGCGCCAGGAAUUUCCUAAGGGAGGUAUCCAGGUUCCUAUCCGUUUCCUAAGGGGGGCAGGAUAGUCAGACAGUUGUCCAUAAGCAGCGUCCUAAGGGAGACGCAGGGCAACGACCAGAAGCGUCUUAAAGCGUUUUCUGGAAAAAUGCAGAACACGCCCGGAGUCCCUCAAGGGGGACCCUGGCUUUUGCCGAAAUUCCAAGGAAAAUACACAGCAGGACACUAACCGGUUACUCAAGCAGUUUACAAGACAAUGUGCAAAUUGAAGUUGAAAAAAUAAAGACUGAAAUUUCCAUAGUAAAGCGACCAACCGGCCAAGUUCAAACAAAAAGAAGAUGGUCAAAACAAGACCAAUUAUUCUAAACAAAAAGCAGACUACAAAAGCUGAAAAGAAAUAAAGGAGUCUUCGUCUACUCCGAAAUGCCAGCAGGAGACCCCUGAUCUGCAGCCUCUUCAGCGUCCACCUGAUCAGCCACGCUCUCAGCAGCUCCACAUGCAUGAUCUAUGACGUCUGCCGCCGCCUCAUCAGCUGUAUCAUCCUCUGCUCCAUCUUCUUCAGCUACCGCGUCUUCAGCCACCUGCUCUUCAGCCCCUUCGGUGUUCGCAGCAUUAGCCUCCUCACCUUUCACAGGGGGCAAGUCAGGAUAGAGCGUUUCGAUGUCUUCAUCUCCAAUGGCAUAGAAGGGAUCAUAUCCAAUUGUGCAGUCCAAGUAGCCCAACUUGUACGCAUCCAUGACAGCAUCGGACUUGGAUUCUUCAGCAGACUUAUGAUAGGCGUGAAAUCUAGCCAAAAGCUUGUCAUAACUAUGAGAGAUGUCGACAUUCUUGCGCUCAAGGCGGAAAUAAGCAUCUUUUCGACUCGCCAAGUCAACAGCAGAAGAGCUCAGCUCGGAAUCUUUCUCAGUAAGGGAACUCUUCAGCUCAGAUAUCAUCGCCCGCAAAUCAGACGUCUUCUUCUCAUAACGAGUCUGCUCGGCAGAAAGCUUGCUAGCCAGCUCAGCAUUCUUCUUCUCCAACUCACUAAGCUGAGCAGAAGAGGGGGCAACAGCAGACGACGAGUUCCGGAUGGUCUCCGCAGCAAAAACCACUCCUUUUUGAAGCAGAUGAAAUGUUGCUUCUCUUUGUUUUUCCAAGGAAAGACUUGAAAAAGUACCGAGAUCACCAGCCUGACGGACUUCAUCAACCAGCUCAGCACAAGCGGAUGGACUUGAUAGAAAGUGCGUCUUGAGCAGAUCAGACACGCUUGCAUCCCCUGUAGGGCUAGGCUUGUCCACCUUUGGAUCAGCCGCUGAUGUCGCAGAAGAACUUUUUCCCCGAGCAGAUGACUCUCUUGCUUUCUUAGCCUCUGCCAACCUUACUUCCAAAGGAACUGACGAAGAUGAAUCGACUCCACCCUUGACUGCUUGUGAUUCAACAGUUGGAUCAUGAUGGUUGGAUGGAUGAGCAGACCUUGCACAUCGACCUCCACUCUUCGACUGGUGCCGACGACCCGAACUUCGGAGAGAAAAAUCAGCAUCUCUUGGCUUCUCAACAGGUGACCUGGACCGUGCACGAACUACGUCGCGGAGCAGAUCAUGAUCUCCAAACUCAUCAGCAAGAGGCUUAAGGGGAACAUCCCUAAUGUUGCGCAUACCACCAAUCUUCUUGCUAUCGGCACCAACAAGAUGUUUGACUCUGGCAGAUGACGCGGGAAUAGCUCCUACUUGGGUUUUCUCAGCAGAAGGGAACCUUGGCUUCUUCCUCAACGGAGACACAUUCCUCGCCCGCAAAGAAGUAGCUGGAGUUCUCGAAGACUUGACAUCGGCCUUCCUUUCUGGUGGGGGUUCAGCAAAGCACUCAUCCUGUUCAGCAGAUAGAUCAUCAGGGUCCGGACCAUUCUGCUUCCAUCUCUCGACAUCCUCGGCAGGGGGCAGACCACCAUCCUCCUCCACGCCCUUGCUUCAGGCCCAGCACGCAUAUGCUCCAGCCCAGGCCAUGUAGCACCAAGACCAGCAUGCACAUCAUGCUCCAUCUGAUCCCAGCAUCAAUUCCCCAGCUAUUUGGCAGCUAUCGCUCACGAAUUGCAACUCAUGCUGGACCAUCUCCGUGCUGCAAAAUAAAAAUAAAAAUAUAUAUAUACAUACAUAUAUAUUUUUAUAGGCUCGACUUACUUGGGAUGCACGGCAACUCCUCUCCUCAACAAGCAGUACAAAUUCUCCAAAAUCUUUCUCAAGCCAGAAGGUAGAGAAGUUAAGUUUGCGAUAUGAGAAAGAGUGAAGAGAAGCCCUGUAUUUAUACAGGUUGGACAACCCGGGUCAAGAAGGAAUCACAAACUCAUUCCUACUGGGAAUCCAACUCCAACAACAGUCAGAAGCCUACACCAAUUGGAAAUCCAAUCUGCGAAGGAGUCCAACUCACAUAAUAAAGCCCAGACACAGUUAGAGAGCCCGAAAAAAAUAAUUUCAUCUCCUACAUGCCACACAAGCGCCAUGCAGAAGCUGGGGGCAUUUGUGGGAGCAUAUAUUUUCGUCUCCAAUCAGGGCACGCCACGUGGAAAAGAAGAUUAUCUCUUUAAUUAAUUAAUUAAAUCAGUUUAUCUGGCUAAUUAAUUAAUUGGGAUAAAUAUCUUAAUUAAUAUGAUAUUAUCUUUAUUUAAAGAGAUAAUAUCAUUAAUUAAGAUAUUAUCACAAUAAAGAGAAGAUAAUAUCAUUUAAAUCAGAUAUUAUCUUCUUAAGAGAUAAUGUCUAUUUAAUUCAGAUAUUAUCAGGCCCAUUCCUACGAAACCCUAGCCCCGAGGCUCCUAUAAAUAGACGACCUCAUUCAUCAUUCAAGGUACAUCUAAACCUACAUCUAAACCUACAUCUAAACCUACUCCUUAUACACGAGAAAAAUACCCGAAGCUCUCUCUCUCCCUCUCCACUCUCCAUAUUUCCUCCUCACGGCUCCGGCCACCACACAUAAAACUCCGUACCCUUUGCUUAGCUAUUGUUUUCCUACAAACACUCGAACUAACUUAGGCAUCGGAGGGCCUUUGGCCAACACCCACUAACUUAGGCAUCGGAGGGCCUUUGGCCAACACCCCCCGGGUGUGGUCUAUUUACUCCAGUCUUUUUUACAGGAAUCGAGGAAGAGAGAGAAGGAAGAUCGAAGGUUGAAGGAUCUAGAAGCGAAUAUUCUCCCGUGAGAUUAUUUGCACAAACAUAUAUCAAGUAGUUUAUAUAUAUUUCUCUAGAAUUCUGCUGUUUAUUACCGCUGGGGGUGUGAUUUGGCACUGCGUAACGACAGCAGCUGGGUAUUUGGUGCGUUGAUCAACAAAAUGGGGGAGCCAUCACUUUUUGAUAAAAUGAUCAACCAUCUCCGUGCAACUUCCAAGUACGAGCUUUAGUAUUCUCUACUUCGCCUCUCAUUUCUCACUUCUGUCUGCAUUUUGUUGUCUGUCUAAGUCAUGCGUGCAAGGUGUUCGACAAAAUGCCUCAAAGAGGCCGAAGCUGAGGCCCAGGCCGGGCAGGGAGCCAAGGGCAACUAAGAAAAGUUGUUUUCUUUUUAUAGAAUCUUCAAUCUCGAUUGAGAUAAUGCCUGCAUUUCUUACUGUCUUUCCUAUAUUCAAUUACUACCAUUUGGUGUUGAUGAAUUGUAUCCAAAUUCUCUCUGUUGUUCCUGGGACAUUUCUUUUCUUCUUUAUAAAAUAUAAAUUCAAGUAUGUGGUAAUAUAUUGAAACCUUUGCUGUAGAUGGUAGUAUCUCUAUAAAAUUUCCUGAACUAAGUUAAAUUACCAUAUCCAUAUGAAAUUUUGAUUGAUGCAGUAGGAUUUAGGCAGUUCUUGAUUACGGGUUUUCCCUAGGAAGCCUCUUGUCUAAUCAACUUGACUUUGUUACGUUUGUACCACUCCAGUCUCCUUAUGUUUAUUGUCUGUGAUAUAAGGUAUUAUACUGGUUAUCCAAAGGAUCUUGGGCCAUCAAGGAUCAUCCAUUUUACAUCAGAACGUGAGUUUGUGCAGCUCCUUCACGAAGGCUAUCCCGUGGUUGUUGCAUUCACCCUCAGGUCAUCUAGAGUUGGUCUCCACCAUUUUUUAUUUUUUAUUCUAUUCCUUUACUCUUCAAUUGAAAGUCUAAAUGCUCGCUUUGGAUAAUGCAGGUGUAAUCUCACAAGGCAUCUUGAUAGCGUAUUGGAGGAAGCUGCAGCCGAGUUUCAUCCGCAUGUAAAAUUUAUGCGUGUAAGUUAUGUUUAAAUGAUGUCUUAACAAGCAUUAGUUAAGUUUUAGAAAAUAAAUACUACUGUCAAUUUCUAAUAAUAUAUCAUUUUGCUUAAAAUUAUGAAUGUUAAAAUAUGUUGAUGCACACUAGUAUGAUCCUUCUGCAAGCAUAUAUUAAGCAACAUAUAUGUGAAUUAAAAGCCAUGUCUUUACCCUUGGCACUAUAGCCCAUUUGCAUUAUUGGCAUUCUUCCUAAACAGGGAGGUCUUGUGUUUAAAGUGGCUAGCCCCUGUUGGUGCAGCUCAGCCACCCUUAAAAGAGCAAUGUCUUUGAUGAAUGCCUGAUUUCCUGAUUUUUGAGCCAACUUUCACAUAAUUUUAUGUUCAUCUUCCCUUAGAGCCCCCUAAUAUUCUAUGAUAUAAAUUUUUUUUCUUGCUCUGGCAUAUUUCAGGUUGAAUGCCCAAAAUAUCCUGGAUUCUGUAUUACGCGGCAGAGGAAGGAAUAUCCAUUUAUAGAAAUAUUUCAUAGUCCCCAACAAGUAAGACAGGAUCUUUUUCUUAUUCCAGUCAUGUUUUAACUGUAACCUGUGGAGCUUAUCAUAGUUGAAGUAGUUUGCAUUAUUUUUUAUGCGAACACCCGCACUUGAAAGAACCUACUACUUCUUAAUUUUGCUUGCACUUAGGAAAAUAUUUUCUGCAUUUUCUUUUCAACUAUUGUUGAUAAUGACUUUGACUGUCAGGCCUAAAGAUAGAAUCAGUUGUAGUGAGGCUUGGAUCCUUUACCUCUCUUACUCCAGUUAAAGCUUUAAAAUCCGGGUGGACAGUGGCUGCUGGGCAGCUCAUAUAUCAUGGUUUAUAUAGUUUCUGAGAAAGAAAAAGAAAAAAAAGGAAGAUAAUGGGAAAUGAAACAAUAUUUUCUCUCUCUCUUUUUUAUGUAUUUAUUUUGUUUUACAUUGAACUAGAAGCAAUUUGCCUUCAGCAUUUGAAACAAUUCUUGGUUUUUUCGAACAUUGAACUAGAAGCAAGUUGUCUUAGAAAUUUGAAACACUUCUUGGUUUUUUUGAACAUUGAACUAGAAGCAAGUUGCCUUAGAUUUUAAACAAUUCUUGGUGGAAUGUAAAAUGAUCAGAGUUGCGUGAUGACAUUUGGUUUUUCAUUGUAGUUUGUUAUGGUCAAUCUGCUUCAUCAUGUUACCAUUUUUAGGCUGAAUUUGUGCCCAGCAGGAAGAUUAGUGAAAUUAGUGAUUCUCUUUCCAUGACAUGCUUUGUAGACAGGCUGAUGGUUUUCUUUUGUCCUAGUUGAUAACUCCUUGAAAUUACGCCCCUUAGGCACUAUGCCACUGCUCAUCUUUUGGCUUAUUGAAAAUCUUUGUGGUGCAGACACUUAACCAGGGAAGGGUUGCUGAUCCAAAUAUUACAAAGUAUGCUGUGAAAGUUCUACCUGUAAGUUUCCAAGCUUGCUUGCAAAUUAUGAUGUUUAUUAUCCUAAGAGGUGGACCUUCUCUAUCAUAUUUUGACCUGAUUUGAUCACUCUAAUUUAGCGAGGUCCAUGAAUAGCCAUUUUCAUUCUUAUGUAUUCAUCCAGAGAUUCAGCAUCUUUUUUGUUCCCCCUCCUUUAUGGAAACUAUAGAUUCAGUGUCUGAGAAUUAUAAUUUCUCCAAACUAAUGUAUUGUCUGUUUUGUUGUAUCUGCACGUGUCCAGUUCAAUUACGACACUAGUGCCUAUGGAUUUAGAGAAUUUUUCAAGCGCCAUGGAAUACAGGUUUCAAAUCCACAGUGAAAUCUUGUGAGGAAUUUGUUCCAGUUUGCGAUUGAAUUAAAUUUGGUUUGUUGGAAGGUCAGAUUAUAAUUCUAUAUAAUGUAAGAGACCUGGGCCUAUUUGUAAUGGUUUGACAUCUUUGAACAAAGGCUAGUUUGUUCUAUUAUUCAACAAAUAUGUAAUGUCUGUUAGAUCUUCUCGUACCACAUGUAUUUGUCUCUUUGGGUUUGUUGCACAUUUUUUUUCUUUAUAAUUCCAUUCCGUUAGGUAGUUAAAAAAUAGUUUCAGUGUUAAUAGCAUGCUCAUAAAAUUAAAUGGAUAGUCUGGUUAUUUCUAACAAGAAAUCUCUAGCCUUAAUUCGACCUUUGGAGAGACACCUACUUAUGCUCAUCUCAUUACAUUAAACCUUGAAUCAUUACAUUGUCGUUUGAAUUGGUCAAGGCAGUGAGCCCGUACCCUUUGCACUCGAGUUCUAUCCCAUCCCCGUACAUUAGAGAAGUGUUUUGAAGGUGCUUGAUUGGUGCAUCCCAUUGACCUCAGUAUUAGGUCUCUUGAGCUUCCCUCGUUCUGGGCCUGCCCAUGUAGUUGUUUGCCUUUGGGCUCAAGGAACAUUCAUUCAGGUUAAACAUAAGGAAACAAAUUGAGAAGUCACAUUUGCGGUCAGCAAUUUUUUUCAUCAACUAAUCUACACAAAAAAAUAAUAAUAAUAAUAAUAAUAAUAAAUGAAAAUCUCCCUCUAGUAGAAUCCAGGAAAACACGUUUUUCUUUUGACCGAACCUUAAAGAAGAAUUGGAUCUAUUGUUUUAUGCAAGAAGAUUGUAGAUGUUUUGACCUUACGCUAAAUUUCCCAAUUCUUUUAUUUAGAGAAUGAUUUGGUAAGCUUGGCUUAAAAAGAAUUUCUUUCUAGGGAUGUGGAUGCGUUGAUGCUUCAUGUUGUUUGAAGCUCUAGACGUUUCUAUUGGCAACGACAAAUAAUUGCAGAAGUUUAGAAUAAAACAAAAGGUCUGAAAGAGCAUUGAAAGUGGUUUAGUUGAGAUGUUGAUUUUGCAACAAGACAACAAAUAGAAUAAAACAAUUUGACGUUAUCCAGAUUUCAUAUGAUCGAUUCAAUAUUAGGAGACUGACAUUUUGCUGGAUUUGGUGGCCUCAUAAGACGCAUUGCAUACCUAAAACGACAAUUUCUACACAAUGUAGUUGGGGAAGACAACUCCUUCCCGUCUCCUCUUUCAACAAUCAAAAGUUUUUUGUUUUGUUUUUGAUACAAACGAUAUUGGAGAAAGGGUAAUCGGACUUAGGACUUCGGAUGGAGGAGUAAAUGUUCUUAACUUAACGAUUUAAGCUACAAGCUCCUUGUUCAUAUGCAAUAUAUAAAAAGGGUGUUGUGGUAGGGACUUAUUCUAUGUACGACCAUCGGAUACGAAUAACUCUUUACAAUAAGACCAUCAUUCCACAAUAACUUUUUAAGCAGUCGUAUCGUGCACCACCUCGGGAUAUACAAUUCCUUCCAGUUUCAAGAUACCUCAAAUAACACUAUUUGAUCCAAAUAAUGUCCAAGCCUAUACAAAUUCACUUAAUGAGCUUCAAGAUAGACUUGAUCAUGCCUUAUAACUGAACUAUAAAGUUUUACCUAAAAAGGCCUCAAAAUUCUAACAAAAACAAGAAUGUUGUGAAAUAGACAGAAUGUGAGAGCACAACGAAAUAUGAGAGUGAAAGAUGCAAACAGAUGAAGAGAGUUUGCAUUCAAUAGCCUCCACAUUUGGUGUUGCGGGCCAUCCAUAUUUACAACAAAUUGCCAUGUUUUUCGUUUUUCACUCUCUAUGUCUCCGACUGUGACACCCGAUCCAAAUUUUAAUCAUUUAUUAAACUCAUUUAAAUUAUUUAAUUAUGAAAUUACAAUUUUAUAAUUUGGGAUAGGGUUAUUUUGGUUACUUUUUAAUCCGGUAGGAUUUUGGGGAAAUGAAUUGCACCGUUGCUUAGAGCACGUUGAUACGAGUGUUGAGUGAGUGAGUGACUAAUCCAGUGUUGAGUGAGUGAGAAAUUUUGUGUGUAAGCUUCGAAAUUUGGGUUGAUUGGGCGUACAAUUAAGGGCUAAGGUUUCAUUUUGGGGAUAUUUGAGUUUUUCAUCCUUUUGGCUUAUUGUGAUGGAAGAGUCUGACUUCCAUUGGGGUUGUGGUGCUCUUAAAUACAGUAAGUGAUUCUGCAUGUUUGAAAAUGGAUAAGUUGGUUUUGUUUUCAUCAGUGUGGUCCAUAUUAGCAAUUCCUUAUGCCUAGGUUUCUACACUAGCAAUUUCUUCCUAUAUCCUGCCCACACUACCAAUUCCUGUCCAUUUUCUAUCCAUUUCUACAUUACGCCCAUGUCAUCAAAAGCUUUUGAAGAGGAUAUAUAACAUUAUGCCCAUUUCCUGCCUAUUUUGACAUAUUCAGAUUCGUCCAUGAAGUCCGACGUUUGAUUUCCGACCCACACUCGUAGUAACAACGGUUGCAAUUUUUGUCUGUCGAACUCUCCGACAUUUUACCUUAGGGUGCGAUUUGGGAUACUCAGCACCCUUACGGUUGCUUCAUUUUGGGGAUUUCUCUUAUUGAGGGAUUAUUAAGCGAAGGAGACUCUUGGAACUGGAAAGGAUGCUUUUACCCCUUAUUUUGAUGGACAAAUUGACAAAGUUGGAUGAGAGGACCCAAUUAGAACUACUUCUCGAGUUAAAGGAUGUAAUUCCCAUUUCUCCAUUUAUGUUUUUCUAUAACAUUUUUUUCUUUUCUGUUCUUCGUCAAGCCAAUAUAGGUUUCAGUCGAACAAAUACCUGAAGAUAAAGCCUAACACGCUGAUGUUCCAUAUACCAAGCAAUUAGCAACAGUUGUUCCUUACAAUCAACAAUAACUACUUCUUUUCAUUGGGGUCUACCACACAUCAUGUGAUUUGAGAUCAAUCAAACUGGAAAUAAUUUAGUUAUUUAAUUAUCACCACAAACAUUUUAAUACUUUUAUUGAAAACAUUGUGCGCAAUCCGGUCAAAUAAUGGUAUUUGGAUAUUUAAGUAUGUUUAUUCAUCUCCUUGAGGAGGUAAACAUAAUUAGAUUACAGUGUGUAUAUAAUAAAAAUGAUAAUUAAUCCGUAAUAAGCAGAACAAGUCAAUCAUACAAAAUAAGAAUGUAAUCUCCUAAUUACCAACACAAUUCACGCAUACGCUUCUUCUCAAGUUGAUAUCUCGCAUACCCAACUUGUCAAAUAAGCUGUAAAACACUCCGCUAUGAAGAUUACCAUAUUAAGAAUAUCUGUGGGUUAUGGCUUAAUGGAAGUGUUAUGAGGAAUUAAUAUUGAUAAUAAGAGGAUGAAAGUUUGCUUCAAGGCAUGUAAUUUCACGCUAUCUUUCAAACUUUAAUUAAUCCCACAACUCGUAUGCAAAGGGAAAUGCAAUGAAGCCCGACCUAUAGCCUGUGUUUCUUUUCAAUGAGUUUCAUACCCGAGGACAAACCCCAAAUACACUUGCAAUUGACAAAGAUGCUCAAGAAUCCUCUUCUAUUUAUAGAGGAGUGUGUGUGUGUUUUUUUUUGAAUUCAUGCAUCUCUUGGAUUACAUAUCUUUAUCAAGAGGUACCACUUCAUGACACAUAUUUUGUGUAAGUAUGUGUCCUUUAGUUUAAAUUAAUGUAUCUGAAAUAUUACCCAGGUUCGUACAUGAAUUCAAGUGGUUUGGGAUCAAGACACCCCCUGCUAAAACUCAAAAGGUACGUGAAAAUUAUUUUUAGCGACAAACCGAUUUGGUCGUUUGUCACGACCGGCCAGUUGCUUUAUUUGAAUGAUCAAAUAUGAAACCCCUGUCUAUAUCCGACCAGUUGUUCAAUUGAUCGACCGGUAGUCUGCAUCUUUAUUUUGAAAAACCACCAAUAGAGCUCCGGUGGUGGUAGAUUGGUGUCAUUUUCCGUCCUUGAAUGGGAAUGGUACUAAUACUAAAUAAUGUGUACUUGAAAGUUAAAAUGACACAUUUCAUAAUAUGCCCUAGCUGAGCUGGGCACCAUUGAUAAAACCUUACUUUAUACAACUAGAAGUAUAUGGUAACGCAUGUGCAAUAACGUGGGAGCAUAUACGUCAUUGAGCCUGUCACAUUGAUUUGUUGCAAGCAUUAUCAUAACAUUAAUUAUAGUUAGAUAAGUGUGAGCUACUACAUACAUCUUAAACAUUAAAUUCAUCUAACGCCAUUUAAUUUAGUAUUAACGUUCACCACCAACUAAGGUAUAAUUAAGUUUUUUUUAAAAAAAAGAGAAAGUGAAAUGGAUAUAAAAAAAAAUUUGUAAAUGCCUAGCAAGCCCUUUGGUGUUCCUUUCUUUUUCUUGGUAUAUUGUUGUGUUAUUUGAAUAUUAUGAGAGGCGCAAAAACAAGAAGCCAUGUCUUAAUUUGGAACGUUAGUCGCAACAAGAGUUUUCAUUUCCUUUCAUGAACAGUGUGCCGAUGAAAGUGAAACAAAUGCGUCGGCAGCAGAACAAACAAAGCAGAACACGCUACGCUUUCCGUUUGGAUAGCAAUCCAAUGACCAACGAACAAUUAUUAACCGUAAUUAUUUAUUGUGAUUGGCUUCUUUUUAUUUUAUUUCCUUCUUCUUCUUCUUUUAAUUGGGAAAAUAAUAACAAAUUAAUCUCUCUUUUUAUAUAUUAAAAAAAAAAUCCUAAUAUUAGGAAAAACAAUUUGAGGUUUGUUUUUGUCUACUCAUAGUUUCCUGAAUUAACAUAACAAAAAUUAUUUAUUUAAACAAAUCACCACCAACUCCCCUUCUCGUUGUUCAAAACACCUAUAAAAACGCCUUUAUUUUUCCCCGUGACAGUCCAUCUCUCAGUUUCCGCCACUUCCUCUAUUUCUCUUCAUUCCAUCCUCUUUUACAAAACAAAACCAGCACCUCUCUCUCUCUCUCCACACCAUCUCUGCCUCUGCAAAAUCUAAAAUGGUAUGUAUCUCUCUCUCUCUCUCUCUGUUUUUCUCUGUUCCUCUCUUUAACACAGUGAGCCAGUGGCUCAAAUGGUAUUUAUUGGUAUUUAUCUAUUUUGGAAUGAUUUCCUAGUUGGUAUUUAUAUGCAUGUAUUUCUUGAUUGAUUUCAUAUUUCUGGGUGCCCAAUUGGGAGAAGUUCUUGCAGAUCAAAAAAUCAAACCCACUAAUGGGUUUGGUUUCCUCUUACUUAUUCUAAGUCACAGUACCUAUUUCAUCAUCUUCAUCAACCAUGGUAUUCAAAACAGUUUUCUAAAACUUCAGCUGUUUUCCCACUCAGGAAAAGCGGUAUUCAGAAGACAAAAAUCAGUUUUUGUUUUGAUUGCAGGCUUGCAGCAGAAGCUGCUAUUAAAUAUUUAAUUAUUAUAUCUGUUGGGCUGUUUCAUUGGAGCCUCAGCCAGCCUCUACUCCCAUUUGUUAAUUAUUAAUUAUAUAUAUUGUUUUGUUUUGGGUGCAAAGGGAAAUGGAAAUUGCUUUGGAAUGGUGGCAGGCAUGGCAUCUUUUUAUUUUCUUUCUCUUUCUUUUAAUGAUCAUUUCUUCAACGCUAAGUUAGCUUCUAUGCAAAUGUGGGUUAGGCCACUCGGCACUAUAGCGUGCUCGUUCCUUGCAUUCGAGUUUGAUCCUUUUGUUAUAUUAGAAUAAUUACAAUAGACAAAAAAAGAAAAAAAGAAAGAAGAAGAUAGCAUCUAUAACAUCCCCUGUUUCUAAAUUGGGCGAAUGCUAAGUUUCAAUUCAAUUCUUAUUUUUUAAUUUGAUGUGAUUUUUGCUCCUUUUUUUUUUUUUUUUUUUUUUUCUUUUCAAGUAAGCUACGCUUCUUCCUAUUAAAGUUCCGGUUAAAUUAGAAAAUGGUAUUCCCUAUAUUUUAAUAGAAAAAAAAAAAAAGACUUACUUCCCAAGCAACUUUGUGCUAGUUGUUGCAAACGUAGGGACAUAGUGCAACUUUAUUUAUUUAUUAUUAAUUUUGCAGUCAAACAUGAUACAAAACAGGAAGAAAAAAAUAAUUUCCGAUAAGAUUGAAUUAUCCUUUUGUAUUUUUUAACUUGAAUUAUCCUUGCCCAAGAUUUGAGAUUCUGUCUUUUUUGAAAUGGAAAUUUGUCAUUUGGCAAGGAAUCUCAAAUCUGAGGCCAAAAAUGGUCCCUUUUAAUUUUGUUUAUUUAAAUUUUGUUUAUUUGUUAUAAAUUUUAUAGUGUUCCUUUUGAAGUUUUGAAGUUGGAUUUGUGAGAAUAAUACCAAAUAUUGGGGAAUGAUUCGGUGCGGUGCAGGUCACGACGGAUGAGGAGGAGAAGACCGGAGUUAUUUUUUUGACGAAGCCAUUGUCAUUAGAUGGGGAUUCGGAGGUUGAUUAUAGAGCUCCUAAUCUAAUUAAGCGCGUCCUAAGUCUGUUUAAAAAUGUACGGCCAGGAUCAGAUCUCUCUCGUUUCCAGGCAAGUCUAGUGCUUCUUCUUUCAUAACCUUAGCUUUUAUCAUUUCUGUCGCAUCCUCAAAUUACAUUUUACAAACCUCAUCUUAGGCAAGGAUAGGACUCACUGGACCUACUGCUGUGGUAGGUCCCAUCUUUGUCGAAAAAUUAGAAAAAUUAUUAUACGGUAUUGAAAUAUGGUCACGUUAUAUAAGACGGUAUGGAUAAUAUUUUCAAUUUUAUACAACGUAGUCGUAUUUCAAUAUCAUAUUAUAAUUUUUUUAAAUCAAUGUAUUCGAAAAAAUUGUGGUUCAAAAGCAUCAGUUUCGAUCUCCUGAACUACAGGGAUCUAAGAGAUUUGUGGUCACUUACCGUUGGAUGUAAAUUCGACGGUUCACUCACUCUUGCACUCAUUUUAAGAAAUUUUUUUGAACUAUUGAAUUAAUAUCCAAUAAUAAAUGACCAUAAUCUAUUAGACUCUUAUGAUCCAAAAAAUCAGAACUGUAAAAAGCAUUACUCCAUACUUUUACAUUUUUGGGAGUUUCUUUUAUUUCCAUACUUUUAUAUGUUGACACCUGGUUUUUUAUGAAUAUCUGUGGUCAUUACAUAAAAAGACAAAAUGAACUAUCAUGCAUCAGCCGGCCGUACACAAAGCUUUUGUUUUUAUCGUCCAGUCCGGUCCUACUAUACGAGUGCUACUGUGAUUCACUUGUGUUUGGGAGUGCAUCCGAAAUGCUUUUGGUAGUGUUCGGCGGAAAGUCUUAUUAGUGCUUCUGCGUUACGAAAGUGCUUUUUAGAGAAGCACGUAGCAUGUGCUUUUUUAGGAAUUAUAUUUUUAAUAAAAAUUCUAACGCUUUUCUAGUAGAUGUAUUUCUAAAAAAAAUUGUUUAUGAGUAGAAGUGCUUUCUACAGAAGUAGUCCCAAAAGGAUUUCUGAAACAGGAUCACUUAUACAAAUGCUUUUUAUGACAUUUUACCUGUGAAAAUUAAUACAUUAAUACAAAAGGUAGUCCCAAUUAAAAAAUUUCCGUGUGGACGGACCAGAAUAAUUUUUCAAAAAGAUGUUUUUAUUUUUAUUUUCUACAAUGAAACUCCCAGGAUGAGUUUUCAACAUUUUCUAUAAAUUUUUAUGAGAAAUUCAUCUCUAAAAUAAAAUUACCUUAAAAACAAUGAUCUGCUUCCCAGUACACGUUCGAAUUCAGCAUGCUGCACAUAUGCAAUUAUAAACGGAAUAUUGUUGACAAUUGUUUUCAAUCGCCAACUAACAUAGGAAUUCCUGUAAUAUUUACAACAACUAAUUUAGAAUAAUCUUUCAAUUUGAAUUGCUUUGAAGCAAUCGAAACAAGCCACGUGGUGUAUCAGAUACAUACAAUAAUUUCUCCAACCGAGGGCCUUAAUAAAUUCCUAGGCGCAGUGUUAAGGAGAUCCAAGUAAAGAAACACAACUUUGGAAAGUCCUAAACCAAUUUUAUGUUCUCUUUGCUGUAUGGAACAAAACAACCUUGACAUAAAAAAACUAUAUAUGCAUACAAUUCUCUUCAAUCUUGCGUGUGCUUGCAUACAAUUUACAAAGAAUAACAUAUUUGCAUUUGUGAAUCUUCUUACAGUUCUGUUGAAAAACGAAAUAUCACACAGUAGUGUAGUCUUGAUUGUAUUUGGUGGUCAAUGGUAAUUGAUCUUGUUACUUGUUUUGCAAGUUCAGCUGUCACCUCUUUUUAACUUACCGAAGUCACACCUCCAGUGUUUCGGUGAAUCGGUGUAUUGCGUUGGUAAUGAUCUGUUAGGGAGGUGCAACAAAGGGGAAAGUCCCCAAGAGAGGUUCACAGCCGUCGUAUCAUGGAGCAUUUCUAUUUUGCGUCCUAUGAUCUUCGGAAUUGCUCCUUACAACCCCAUUCUUGGAGAAACUCAUCAUGUUUCAAGGGGGAAUCUCAAUGUUCUACUUGAGCAGGUACUUGUAUUUGUGUUUUCUGCUAAACCUUUGCUCGAAAAUGGUUGUCUUAUGAUUAUCUUAGCCUCCAAUUUAUGCUGCCAUGCUGGCCAAACUUGAACAUGAUCUCACUACUACCUGGCGAGUGGCGAGUUGGUGGAUCUUUUAUGCAUACAUUGCCUAAUGUGGUUGUUUUUUGGGUUGCAUACUUGCAGGUUUCACAUCACCCACCAGUUACUGCCCUUCAUGGAACUGAUGAAAAAGAAAACCUUGAAAUGAUAUGGUGUCAACAUCCUACUCCCCAAUUCUAUGGUACUCUACUUCUUACUUUUCAUAAUAACGAUUAAUCUAAUGGAAGAAAUACUGGUUUGCUGGUUACUAUAGCCGUUACAUAUUUAACAAACAAAAUGUAAAAUGUUACUAUAAAAAAGAUUGUAAAGCUUGAACCUUGGUUAAUUUUUUUGAACUGCGAAAAAAAGAAAACAAAUAGCUUUUACUCACAAUCAUCCAGAUUGUUUAUUUGUUUGUUUUUAUUUGAGAAAAAAUAGCAGUCACCAAUCAUAUGCAUCAAGUCUUUCCUCUCUGUCUCCAGUCUUGUUUUUGCGAUCUUUGUCGGAAAAUGAAAGUCAGAGAUCCUUCAAACACCUGAAAUUUUGUCAUAUCUAAGAAAUUUUAACCUUUUGACUCUAAUCCGCCAUCCAAUCUACAUAAGCAUUUGCUUUGCUAUUUCAUUAGUGUUGCAUUAUCUACCAAUCCUGACUGAUGGUUAACAUAGCAGUUAUCUGCCAGAGCCAGAUAAAAAUAAUUCGAAGACUUCAAUGUAGUAGACCUCUUACAAGGAACCUGUACUCUGUACCAAGUUCUUAGUUAAUGCUGACUGUUUAGAGACAGUUUCAAUGCUGCUGCUGCUGCUGCUUCUGAUGUUCCUAUAUCUUCCUUUUCCUUUCUGAUACUCUUUUGAAAAUGUGCUUCUCUUAUCUUGACUGUACAGUUCAGAUGAAAGUGCUAAUUGAUUUGAUCUGAAAACUAUUCUUAGGAACAAUACCUCAAAACAACAAAAUUUCAGUGUGAAAACCAGAGUAGAGGAUGUGAUUUCAGUUUCUAACUGUAAGAUUAACCGCACUAUCGAUCCGAAAGGUUCCUUUUAUCUUUGGCCCUCGACAUGUUAUUAGCCUUUAUAUAUUACUAUUAUCAGGUUUUCUGUGUUUUCAAGUCACUCUAAUCCUUUACUUUAAUACUCAUUAGAAGCUCAAAAUUCAUUUACUUUAAUGUUUGCAGGCUGUGUAUAUAUUCACUAGUUAAGAACUUCAAACUCACCAACAAUAUCAAAGAUUUCAUUCUUUUCAUAACUUUCACGCACUUUAAGUUCCUCCCUUUAAAUCUUCUACUGGGUUUAAAUGCCAUAUUUCUUAUCAAGAACCAUGCUGCAGGUACUUCAGUGGAAACCGAGGUGCAUGGAAAAAGGCAACUGAAGCUCCUGAAUCACCGAGAAACAUAUGAAAUGAACUCUCCGAAACUCUUGAUCAAAUUCUUGCCAUUACCUUGGGUUGAUUGGGUUGGUGAAAACAGAAUCCAGUGUCAUGAGACUGGCCUUGAAGCUGAGUUAUAUUAUGGAAGCAGCUCCUUUUUUGGGCUUAGGGGAAAUCCCAGAACAGUUAAGGGAAAGAUCUUUGACUCAACAUCGUUCGAGCUUCUUUAUGAGAUAGAUGGUCAGUGGGAUAGGUAAUUCAAGGGUCCAUGAAAGGAUUAUCUUCUUCUUCUUUAGACUGCUGCUAUGUGCAUAAAGAUUAACAGUGGUUUGAUUUCAUACAUUUGAAAAAGCAACAAAAAGAAAAAACGAAACCAUUGAUUACUUACAAGUUAGACCUUGAUGCUACAGGUACAAGGUUUCUUAACAAUCUUUAACAAAUAACAAGUAAAAUGGUUCUCUCAUAUUGUCUAACAACUUUUCUCCUGACCAUAUUCAUGUUUAGCCUUGAAAAAUUCUGUUGACGUUUCACACAUCCAUGUCUGUCUUGUUAUAAUGCUGCAUCCUAUAUUUCAUUGCAGAACUGUAAAAAUGAAGGACGUCAAUAGCGGGAAAGAAACAGUUAUAUACAAUGCGAAAGAAGCCAUUUCAGGACUGAAAGCUCCUAUGGUAACGGAUCAGAAGGUAACUAAUUUCUACCUCGAUCUCCAAAUCCUUUAACUUGCAUUUCAUUAAGUCAGUAUGCCCUACAGACACUAAUUUCUUCUUCAAAUUCAAACUGCACAUUGAUUUCUCUUCAUGCAUAUAAAGUCUUUGCAAUUUAUGUGGAGAAUUCUUUUCCAUUUUUGUUCUUCUAUCCCAACAUUCUUCAUGCUUUCCCUUGCUUCUUGGGAUCUUGAAGUUUCUCAUACUUAUGAAUGAUUAUAUGCAAUUAUACAAAAAUUAUGUAAAGAAUUCAUUGAACUUAAUUUAGAGAAAGUACUUUUUAUAUAGAAAAAAAAAAAAGUGAAAGGAGAUUCAUCUUCUAUGUUUAUGUUAUCAAUUACCUAUGAUGUAAUUUAUUUAAUUUGAAUUAGGGAGUGUGGCCAAGUGAAUCAGCUUUAAUUUGGGGCAUUCUGAGCCAAGCUAUUCUUGGGAAAGACUGGAGCAACGCAAGAGAAGCAAAGAAAGCUGUUGAGGAAAAACAGAGGGAGCUCUUGAGAGAAAGAGAAUCAAGAGGGGAAACUUGGGUUCCUAACCAUUUUACUGUGACACAUAGCAAAGAAGGUGGGUGGGAUUGCUCACCUAUUCAAAAGUGGGUCCCUUCAGCUCCUAUAUCUGUACCCUUAUAAUUAAUUUGCAUCUAUAACUCUGUCUCUCCAAAUUUAUAUAUGUUUUGGGUUAUAUGAUGUUGCUGUAACUGUUAUGUUAGUAGCUAGACCAACCUACCAGUAAUGGUUAAAUGUUCUUGCGUCUUGGUUGAGAAUUCAGAGUUACCAAAUACAAGUAGAUGAAGAAAUCCACCAAACUGCUUUUGUUGAAAAAAAUGUCUUAAACUUGUGGUGGCUGCAGUUAUGAUACUAGUUGAAAGUCCAGAAUAAACACAGCCAUUUAUUCUGUCUCCUACUUCCACCAGAAAGAAAAACUUACCUAUACCGGGGAUACCACUAUGGCGCUAUCCCAAGCCAAUUACUUAUUGCCAUCCAUUUUAUUUUUCCAACAAUGCGUGAUAGGCUUGGGAUACCACUACCGUAGCAUCCCACCGUUACAUGUAAGUUGUUCUCAUGCUUCCAUGAAAAGAAUUAAAUGAGUUUCCAAACUUUGGUGCCAUUUUAAAGAAAAUGCAGACCUUUUAAGAAGUUGUCACUUUCAACUUGCCAAUCUUAAAAUGUUUUAAUUUAUUGGCAGUGGACUUAAUGGGAUCCAUUGCUGUGCCAUGUACUGUAUGUGCUGGUACUGUUUUCAACUGAGAAACAUGGCAACAAAAAACAUAAACAUGUACCCAGUUGAAUAGUUUCCUUGAAAGGGAAAUGACCCCUAAUAAUGACAAAGGCCAUAGACCAUGUGUAUUGACUUUAAUAAUCUGAAGAAGUGUAAUUUCAGAACAAUGAUAAGGACUGAACCAAAUAUGAGACAUGCAUAGCAGCAUAAGGUGGAUUCAAUUCUGGAAUUUUCCUUUUGGAUCCAACUAAAUAAAAUUAGCACUGCAAAAGUUUGUAGUUUUUUUUAUACUGUGAUUUGUAACUUAUCUUCUCCAACAAACCAAAUGAAAACUUGCAAAUUCAAAGGAAAAUUUCUGAUGAGAAAAUUGUCAGAAGAAUCAUUGAUAUCUCAGGUUGGGAUGUUUCUUAUAUCACUCUUGGGCAAGAAGGAAACCAAAACCAAAACAAAAACAAAAGAAGAGAGAGAGAAGAAUGACCAGAAAUUCAUUUGAUUCACUUCAAAGUUAGAUGUCAGCUCACAAUGUAAUAACAGAAUUGAAAGAUUCAAAGUGGGGAAAAGAAGAUCAAUAUCUGAUGAUCUUCAGUUGCCAUCAUCUGCUGAUAUUUCCAAACCAGAAAAACUAAAAUCAACAGAGUUUUCCAUUUCAUUUUCCCACAAGAAAAUCCCCAUUACAUCCAUCCCAAUAUCCUCUAGCAAUAUCUACCACAAAAAAAAACCAAGCAUAGAGUUUUCUGUUUCUCUCUCUCUCUCUCUCUCUCUCUCUCUCUCUCUCUCUCUCUCUCUCUCUCUCUCUCUCUCCACUACAACAUAUACUACUGUACCUGAUCAAAUUCAAACCCAAUCUAUUUCACAGCCUCCACAUGCAUCUCUUGUAAAUCUGAUUCAGUCCUCCUGUUAAAUGAUUUCUCAGUAAUUGUAUCCAAAAGUGGCUUCCAUGACCUAGCUCUACAAGACCUUUGAGAGCCAUAAUCCAUCAGAGAGCCCAUGUUUUCCUGCUCCAUAGAAAACCUGCUAGGACUUCUACCUGGUGAAGAUGAUGAGCUCCACACAGGGCUUGAGCAAAACUGGCCCAUCAUCAAAGGACUAGAAGGAGCCAAAGGAGAAGAAUGAGAAGAAUUAUUGUUAGCCUCACAUGAAGACCUCCUGCUUUUUGCUGCUGCUGCAGUGAGCUUUCUGGAUAUGGAGGCCCAGUCCAGAGGAGAAACAUCACUCUGCAAUGCUGAGUAUGGAAGCAGAAAAUAGACCUGCCCUGGUUGCAGCAGGGUGUCCUGUUUUAAUGGCUUGGACCCAGUAGAGAGAAGCUGAGCUGGGGUGCAGACAAAGUGCUUUGCGGGCUUCCCUGUGACUUGACCUACAGAAAUUGGAUGCUCAUAGUCCUCCACAUAGCCAUUUAGAUGAACCACUCUCACAUUUUGAAGUGCAGGUUUUGGUUUGCAAGAAAAGCAAGCACCCAUCUUUUUGUGUUUAGAGAUGCAGAGAAGAAAGAGAGGGACCUUGAGUUUGAUACAUAUAUAUAUAAUGGGGAUUUAAAGAAGAGUAUAUAUAUGACUAAUGGGGAUUUAAAGAAGGGAAGACUUUUGGUUGUUUUUCGGCUUUAAAUUGGCAGCUUUUAGCAGCCCAACUGCAAAUUGGAUUUUAUUGAAAAAAUCUAGUGGGGGUGUACAAAUUGUAUUAUAAUCUUGCACAGUGGAAUGUUUCAAUUGGAUGGGGAAAUUACAUUAUUUUAAGUCAUCCACAUUGAUUUUUAACCCAACCGUGAGGAAGGGGCAACCAGCUCCCUACCGUGAGUUAUGGACCAUAUUUCAUUUUACUGGUACAAACGCUAGCUUUCACAUACAUACCCCCCCUAACAGUCAAGAAAAUUGGUAAAUUUACUGACCAAAUCAAAGGAAUUUUGGUUUUCCUGGAAGAUUUUCAGUUUUGAAAUUGAAAACUCUUCACUGCAGUCAAAUAAACUUCGAUUUCACAACCAAAAUCCCUUUGAGUCAAAUUCAAAGACUUCAAUUUGAUCUUUUAACAUUGAAAAUUUAAGAACAGUCUCACUAAAUCGAUUUGAGUUUGAUAUAAAAAGUUUUCAAUUUUAAAAAAUCAAUAAAUAUGACUUCUUCCCUAAAAGACUUCAAUCUGAUCCACAGAUUUGCACAUUUAUGGACCUCAUGCUUGGGAUAAUUCGAUGUGUGUGUGAGUUUUUGCUUUUGUAAUUCACGAUUAUUUGUGGUAGAUCCAUUGACUGAGUUGUUGACCCAGUCAACCAAAUGGAAAUCAUUGUCACCUGGUAUUCCAUGUAACUUUUGGUUGGGUCAUUGAAAGUUUCAAGAAGAGUUGUUUUUUUCUGAUGACACAUGUGACUUCCUUUUGAAAGUUACCAUCUUAAUCUGUAGCCGUGGGGCAUGGGCAUUGGCAGCCUAAAUCUUCCCAUUGACCAUGGAGGAAAGAGAGAGAGAAAAAUUGUAUAGAAUUAUAGUGGAGCAUUUGCCUUGAUUAGGAAUUUAGAAUUUAGAAUUUAGAAGGACCCCAUUUGCUUCUAUAUCUGCAUAAUGCGACGUGUUGCACACUCUCAUUUGACGUCACAUAAUUAAAGAUUAACUUGAUUAUUUUCCCCUAAUUAAUCAAACAAGCAUCAUUUACUUGAAAAGUCGGUGGAGCUGUCACGUCCAACUGGACUAGCACUACACGAAAAGAGAUUGGAUGAUCCAUAAACUCAUUUCUUAAUGUUGAAGAGGAGGACUUGCCACUAAACCCAAAGGUUCCAAAUUAACACAAUUAUUGGGAAAUAAUCUUUUUAUUAUUAUUAUUAAAAAAGCAGUUUAUGGACCAACGUGUCUACGGCAAAAAUUACUCCUCAAGAAAUUAUUCCACUAGCACUCUAAACCUGGGAAGUGGAGCUAUAAUUAAAAUAAAAAAACAUGUUUUUCCAAUUUUCUAUUCAUGAACACACAUAAAUGAAAUCAUGACAUUUAUGGGACUUCAUGGUCAAAACCUGCCAAGACAAACAUGUUCUAUGCCUUAUCCCUCACUACUAUGCCCAUGAUGAAGUGAUUGCGGAUCAUAAUGAAAAUCAUAGAACCUGGAAUUUAAAGCCGAAGACUCGAACUCCUAUAAAGGCCAAUUAAUCCAUCAACACAGAAGGAAAAAAGGCCAAUAUUAUUCUAAAUUCUACUGCAAUCUUCUUGUGUUCCUACUGACUUACGCGUCAAAGUAUUUUCUUGCAUGUACCUCCGUCCUCCCUCAUUGAUGGCAAGCGAAGACAGUGACAUGCUUCUCAACAUUGAUUACUUGUUGGAGGUCAUGAAAUUUUACGCUCCAACAAAUGUUCUUUCACAGAGUGCACGAAGAGAGGGAACUCAGACUUUUUUUGGGGUUGUGAAAAUUUGGGAAGAGAGAGAAAACACUAAGUGACAUUUUUCUGAAAACGUAUUUUAGAUGUACAAGGGUUCUUUCUUGACAAUUAUCGUGCCGUUUAAAAUCAACCCAACAGAAGUUACUUUUUAUAGUGCAUCUCCCUUCUAUCAUGAUCAAUGGUGAUAGAACACCCGUGGUGCUUUAAAACACCACGAUAAUUUUUAGAUGUUACGUCGUAUAAUUAUUAUUAUACUUUUACAUUGUUGUAGUAGUGUUUAGUGAUGAAAAGAGAUCCACGUGUGAGGGGAGUUUUACAAUAUAAAAUAAUUAGUGACUUGCAUCAGAUCAGAAACCAAGAUAUAAGGUUCAAUUUCAAACCAACCUUUUCUUGAUGUUGAUAAGGUCAUGUUGUGCUUUCCAUCUAUGAAGUGGCGCAAUUUCUUUGAUAUCAUAGUUUUAACUCAAAUUUCGUUCAACUGCCAAUUGGGAUAAUGUCACAAGUAAUUCUUUUUAAAUUAGGGUUGCACUGUGAUUAAUUUUCUGAAAUAGUCAAAAUAAUUGCAUUGUAGAUUGUGACUGAUUAUGGUUUGAGUGUCAGAUGGUGGGAGUCCCCUUGAGUGAUUGUAUGGGGCAACAUGUUGGUGAGACUUGAGUGGUUGAGUGAGUAUGAUAAAUGAUGACUUGGAAAAUAGGGCUGACUCCGCGCAUUUAUGAGUGAUUGUUAAUAGUUGAAAAAUUAUGAAUUUAAUGAUUUGCCAACCAUUAGCAUAUAUCAAAUAAGAAAGGAAGAAAUAAACGUUGGAAACACUUUGUGGUCAGGAGUAAGCCGAAUCCUGAGCGGGGAUUAAUCCCAUUCUUCGGAUGGUAGGGACACCUAGUGAUAUUUACCAAAAAAAAAACAAGAAAGGAAGAAGUAAAGACAUCUCAUUAUCAUCUGAGCAUCACAAAACUGAUCCAACUAAGUUGUUCGGAUUCGUUAAGCAAAACAGUUGCUGGCCAAAGUAAGAGUUUUGAUCACUUAUUUUCUCAUGGUUCAGUUUAGAUUGCUUGCUUUUCUGCAACUUUUUACUUGCACUCAAGGCUCAAAGGAAAAAAACAGGCAACAAAAGACGACCAAACAAAGCCAACUCAUAAAAACAACCAAACACAUAGAAGAAAACACAACCAAAGCCCAUAUUCCUAUGGGCCGAGUAAUAUUUGGUAUUCCUAUAUCUAGAAGCUGCAAAUGUCUUCCUAUCUGCUUCUUGUAUUGGAGACAUUCACAUAUUUCAUAUGCCUUUUUACGAUCAUUUUACCAGACAUUUGCUUCAUAAAAGUUUAUAUUUGCUUCAAAUGGCUUAUUCUUUUACUGUAGUUAGCAUUUCAGGGAAGAAUUAUGCACUUGUUCUCAUGCUAAUCUUGUAUGAAUCCCAAGAGAGCCAAUUGACAAUCUACGAAACUAAUGCCUGUUUCGAAAUUUCAAAUGCAUCAGCAAAAACAUAUUGAGCGAAAAAAGCUGCCUUAUAAUAAAAAGUUCAAUUCUUUACAAAGCUGCACAUACGCUUUUACCUCCGGGUUUCUUCUUCUUCUUCUAUUUUUAGUUUUCUAUUUGUUUGUUGCGAGAGCUCCUAUACAGGCUCUAUCUUUUAUCGCUUACCUUUAAAUUUGUUUGCAAUAGCUCCGAUCCAGGCUUUAUCUUUAUCACUAUAUGCAUACCUCAUGCUUGAAGCCAACAUGACAAAUCCUUCACUUUUUUGAAUCUCAUUGUCACUUGAGGGCAGAACUUGCACAAUUGGUUGUACAAGGAGAGAACGAGUCCCUUGUGGUAGCAUCUCCCAAAGUCCAGAAUCUGAAACAGAGACAAUCAAAAAUUUCAUACUAUUCCAAGUAAAGGCAAUCAUUUUCAGAAACAGAGCUGAAGACAUCAAGUUAUAGCUACCUUCAAUCUGAGAAAGGUAUAGGGUUUCCUUCACGUCAGAAAGACCAAUGCUUUCAAUCUGUUUCUCAAACCAAGCAAGUACAUUGGUUUUUGAUACAUCAUCUGGUAUGUUCCAGUAGCCGCGCACACAUAAUUCAUUUCGAAUUGAUAUUAUCUGAAAUAUUAGCAACAACCACUUUUGAAAAGCUUAUAACAAAAUAUCCAAAAUAUAAGAACAUAACUUCUUUUUUUCAAUUGGAUUCUGACCUAACAAAACAAAAUUUGCAUUGUCAUCCAAAUUAAAAUGGAUUUUUCUUCUCACUCUCAUCGCCAGCAAAAAAUUUCAACUGUCUAGUGCCAAUAUGUAAUAAAAACCUGCUAGUACCACGGCUAUGGUGUUUGUAUUGCGCAACAAGAUGUACGUAGCCCAAGCCAAGUCCUCCUUCUGAGUAUUUGAGACAUUUUGUGAUAUCACAAAUAUUUGCUCACACCCUCGUGGGAUGCUAGUUUGAUCCAUUGGAGUAGCACCCUGCAAUAUAAUUCCACAUAAUCAGGCUUACAAAAAUGCUGAGCAGACAGUUAUACCUGCCUGCCACCCUAUCUAAUAUCAAUGUCAUUGACAGUGAAGGGUUCUUGGUAGUUUAUAUUUUUUGCACCACAGAAGAGGCUUACAAUUCAAACUUCACCUUCAUGGGGUCACGAAUUUAAGCUGCACUUUGCAUUUUUAUGAGUUUUUUCAGAUUGAAAAACAAUGCCAUUGACUCUAAUUAAUCUAUUGGAGUUUUUUAAGUGCCUUGAAAAUUACCUUGAGAAAUCUUCCCAGAUAGGGAAGUGCUAUGGAAAAUGCAGCCAAAGAUAGACCCAAAGCCUCUGUUCUCUAAUUGAGAAAGCAGAAAACCAAACGAACCCACAAAAAUUAACACAAAGCCAACAAGAAGUGAAGCAAAUAUAACACAGUAGAAGAUGGUUUUGGUCGCUUACAAGCUGAGCCGGGGUUGUGCUGGCGGGUGAAAUGGAACCAGCAAAAUGGUUCAAAAUCAAAAGCGAACCAAACCCAUAUCCAAUCCAUCUGGGUAAGUAGGAUUCGUCAAGCCCAGGUAUUCCUGCACCGUCCAAUAACCCAUCAUUCAAAAUCUCAAUCUCAGAGAGAGAGAGAGAGAGAGAGAGAGAUACCUAGUGUGAAGCGGAGGACGGAGAGAUUGAGUUGUGGUUCUGCUGAGCUGCUUUUGGAAUUGUCAAGACGAGCUGAGACUGCUGAGAAAUUCGUGCGGCAAUUUCUGGCGCGAAAUUUGGGUGGGAUUUUCAACUGAAUUAACGAAUUUGGGGACAGACCAAGGCUUCUGUUACUCAUAUUUUUGUUCUUUUUUUUUCUUCCAAUUUCUGGGGUUUGGGAGGAGCUGGGAAAACAGUGGGAAAUGGUGGUGGUGGGAUAAAAUGUAACUUUGAAGAGCGAGUCUACGGCCCUAGCUGGCUGUUACCCAAGUUGAGAUUGGGCCUAACUUUAAAAAUUUAGAGAUUUCGUCUCACAAAAAAAAAAAAAAAAAAAAGAAAUUUCCGAUUCUAUCCCAUGUUUCAUACAUAUUUCUUUUUAUCUCUAUCAUUACAUAACUCAUGUCACACGUGUUGUAAUCAUAUAUUUAUGAGUUGUGCGGCUACUGUUCACUGCAAAAAUUACAAAGUAAAAAAAAUUUCAAAGUGUAUUUAUAUGUUGCAUGUGUCAUGAUUCAUGAAGCUAAAAAAAAUUUCACACCAAAUCCUACAUUUUUCCUCCUCAAAAUUAUCAACUAUUAAGAAAUUUAGAAGGUAAGACAUAUCCUUCUAAAAGGAAUUAGAUGGAUAGGUACUGGUCAAAAUAUUUAUUUUUGGACUUCUAAUUGAGUCUAUAGUUUUUCUUGAGUUAAUAUCGUACCGAUUCGAUUCGUUCAAUCAAUUUAAACAUAUACAAAUCUAUGAUAUAUUAAAUAAAAAUCAUUCAACUCAGUGUACUAAUUUCACAAAUGAAUAAAAUUGUCAUGUGUGUGACGAAACUAGUUUGUAAAUAAAAAUCAUUCAGCUCAGUGUAGUAAUUUUGCAAAUGAGUAUAAAUAUAAUUUUACUAAAGGAAAAUUUUGAUGGGUGUUGAGGGAGAAAAACUUAGUUAUAAGGGGAAUAACACUAUUUUGCUAUCUCCAGUCCAUAAUGCUCUAUCACAUAGAAGUGUUAUCACGCAUAUCAUAGCGUUAUUGAUUAAAAAUAACAAAAUAAUACUAGUGUGGAAGUCUUUCACGAGAACAUGAAUUGGGUGUAAUGAAAAAGGAAAUGCCAUUUUGGCCCAAAGACAGACCGUACCAAUGCCUGCCCUGGCAUAUUCACCUGAUGAAUUAUACCAACGCCUGCACAUUUGGUCUGCGUUUAAAAAGAAACUCCCACUCAACAUUUGAGGGGAGUAGCAGAAGCAGCAGCCACAACGUUCCCCAAAUUUAAAAAAAAAUCCACUAAACUAUGAUAAUGUUGUUAUCUACUCUCUUCCACACUAAACUCAGCCGAUGCUUCUCUUCUUCUUCUUCGUCGUCUUCUUCUUCUUAUCGUAACAGUCUUCCCGAACUCCCACCUAUUCAAACUUUACUCAAAAGCGGCUUCACUCCCACACUCAAAUCCAUCAUCCAAUUCCUUCUCUUCCUUUCUCAAACCCGCAGGUUCAACACAGUCAUCCAUUUGUUCUCUCAAAUGGACUCCAACCGAAUUAAAGGCAACUCCCAGACUCGCUCAAUUCUCACAUGGGCUCUCCUAAAAUUGCACAAAUAUGAAGAGGCGGAGCAUUUCAUGAGGACCCAGAUGGCCGAAACUUCAAAAUUUCAGAGUAAUCGCAUUUGGGACUCUCUAAUUCAAGGCCUAUGUAUAAACCGGAAAGACCCGGAGAAAGCUUUAUUGGUAUUACGGGAUUGCUUGAUCAACUAUGGUAUUUUUCCUUCUUCUUUCACUUUUUUCUCAUUAAUUCAUAGACUUAGCUAUCAAGGUGAUAUGAGCAAGGCAAUUGAGGUCCUGGAGUUGAUGACUGAUGAUAAAGUUAAGUACCCCUUUGAUAAUUUUGUUUGUAGUUCAGUAAUUUCUGGGUUUUGUAAGAUUGGGAAGCCAGAAAUUGCGGUUAAAUUUUUCGAGAAUGCUGUAAAUUCGGGAGCUUUACAGCCUAAUAUUGUGACUUAUACAGCACUUGUGGGUGCUCUUUGUAAAUUGGGAAGAGUUAAUGAAGUUUGUGAUUUGGUUUGUAGGAUAGAGAAGGAAGAAUUGGCAUUUGAUGUUGUUUUCUAUAGUAGUUGGAUUUGUGGUUAUAUUUCAGAAGGUGCUCUAAUGGAGGUAUUUCAGAAGAAUAGACAGAUGGUGGAUAAAGGCAUAAGAUCAGAUACAAUUAGCUAUACUAUAAUGAUAGAUGGGUUUUCCAAGCUAGGAGAUGUAGAAAAGGCACUUGGUUUUCUGAUAAAGAUGAGGAAAGGUGGAUUAGAACCCAAUUUGAUUACAUAUACUGCCAUCAUGUUGGGAUUUUGCAAAAAAGGAAAAUUGGAGGAGGCAUUUGCUAUUUUCAAGAUGGUUGAAGAUUUGGGAAUUGAAGUUGAUGAAUUUAUGUAUGCAACUUUAAUUAACGGGUCUUGCAUGAGAGGGGAUCUUGAUGGUGUUUUUCAUCUCCUACAUAAUAUGGAAAAGAGGGAGAUUAAUCCGAGCAUUGUCACAUACAACACUGUAAUUAAUGGAUUAUGCAAAUUUGGGAGGACAUCGGAGGCUGAUAAGAUCUCAAAGGGAAUACUUGGAGAUACAAUUACAUAUAGUACAUUGCUACAUGGCUAUAUUGAGGAAGAAAAUAUCACAGGGAUUAUGGAAACAAAGAGGAGAUUGGAGGAAGCUGGAGUCUGCAUGGAUGUUGUUAUGUGUAACAUAGUUAUUAAAUCACUGUUCAUGGUGGGGGCAUUUGAGGAUGCUUAUAUGCUGUACAAGGGAAUGCCAGAAAAGGAGUUGGUUGCGGAUUCCAUUACAUAUUGUACAAUGAUUGAUGGGUACUGUAAAGUAGGUAGAAUGGAUGAGGCACUGGAGAUAUUUGACGAGUUCAGAAGGACACCAGUUUCCUCAGUUGCAUGUUAUAAUUGUAUUAUCAGUUGGCUCUGUAAGCAGGGAAUGGUAGAUAUGGCCACCGAGGUAUUUAUUGAACUCAAUGGGAAAGAUUUAGGUUUGGAUUUAGGUAUCUACAAAAUUCUGUUGAAGGCAAUUCUUGAAGAAAAAAGUGCAGCUGGAGUUUUAUGUUUGGUUCAAAGAACAGAGAAUUUGAGGACAGAAGUAUAUGACGUUAUAAGCAAUGAUGCUAUCAGUUUCUUGUGCAAGAGAGGUUUUCCUGAGGCUGCAUGCGAAGUGUUUUUGGCGAUGAGGAGGAAAGGGUCAGUUGCCACAAGCAAAACUUACUAUUCAAUUUUAAAAGGUCUAAUUAGUGAUGGGAAAGAGUGGCUAACUCAGUCUUUUUUUAACAUCUUUGUGAAAGAAUAUGGCCUAGUUGAACCUAAGGUAAGUAAGAUUCUAGCUUACUACAUAUGUCUGAAGGGUGUCGAUGAUGCUCUCCGGUUUCUAAACAAAAUGAAGGACAAGCCUGCAACGGCCACUUUGCCUGUUUCUCUUUUUAAGACACUUAUAAAGAAUGGUAGAGUUUUCGAUGCAUAUAAACUUGUCAUGGUGGCUGAAGAUGGCGUACCUGUUCUGGAUGCGUUUCACUAUUCGCUUAUGGUUGAUGGCCUUUGUAAAGUAGGAUAUAUCAGUGAGGCAUUAGAUCUAUGUUGUUUUGCUAAAAAUAAAGGGGUUACCCUUAAUAUCAUCUGCUAUAAUUCAGUUUUAAACGGAUUGUGCCGCCAAGGCCACCUUGUAGAAGCGUUUCGGCUAUUUGAUUCAUUGGAGAAAAUUAAUUUGGUUCCCUCAGAAAUCACAUAUGCUACAUUGAUUGAUGCUUUACAUAGAGAGGGCUUUCUUCUGGAUGCCAAGCAGUUAUUUGAGAGGAUGGUCCUCAAAGGCUUGAAACCAAAUACACAUAUAUAUAACUCAAUUAUUGAUGGUUAUUGCAAAACUGGACAUAUGGAGGAUGCGUUGAAGCUUCUUUAUGAAUUUGACUUAAAAACCCUCAGGCCUGAUGAAUUCACUGUUAGUAUUAUAAUCAAUGGGUUUUGUCUAAAGGGUGAUAUGGAAGGUGCUCUUGAAUUCUUUAUUGAGCUCAAGAGUAAAGGUACAUCACCUGAUUUUUUGGGUUUCUUAUAUUUGAUAAGAGGUUUAUGUGCCAAGGGAAGGAUGGAAGAAGCCAGAACCAUCUUGAGGGAAAUGCUUCAGUCACAAUCUGUUGUGGAGCUAAUAAAUAGAGUUGAUGUGGAGGUUGAAACAGAUUCAUUGGAAGGUUUGCUUGUUUCAUUAUGCGAGCAAGGCAGUGUCCAAGAAUCACUUACUCUCCUCAACGAAAUUGGGUCCAUAUUUUUUCCUGUUCGGAGUUCACCUAAUGCCUGCAAUCAAUCUCAUAAACAACACAAUCCUUAUGACAGGGAGGCUUAUGGUACAGUUGCUUUAACGUCUGUAACCUCUACCGAUGCGGAUAUGGAUAUCCAAUUUUCUGGUAUGAGGGAUGUAAAGAAUGUGGCAGAAAAUUACGAUGAUAAAGGGAAAAGGCCUAAAUUUGAUGACUUUGACUAUUGCUAUAAGCAAAUUGCUACACUCUGUUCAAGAGGGGAAAUACGAGAAGCUAGUCAAUUAGCAAAGGAAAUAGUUUCCAAUUUUGGCAGGGCCAAUUAGUAGAACUCAGAACACUGGCCACCUAAGUGAUGUAGGUGCUUUCUUCCCUGUCAAUGAGGGACCAGGCAAGGCAUCAUGCAUGCAGAUGCAGGUAUAUUUUUAGGCUCUUUGAAAGUUUUCCUAUCCUUUCAAUUUAGAUAAUUGUUUAUCACUUGGGUGGUAUGUAUGUGUGCUCUGUUUAUUUAUUAUCUCUUUGUGUCAUGCCAUUCGAUUUGCAAGUUUUGGAAAGGCAUUAUAUUGUUUUGCAGCAAUCUUUCUGUGAAUAUACCCAAUCCAUAAUAUGAAUGACAUUAUAUUAGUCUUCCGCUUUUUUUAGCACCCAUAAAUAUGUUUCAUGUGUCUAUGUAGUGUUUUCUGGUAACUAUGCCUUCCUUUAAGCUGUGCAAUUUAACACAUUCUGGCAUCAGCUGCAAAGUUUUAGUCAGAAGAAAAAUGCACAAAAACCAGAAAGUUCUCAAUUAGUUGCCGAAAAUAGAAAACAAUGAAAUUUAGGACAAUACUAUAGUUCAAACCUACCCCUCCUCCUUUGUACCCAACCAAAAAAAAAAAAUGAUUAUCAGUUUGUUGGCAGGCAACACUUUUACAUGAAUUGUUUUUUUUACCUCUCUGGACAAUUAUGCCAUAAGUAUAAAUUUUGGCUUGCAACAGAAUACCGUCAAACACAAAGAGUUCAGCUGGUGGAAGUUGAAGCAUGAAAAUUGGAAGCAAUGUUAAUGGUGGUUUUCUGCCAUUUAAUUUUUUUCAUUUUUCUGGCGUAAUGAAGAUGAAAAGGUAACCCUCUAUAUUGUUUCAGUUCUUUAUUUGUUUAUUUAUGUCUUUUGUCCUCUCAAUUGGAGUUUAUGUGCUUAGCUACAGAAGCCUGCUGCACAGUGUGGCUUUCAACCAUGAUAUCGCCGCUGUUGAAGGAUGUAUUGGAAAAACUGGAUGGAUGUUUGUGCCUCAGGUAAUUUACCAGCUCAUGAUGCAUGUGCAUUUAUGUUCAACUUUCACUUUCUAUCUUUUCCACUGUGAACCAAACCUGUGUUUGACAGUAUUGUCAGACUGGACAUGAUUUUGGGGCUUUUGCAAGUAAAAUGCAUUCCCGAAAGAAGAAAAAAAAAGUGUUGCGUGGAUGACAUCUUGAACGAAACAAGUACUGCACCAUGUGUCUAAGCAAAGAAGUGUGAAAGACCACGAAGUCCGCAUUGUUUAAAGAUCUACUUGGCAUCACUUGCUUUGACAAAAGCUCGCAAAAUCAAACACAUCUCUCGGGUGAGCAAGCUUAAUUGCAGAGUCUAAAUAGAUUAUUGCGUAUGAUAACACCCUUUUUCUUCUCUCGGUGCUACAGUCCUCUUAAUUUUACAUUUGCUGAUGAAUGAGUGUUUGAUCAUAUUGCCUGUAAGAAGGGCUUUGGUGGAUACAGAUUGAGCUAACAAUUUUUCUCUCUCCCUUUAAUCUCAGAUGAGGAACUUAGUGCAACCUGGUGACACUAGUUGGAUUUAGUAUUCUCCGAACUUUGAAAUCCUGUGUUACUUAACAACUGAUGUCUAGUGAAACCUGUUGUCAAUCUUGCUUCUCUCAAUGGUAUAUCUUUAUGCUGUCAAGCAGCCUUAUUAAAAGGGUAGUUCUAGAAUCAUGCCAAUUGUCAGUCAGGUUCCUUGGAUGCACAUGAUGAUUUGUUUCAUUACUUCAAAUUACUUUGCUGCCAACUUGAUCGGGAUGGUUUGGCCUUGAUUAAUCUACCACAUUUCGUUCGAAAAAAUAUCAGUGAAUUCCUUGCUGUAAAUGUAGAACUGGGGAGUAAUUUCAGCAUGCUUUGGCAAGGGGUGUAAACUGUAGAGCUGCUGGAUGGAAUAUUCAGUUUCUUCUCUGAGUACGUGCGUCUGCAGACAAUGGAAUAUAUCUUGUACUUCUUGGUUAUGAUGUUGGGGGUUAUGUGGUUUCAGCUGUUGUUAUUUGCAAUUCGUUUUCAUUAGAGUUUCUGUAUCAGUGUUUCUGUCAUGUUCAAGUGUUUCCAUAAUGCCCUUUAUUUAUUGAGGCCAGUUUGGUGGGUUUAGUUUGUGCAAGGUAUGGCCCCUCCCUGCUUUUGUGUUGUGAUUUUUCUGCUUGUUUUGGAACACACGCACAUAUGAAGUCUGCUUAUAUGAGUUUCGUACUGUUGGCAUCUGUUUCAUUCGAAUGGCGUCCAAUUUUUCUCCAAAACAUGCCCCAAAAUCGGCACUCAAAAAUCCUUAACAAGGAGGCAUGCAGGGUUUUCCGUUGCCGCUGGAAUGAUCCCAAAAUCAAGAGCUAAAAAUCCUUAACGGUUUCUACACUUUUUUUAGAGCCUAGAGAUAAAUCAUAAACCCUCAACAGGUUGUACGCUCUUAAAGUCGGCAACCUGUCAGUGGAAAUGAGCAAAAAUUGACUUGCUGUUCCGAACGGCGUUGAAUUGAAUCGUUCACACCUCACACUUGAAGCUUGUAUGAACACUCGGAGUACUGCUAUAGUGAGCUCUGCAUGUGAAGCAUAACCCUGCAAAGUUGGCCAAUUUGAGGCAUAUCAAAAAGAGUACCAACUCUAUUCCAUCAUUUUGCUCCAAUGCAAACACUUGCUCAACCUUCCAUUGAUCCAGAUAGAGUAUAGUAACCACAGACAACUCAAAUACACUCCAUCAAAUUUCGGCAACUGAUUAACAAGUAAUAUCAUAGUGCAAUCUUUGAACUUUACAAGCGUUGCCUGCUCAAUAAAGGAGCUGUAAUUUGGAUGGCAGGCUGCCUCUUAAAAUAUUCAGAUUCAAACUUCUUUGGUAAAAUUGAUACAAAUAACGGGAUUUAUGGUACGAAUCACAAAUUUUUUGAUAAUCCACCAUUGAUUCAAAAUAAAGUUGAUGACUUGUUCAAUGCAUUAACUGCUCAUACUGUUCUUGGACUGUCAUACGCUCAAGGAAUUCGAAAAGUGAUAAAUAAGACUAAGAUCUUUAAUAUGCUGGAAUGCACUCAAGACCUUUCUGACGCAGAUUGUAGAAAGUGUCUUCAGACUGCAAGAAGAGAACUUCUAGUUCAUAGUGAAUGGAAAAGUAAAUUGAUGUGCUAUUUAUAAUAGUUGUUACGUCAGAAUUGAAAUUUACGCCUACUAUGCCUAAACUCAUUCGAGAUGGGAACGAAUGCCUCUCAUCCAUGUUGAAUUACUAAUUAUUAUAAUAAAAAAAUAGUUUCCAUUAUUGCUCCCAUGUUUGAGUUGUGUAAUAAUAGGAAUCAUGUAAUAGGCUAAAGCGCUAAAACACCCCCUUAAACUUGUAGCAUACUUUCAAUUUGCAUCCUGACUUUUUUUUUUCCUUAAGAAAAUCAAAGAUCUCAACUAUAUCCAAAAAAUAUAAAAUUAGUGUUUAGGUUGAGCCUUAUUGGACUGGGUCAUAACGGGUUGACACUAUAGUAACAUGAUCAUUAACAAGUCGGGAUAGAUUCAUGAAAUACAAUACUCAAUAAUGACCCGUUAUCUUUGUAAAACAUACUUUUAGUUAUUUUUUCUUUCUGAAAAAACUUUGAACAUAUAUACCUUCUUUCUUUUGUAUAUUUGAUUUUUAGUAAUUUUCUAGGCAUUUGCUAUGUGAUGCAUAACCUUUUUAUGAUAAGAUGUUUUCUUUGUGUUAUGCUUGAUAUUAUUUGGUAGUAUUUUAGAUUUUGAACUAAAAUUUUAUAUAUAUAUAGAAAGUAUUCCCUAGUAUAUCACACAUAAUGCAAUUAAUGUGUUCCGCGCAUAUCCAUCGUUCACCAAAGAAAAACACAAAUGAACAACUCGUUUACCUGUUUCUUCUUUUUGCUAACGAAUAUUAACAGUUUGAAAAUCAAACAGUCAAUUAAUAAACUAAUUUGUUGGAAAUAAGAGUUUGACAAUCUGUUCAAAAAAGAAUAAGAAAAUCUAUAAGAUUAAGACACAUGGGAGGCAAGAGGGAAAAAGAAGAAGAAGAAAUUGGUCCUUUAUAUUCCUAAAAUGGUCCUUAUCUGGUCUGGAGGAUGCCUUGCCAGUGACUUAGGAUCUGAGUAGCCAUUCUUGGGAUCCAUAAUCGCCUGGUAUGUAAGAUCAUAUGCUUCGGCCAACGAUCUAGCCACUUGAAUACACGCUUCAGAACGCAACUUUGGAACCUGCAUCUGCUCAAAUUCAGGCAGGGAACUCUCACUUCCCAAAACAAGCCCAAAGAAAGCCUUCAAACACUCAGAGAGAGAGGCGGGAGAAGUGUCCUCUAUCUCUACCAAUGGGGUAUUGCCAGUCUCCUUGUUGAGUGACUUGCGGAAGUAGGGAAUUUUCUGUGACAAGCCGCAUCUUCUAAGGAUGGCAUCAACUUCAUUUUCUACAAGUGCUUGCAUGUGUCUAUCUAUCAUCAUCCCGAGGUUCUUCACAUAUUCCGCUGCAACCUCAUGCCCAGACAAUGGUUGUUGGAUGGCACACAAGCAAUUGAUAAGGAAAAUCUUAGAGGAUGUUCCACUAGACUGCACCAAUCCAUUAAAAAGGCAUUAGUACCAAAGCAAUGAAGAAGACUAUGCAUGAGAAUCACAAGAUCAAAGUUAUUAAUUUUUAAAUACAGGGGCCUUUUAUUUUCAAAAAUCACACCAAUUUCCCUUGUCAUAGCUGGUAGUACCGAGGACUUGUUUUUCUGCAUACCAAAUCCUGUGGAAAGUCAUAAUAAUACCUGUAGAAUCAAACUUACAAACUCUAGUUUUCUUUUUCCCCUUUUGAUAAGUUUUUUAAGAACAGUAAGGCAGAAUGAUAAGCUCAAACAUUUUAGUUUUAAUAAGCCUUAAACUUAGUUACGCAACUAAAGAAUAAGGGAAUUGGCCAGAAUAUUAAAGUGGGUCACAAAAAUCUUUGAAACUAGCUUGACAUUUGUCAUAAUUUGGCACCAGGAAUAAUUCUAUGCGCUAGAGUUGAUGAGAAUUACAACAAAAUGAAACAGCAAGCCACGAGAAUUACAACAAAAUGCAACAGAAAGACCCGAUAUCCUCUGAUUGAGUGAAGAUACUUUGAAAUCAGACGCUUGGAAAUAAAUGAGAAAAGAAAACCUGAGAUGACGGGGCAGAACUGCUGUUGGACAAAAGUGCGUCAACUGGUGAUUUACUAAAUUGACCUAAGUCAGAACUCAACCUACUUCUUCUUGAAGAGUGGCCAGCUCCCUUGGACUUGUGUGCCUCUGCUGCUUGCUCACAAAUCUGCAAUGGUUGAAGUAAUGGAAUUUAUUCAACAUUUAAAUAAACUGAAGACUACCUCUGUUCUCAAACUGAAGUUAAAUAUUAAUUUUCACAUGGAAUGCAUCAACACAGUUUUAAGUCCCAUUAAAUCUGUAACAUGAAUUCUGGAAGAGGUACAAUGAAAUAAUGUCCUCAGUAUGAUGUUUCCAGAUAUGAUUUCACAGUCUGACUCUGCAACAAGUUUAACUUAAAUUGCUACUAAUAUAGAGAGCAUCUGGUUGUGGGAUUAUAUGGACUCACAACAAUAGGCGCAACAGCACUCAAAGUGAAGUUCUUUGUAGUUUGUCCUUAAUUAAUGGGAAUCUGACAUAGUGUUGAAACUUCAAUCAUGCUUAAAAACUAAUUUCAAUGUUGUUUUGACCAUCAUGAAACUAGAAGCAAGCUUACCAAGCAUGCCGUUUACAUAACCAAAUGCCCAGCACAACACACCUUAAUAAUUGGAUCGAGUAAAGCAGAUAUGACUGGACCAAACGCAGGAUUUUUUCCUAAAGUAGGAAGCAUCAUGCUGUUAUGCGUCUCCACUAUUUCAAGCAGCAGAGAGACUCCUUCCCUUACUGCUGGUGGAGGGGAAAGAUCAACAGCAACAAGGGGAGGAUACCUCAAAAGCUUUUCCCCUCGGGUUUUCAGAAUGUCAAAGAAAGUUUUCUGAGCGGCAUCCUUCAGUGUCCACAAUGUAUCAGAUAAAGCUGUUUCUCUCCCAAGAAAAUCUGAUAUCUGCAAGUAAACACAGCCAUAGAUCAGGGGAAAGGAAAAAGAAAAGCAAAUAACAUGUGGGACAAUUUGUUCCAUUGAUGAAUUAGGAAAGGCAUCACUUACAGUGUGGCUGUAGAACUCCAGGGUAUUACUUAGUUUGUAUGAAAUUAUGAGACUCGAUUGAGACUGCAAAACUUGUUCAACUCUUACUUUAAAUGGCCGGCAAACUCCUUCAAAAAUUCUAUCCAUAACAAAUGUCAAAUCAGAUUCUGUCUUUCGAGAAUCACUUUCAGGGCUCCUGGAGAAUUGGCUUGUGGCUGGAACAGUAUCUACCGCUGCAUCUGGAUCCAGUAAUAGAAAGACAAGUUCCCGUUCAGAUGCCAAGGCCUGCAAGGGGAGCAAGAAAUUACGAUGGCCAGAUGAUGAAUUAUACUUCACAAAUGGAAGUGGAACACAACCAAUAGGCCUUUGUUUUCACACCUGAUGCAACCAACCUAGCAUGUCCCCAACGUAUCGUAAGGGAUCAUGAGCAUGAACUUCAAUGGGUCGAGGCAUUCCACCAGGUCCUCCACGUGUAAGAGCACUGAUGAACCGCCUAAACAAUGCAUUAUGCCUCAUAUUUGCUACCUAGAAAUUGGUCAGGAAAAUCAAUAAACAAGGUAGUAGAAAGUGAAUCAGGUGAAAUGGUUAGCAUAGAGAAUCACCUCUUCUGCACAAUACUUGAAAAGGACAGGUCUUUCCUUGAGGCAACGAACUGCUGUUUUCAAAAGAUCACUAACUUCAGGAUUAUCAGAGUCGCCAAGUCUUCUACAUUCCGCCUGAACCCACCUAGAAGACGGGGUUAAUUAAAGACCCAAUAUACCAUAUUUUAUUUAUCCUAGUAGAAUACUAGUGUCAACAAAUUGAAACAACCACUAUACAUAGUGGUAAUGAUCUCUUGCCAGAUCAAAGCAUAUUAUAUUGUCAGUCUGUAAAUCUGGGUCACACAUAUAAACAAGAAUUCACCUAAUAAAUGGUAAAUAUUGACACUUUGCCAACAAUGACAUGUCAAGCUGUUUGACAAGAGAAAAUUUCCUUAUACAUAUGCAUAUUAAGGAAGAUGGUAGACGAGAAAAACCUGCAGAGGCGCUCGUAGGCUCCUUCUUGGUAGACAGCCAUCAUAUCCAUGAGCUCGAGACCUGCACGCUGCAAGUGAAUGGUAAAUUGGGUUGUUAGUAUACUAUCACCUUUUAAGUUUCCUAGAUUCAGAAAAAUUUCAGGUGAGAGAGAGAGAGAGAGAGAGUGAGAGAGAGAAGAGAGUACCUGGUGAUGUGUUCUUAAGAGCAAUUUACAGUUGGCAUGAAUUUCUUGAACAUGAGAAAGCGCCUUGAAGAAGUUCUCAUUCAGUUCUAAUUCCCUCAAUGCACUUAUCUACAGAAACUCACAUAAACAAACAAAUCAAAUUGAUGUAAAUCUCAACACAGAUGAAUUAUCCACACAUAUGGCUUGAUGGGUACCUCUUGAUUCGAGAGUUGGUAAUCCCGGAGGAAGCAAGACACGAUCUGCUGCCUCUGGGUGGUCACGUUGAGCUCCUGCUUCAGCCUUUCGGUGGUGGCGAUAAUGUCACCGGUGGUAGCAGUGCAGCUGCUGAGAGCCACGGCGAUCUUGUCGCAGCUACUGGCCAGGGCACCAACCUCGUCCUCCACGCGAUCCAAGGCCUCUUGGGCCGCCUGGGAGGCCUCCAGGAACUCGAGGUUGAUGGAGAGGCCUCGCUUCUCGAUGGUGGAUCGGAGAUUGCGCCGCGACUGAGGGGUAUUUUCGGAAUAGAAAGAAGAGAGGGUGUUGAGUGAGGCGAGCACAUCGGGAGUGUCUGUGCGACAUUCCAGUACCUUCUUCAGCUUCCGGGACAGUCCCGGCGCCAGCGUCGUCGUCCCCAUUUCUGAUUUUCUCAGGUCUUGUCUGUCGUAGGUAAUGAGAUGGCGGGAGAUUGGCUAGAGAUUGGGAGCUGGGAGUUGGGAAAGGCGUCUAAUUUAUCACAGAUUUGAUCAAAGCUGAAUUUACCCAAUUGAUAAAAUAAAUAAAAAAUAAUAAAAAAUAAAAAAUUUAAGAAAAAUAAUAAUUAAUUUGGGAAAUUCAAAUAAUUCCUGUCAAUACUCAAUUUAUGAUGGCAUUUUGGUUUCUAGUGUCAUGUUAUGUAUUACACUAAUUCGAUCCACAAUAAAACAACAUGAUUAUUAAUCCUCAAAUUGAAUUAAAAUUUUCUCAAAGAAAAUGAUAGGAUUUUCACGACAUUUAUCGUGAGAUGACACUUUAUACGAUUUUACUCAACACAAAUACAAUUAUUUUAUGUCAUCAUUGAAUCAUGUAACGAUGUCGUGUCUAAAAUUGUCACCCCUACUCCCCAUUGCUCAUUAUACACCUUCCAAGAGAAAAUGACCAUUAACAACAAUAGAUGCUCAUAAGCUCUAACGUUGACCCAAACAAAGUUAAUCUUGACAAAUCAAGACUCAAAUAGUCCUUUGGCAGCGUUCAAAUGAGGAAGUAUAUUGUAUAAAAUAUCCUUCACAUUGUAUUCUUCAUUUUGAACUCGGCUUCUCUUCUUCUGGUUCCAUCCAACACCUGUUGAGAGCAUCACCUUUACAAUCUUUUCCUUUAAUUGCAGAAAAAUGAAAAGGCAUUACUGAAACUUGCAACAGUGUAUUUCAUUGGCAUAAAACUCUUUAUUGUCUUUACAAAAUACUAUUUACACUGAUAUAAACACACCAUAGAUGUAGAUAGAACAAUUCCUCCAAUUUUAUGCAUAUUAUUGCAAAUCCCUUAGCUCCAAGAGUCUAGACCACCUCUUAUCAAUAGAAGCAGUGCUUUGUCCACCAAUAUCUGCAAAUCGGAAUUGUAUUAGGAAUUGAACUUGCUUAAAUUAAUUGCUAAUCUUCUAGUUCUGAAGUUGUCACAGAAAACUUACACUCUACAGUUGGGUAAGAUUUCUCACACAGCUCUGAACAAGUAUCCUGCAAAGUAAAAUUUCCCGCAUUCGUUUGUCGAUCAUUUAGUAUAGGAAAAAGUAUUGCAUCAUGUUGGUUUUACAUUCAAAAGUAUUGCAUUAGUAGUUCUUACUUUUAUGGAGGUGGCAAGCCGUAUCGUGUCCUGUAUCAGUGAAUCGAGUUCAGCUUCAUUUCCAGGCUUCACAUAGAUUACCUGUUGAAGCAGCUGUGUUAAGGCACUAUCUUGGGGAGUGACAGAGAGCAAGAGGGAGAGAGUUUAGAGACUUAAUGAUGGAUCGUCACCACCGAUCUCAGGCUGUUGAAUUGUGUGCUCGUCUCUGCUUGAUGACAGAACCCAUACAUUAAAUUGUGUGUUGAUCUGUUACAAUGCACGUGUAUAAAAUCAGCUGGAUUGAAUUUAUGAUUGGAUAAAGCAUCAAAGUUUCAAACUUCUGCAAAGACAAAGUACCUUUCUGCAGUAUGGAGAAGAGCAGUUGCUACAUUUUCUGGUGAAUGAUGUCAUGAUCUUUCCAUCAACAGAGAAGCCAAAGCUAGCAUGCUGGUAAUUAUCACAGGGGAAAAUUAGGGUUGUUGAGUAUAUAUACCUAACAUUAAUCUCUGCUAAUUAAUACCGCUUUUAUCUUCCUUACUACCAUAAUCUGCACAAAGAAACUCAACUGCAUUUAGGAAAUUCAGUUCGUUUCAGAGUUUGGUUUCGCUUAUAUAACGAUCCGUAUACAUGACAGCCAAAAAGAGAGGGAAAAAAUCCCUAAUGUACUUACAUGCUCUAAACCGUUGCCCUAUUAAUCAACCGCAUCAAAAGACUUAGAACAUGGUACGAUACGUUAUAAAUUAACUACUCAGCGAUACGAAUCUGAAGAUUCUUGAUGACAUUAACUUAAACUUAUUUCAUUAAAAAAAAAAAAAAAAAUCCAACUUCUAUAACGAUGAAAUAAUGUGAUCUGAGGAAGUUGUAACUAGAAGUAAUCAACUAAAAGGUCAUAUAAAAUAGGAGUGACCUUCUGGACGCAGAGAUUAACUGAAACUUGUGCAUCCUUUUCAUUUUCAUCUUCAAUCAAAUCUUCCAAACGCAGGUCAUGGAGGGAGAGAAGGUAAUCACAGCACCAAUUCCCGUGCCAUCUCCCAUCUGCUGUUGAUAUUUUGAUCAGACUUCUGCUGUUCUUUUUGUUGCUCUGCAUUAAUUUGUGGGCCCAAGUAGAAAAAUAUCAUGUACAUUACGUGGCCAACACACGUACACAAAAGGAGAUGAAGUUGUAGAUAAUAUUGUAGGCAAGAAAAUCAUGAAGGAAAUCACAGUAAAAUACCAAGAAGAAAGAAAAGAAUGGAGUUUCAGAAUUACAUAUAUUUGUUGGUCAUAUUACCAGAGAGAAAGAGUUUCUUUUUGAAGCAGCUCUGAUUUUGAAUAAAUGAGGCACCAAUUUAGAGGGUUUGGGGUUUGCUGGCUUUACAGUAGGAAGCGUAAUAAGUCUUGCUGAUACCAAAUGACCAACUUCUGCCAUCUCUCGUUUGCUCUCUCAACAAAUACGAAAGGAGGAAAUGCUGGACAUGUUUUCCUUUAGAACCUUAUCAUCAUUGGCACUUGGCACUGGGACUUGAGAUCGUGAUAGGGUGUAUAAAGGGAAUUUGGAAUACUUAAAAAUGCAGAAUUACAAUUUUGCCCUGUUUGUUACUAACUCUUUUUUUAUACAAAUUCGAACUAAAAUUUUAUUUUUUGGACUUGAAAAUUAACAAAUGAGUCAAUUUUAUACAAAAAGAAAUAUUUGGCCUAGAAAAGAGAGAUGUUUUGAAGUUGGGCUUGGGGAAAUAUUAGUUAUGAGAUUAAAAAUAUAGCAUUGGAUUUAAAUAAUUUUGUAAAAAUAAAAUAAAAUAAUACACAACCAGUAUGAUCCAGUCUGAUUUGGUUUGGUAAGAUGUGAAAUUGGAACAAGAAUCGGUUCGUUCCUAUUUGGUGCCAGUUUGUUGACUUUUUAGUCAACCAAUUUUUUUUUUCAGUUUUUUCCACCCGGUCUGGUUCAGUGUUCCGGUUUUCAGGCCCCAAUGCCCACCCCUAAUGAGUUAUAGGCCAAAUGUAAGCCCCAAAAUGUGUAAAACUCAUCUCUAGUUAUGAGCUAAAUUUUAAGGGCCACAUUUAACCCUUUAGCCCUUCUACCAGGCCACACAUAACCCAACCGUAGCCCAGGCCAAAUUUUUUUUGUGGGCCCUACUCAUGUGUUGCCUAACAGGAGGAAGAAUCACGCAUGGGCGUGAUCAUGAGAUUAGUUCGUGCAAUUGGAAAUUAACAGACAGAUUCAUCCAAGGGCUGCUAUUAAGCUGACGUCAGCUAGCUGUUACUUUUUUUUUUUCUUUUAACGCUUUUAAUGUAUUAAAAUUUGUCGUUAAAAAAAAAACUUUUUGGAAAGUGUGUCAAUUUUUAAAAAAAAAAUAGCCAUUGUUGGCCUUAAAUAAAUAAAAUAUGUCUAUAAAUACCUCCAAAUUUCUUCAAAAAAUUUAACACUUAUUUCAUUCCACAUUUCUUACAAAUUUUAUCACAUAUUCACAACUUUCCAUAUUAUUUUUUUGGUCAAAUAUUUUCCACACUCUUAUCAUAAAUCUAGUUAAAUGCUUAUCAACGUACACAUGUCAUAUUUGGAAUAUUGUCUCUAAAUAGUAGUUUAAUUAAUUUAAAAAAUACAUAGUAGUGGAUUGUAUGAGUGCUGCACCAUAGUUUUUCUCAAAAUAAUAAAAUAUAAAGGGCCUUAAAAUAUAGCCAAGCAUGACUGGAGAUGGAAAAAUUUAGCCAUACAUUAUUUUUUUAUAAAUUAAUAUUUUGGAGAGCUAAAUUGUAGUCCAGUACUGCAUUUAGCCCUCAUGAAUGGAGAUGGCCUUAAGAUUAGUUAAAACCAUUUAGACUUAGUUGCAAAUCAUACUCCUACUCUAGUUAAAGCACAAACAUUGUGGAACCAAAUUUAUCACUCACAUAUUAGUCUCAUUUUAUUGUCAGAGAUCAGUAAUUUAAAUCUUAUGGAUGAAAAUAUAUAUAUUUUUGGUUUUAGGUCUAAUGGUCCUUAAAUUUUGACCCGAUUCGCAUUUUGGUCCCUCAAUUUUCAAAAUCAUUCUCGUUGUCCUUCAACUUCAGUUUCGUUAUGACAAAUGGUCAUGCUGUCAAUUUUGUUAUCUUUUUCGUUAAAUGCAGGGGCAAAAUGAUCUUUUUUUUUUAUUUUUAAUUUCCACCAUCUGAAUAUUCAUUUCACCCAAAAAAAAAAACUAAAAACUAAAAAACCUUAUGAAUAUUCCUUUUACCAUCUAAAUAUUUUUAAUUUAUCCCUGGAGUGAAGCAAUUUCUGAUUUUGACCCUCAAUAAUACACUAUGUGUCAUGCACAUGCUCAAAUUUAAUAGAAAAAGUUAACAAAAUUGACGGCAGAACCAUUUGUCCUAACGAAACUGAAGUUGAAGGAUCAUGGGAACGAUUUUAGAAAUUGAGAGACUAAAAUGCGAAUCGAGUCGCGAAUCGAGUCAAAGCUCAGGAACCAUUGAAUCUAAAUAUUUUAAAAAAUAUAUAUAAACGAUAGUCUAAACUAUAAACUAAAAGCCUUUUUUUCACUCCAUGUUGGCGUUUAAUAUAUAUUUUUGAAUGAAGAGGAAACUAUAAUAAUAAAUAAAAAUUUCAUUUAAAAACCCUUAAAUUUCGCUCUACAAAAGAACGGCAAAUAAGAAAUUCAGAGACGGUAUUUUCUUCCAGAAAAUUGGGGUCGUGACGGUGUAUGUAAUGUAUGUUAGUUAAAUAAAUACAUCACACAAUCUCUCUCCUUCUCUCUGCGCAGUGGGGGGAACUUUGAAACCCUAGAAGAAGUGCAAUCAUCUGAUUACAGCCCUAAGGUUCUCUCUCUCUCUCUUUCUCUCUCUCUCUCUCUCUGCGUUAAACCCUAAUAUUUCGUUACUCUUAAAACUACGAGGAUCUCGAUUCGCACCUUUAUUUAUCGUGCGAAUAUCUCUUGAACUAGGCUUUUGUACUAAUGUUUGUUUUGUUUUGAAAGAUGAGUUUUUAUUUCUUUUUCGUUUCUGGUGUUUGGAUUCUAUCUGGGUUUGAGGUUCUCUUUCAAUUGGUACUAUAAUUUUUAGAUUCAGAAAAAAAAGUAUUGACUUUUCCGUCGAUUUGCUUAGAAAAUUGAAGAUUUGUAUAUAUUUCCAUGUAGAGGUAGAGCUUGUGGUGAAAUUAUGUCCUUAGAAUGCUGGAAAGCUGGUUUUUGGGAGUCGUGUUAAUCAAUUUGGCUGACUUGCUUUCAGUAGGACUGUUAGUGUUCUCGUCUUUAUCACAUUCAUCUUUGAAAUUGUUGCUGGUCGGCCUGAAUUGAUUUUUCUCUACUUAAUAGUAGCUCAAUACUUUUAUAAGUUGUCUUAUGUAUUUGUAUAUGUGCAGGUUGUGGAUGAGCAAAAAGCUGUUUUUUUUUUAUGCCCUUUAGUUUGCGAAUUGUUACGUAAGUGUCUGUUUUUGUAAAAGGAAAAUGAUAGGUUCCAUUUUGCCCUUACCGGCUCCUCCUUCUGAUGGAGACCUUGGGCCUCUUCCAGAAUCCCAAGUGACUGAACUUAAUAACGAUGAGAAACAAUUGAAUGAGGAGCAGAACAAAGCCAACUCCGUUGCAACACAUACUAGGGCUAUUGGUAUCAUUUAUCCUCCUCAAGACAUCAGAAAUAUUGUUGACAAAACUUCCCAAUUCGUGGCAAAGAACGGACCGGAGUUUGAGAAAAGGAUCAUAGCUAAUAAUACCGGAAAUGCAAAGUUCAGCUUUUUGAUUUCCUCAGAUCCCUACCAUGCGUAUUAUCAGCAUCGAUUGUCUGAGUUCCGUGCCCAGAAUCAGUCUUCUGGACAGCAACCUUCUUCGCAGCCUGAAGAUUCUGCAAUACCUGAGUCAUCCCCACCAGCUCCAGCUGCAGAUGGUGAAACAGGAGCACCAAAGCUGGAUCCCUCUGCUCAGUUUAAAUCGGUGCGCAAAGUGCCCGAACCACCAGAAAAACCAGAAGCUGAGCAGUAUACUGUUCGGCUUCCUGAAGGGAUUACUGGGGAAGAGUUGGAUAUUAUAAAGCUCACAGCCCAGUUUGUAGCUCGAAAUGGGAAAUCAUUUUUGUUAGGAUUGACAAACAGGGAAACGAAUAACCCCCAGUUCCAUUUUUUAAAACCUAACCAUAGUAUGUUUACACUUUUCACUUCUCUGGCUGAUGCUUACUCAAAGGUGUUGAUGCCUCCGACGGGGUUGACAGAGAAGCUUAAGAAAAGUAUUGCAGACAUGACAACUGUGCUUGAACGGUGUGUGCAUCGGCUGGAGUGGGAGCGUUCACAAGAGCAGGCAAGGCAGAAGGAAGAAGAUGAGAUUGAGCUGGAAAGGAUGCAAAUGGCUAUGAUUGAUUGGCAUGAUUUUGUUGUGGUUGAAUCAAUAGACUUUGCAGAUGAUGAGGAUGAGGAUUUACCUCCUCCAAUGACCCUUGAGGAGGUUAUAAGGAGAAGCAAGGUCACAGAUAUGGAAGAAGAUAUUGUUGAGCCUGGUAAGGAGGUGGAAAUGGAAAUGGAUGUAGAAGAGAUGCAGCUUGUUGAAGAGGGCUUGAGGACAGCCAGAAUUGAAGAGAAUGGUGAUGAAAAGAAGAAUGAGAGUAAGGUGACAGAUGAUCCAGAACCACCAAUGAGAAUUGUGAAGAACUGGAAGAGACCUGAAGACAGGAUCCCUGCUGAAAGAGACCCAACAAAGUAUGUCAUUUCACCAAUCACUGGAGAGCUUAUCCCUAUCAAUGAGAUGUCUGAACACAUGAGGAUUUCUCUCAUUGAUCCAAAAUACAAAGAGCAAAAAGAACGGAUGUUUGCCAAGAUUCGGGAGACUACUCUCGCUCAGGAUGACGAAAUCUCAAGAAACAUUGUGGGCCUUGCACGAACCCGUCCUGAUAUUUUUGGUACCACAGAGGAAGAAGUUUCUAACGCUGUCAAGGCUGAGAUUGAAAAAAAGAAAGAUGAGCAACCAAAGCAGGUCAUAUGGGAUGGUCACACCGGAAGCAUUGGUCGCACAGCAAAUCAAGCCAUGUCACAGAAUAUCAACGGAGAGGAUCAGAAUGAUGUUCUUAACAAUGAUGCAAGGAAUCUUCCUGGUCCUGCAGCUCCUCCUCCAAGACCUGGUGUGCCGUCUGUUCGCCCUCUACCCCCACCACCAGGUCUUGCCUUGAAUCUACCCCGUGUUCCUCCAAAUACAGCCCAGUAUUCUGCUCCAUCUAGUGGUGGCCUCCCUGUACCUCCACUGAGGCCAUCAGUUGUCCAAUAUCAAUCAGUUCGACCACCUGGACCUCCAAUGCCCAUGAGUUCAGGACAGCAAUCCCUUUUGGUGAAUCGGCCACCUCCUAUGCCACCAUCAAUGUCUAUGAAUCCAUCUGUCCCACCUCCCCCUGGUUCGCAGUUUACACCCAUGCAAGUUCCCCGAGCUUAUAUGCCUCUUCCUGUUCCUCCACCUACAAUGCAAAUGAUGCCACCACCACCUUUGCCUCAGGGGAUGCCCCCACCACCACCACCUGAGGAAGCUCCUCCACCGCUUCCAGAAGAACCCGAGCCAAAGCGGCAGAAGCUUGAUGAUUCUAUGCUUAUUUCAGAAGAUCAGUUUCUGGCACAGCAUCCGGUAUGGAUUCCCUGCAUAUCCUUGUCUUUCCACUGUAAAUUCUUUAGUAAUUGAAAUCUGAUUGUAUAAUUAUUGUUGGUAGCCUGACAGAAAUUAUUCCUUUUUAUUUAUUAUCUUUUUGGUUGCAGGGACCUGUUCGCAUCACAGUAUCUGUCCCCAAUGUUGAUGAAGGUAAUCUGAAGGGACAACUUUUGGAGAUUACGGUGCAGUCCUUAUCUGAAACUGUUGGGAGUCUGAAAGAAAAAAUUUCUGGGGAGAUCCAGCUUCCUGCAAACAAACAGAAAUUGAGUGGAAAACCUGGUUUUCUCAAGGACAAUAUGUCGCUUGCAUAUUAUAAUGUUGGAGCAGGAGAAGCACUUAGUCUUUCAUUAAGAGAGCGUGGUGGAAGAAAGAGAUGAGCAGAUUAUUUGACCAGGCUGAUUAAGGUUCUUGCUGGAAUUUUCGUGUUACCAUGAGAAUAUUCAAUAUAUCAUGUGGGACUUUUGCUAUUCUACUUUCUUUGAUGUUAUAUGGGAGAUUAUAUGUUGGUUGUGUAUUAAUAGGAUGAUUUUUCUUGAACAUAUAAUUGUUGUCUUUAAACUGAUGGUAAGUGUCGUAUCUACUACAGAUUGGGUGCCUCGGCGAGUGUCUCUUAAGGACAAUGGGAAGUAGAUCAGUUCCUUUUACUUAGCCAGCGCAAGUCAUGCUUAUAUGUCUAAUAACUGCUCCUUUUUGCAAUGCAGUUUUUUCUCUGGAAAGUAUGUGCCCAUGGUCGUAUUAUGGUUUUCAUAUCCCUAGAAGCAUGCUUGGUGUCAAGUUAUUUUCAGUGUUCACUUCCAAUUUUUGUUGGUGAAAGAUUUUUCUAUUGGUGAAUGUUGGUAUUUUGGGUUUUUUGUUUUCCUUCUAGUAUUUAAUUUUAUAGGGUGAAGCUAUACUGCGCCUUUAGCAAAGGGUGCCACAGAAGCUUGUAUUAUUUGCACUCAUGUGUUUCUUUAACCAGCCAAUAGCAAGCAGUGGCUGGUAGAGUUGGUAUUUUCUGAUGAUGGUUGUUAACUACAGGAUAGAGGCUUUAGCUACUUGUUGGGACUCAUAAAUGGUCUGUGCAACCAGUUAGAUGUUCUUCUUUAAGCAUCUAAGCCAGGUAAGAUGCUAUUUUAUCUUUACCAUUUUCAUGUAGAAUUCCUUGUCCUGUUUCCAACUCUGAUGGCAAUCCUUAUGCAUGCCAUUUCUUUUUGCAGCAUGGAACCACAGGGUUUGAUUACCAUGUUAAAGGAACAAGCAAGUUUUUAUAUCUUUGUAUUUUUUCUAGGAUUAUUAGAGCAGGUUGGGGUUACAUAGCUUCCCUAAGGUUAUGCAUGAGAUUGGAUUUGAUAUUAAAAGUUUACAGCUAGUAUAGAAAUGCAGAAUGCCCUAAUCUGUUGAAAAGAGUCGUCAUUAACUGUUCAGUUAUGGUAAUUUGGUGCUGGCAGCACAAUACUGUAGAGAAUUUGGUUGGCUGAUGUACUAGUCUAAAAUAUUUGCUCAACACUGGCCUUCACUAUGGGGUGUCAACAUGGUCCAUGCGUAAUUACGGGUCGACUCAGUAUGUCGUUCCGGGGUUGAAGACUCCAGCUCUUCUCGGUGAUGUGUCCUGUUGUGCGGAUAUAAACAAUUGUGUCUCCAAUAUUGUGCACGCUAGGAAUGUGUAUGUAGUAAAAGCCACUGUCAGCUGUUUCAAAAGGCGUUGAGUUGCCUGUAUAAAGUCUGCCUCAUUUCCCAAUAUCAAUUGGUUGUACUUGUUGAGAGUAUCACUUAUGCAGCCAAUUGCCAAUUAAGUUGUGUAGCCAACAAUGUGGGUUGUUUUCAUGCCUUAAUUAGAUGUUUCAAAGAUGAGUUUCCCAAAAGCAAGAGUCCCUUUUGCUUUUGAUGUGCAAUGUUUGUCCGAUCAAACCAAAACCACAAUGCUUGACCUAGUUGCAACUUACAAGAAUGAAUGGUAUAUGUUCAGGACCUUGGUGGGGGCAUGUCUGGUCAGGACUGUGCCCUGUAUCAGAGAUCCACUCCACCCCUGAGGAUGGGGCUUGUUUAUUCCAAUAUAUAUUGUAUUGUUGUCCAAUUGAACGAGUCUAGUCCGUCUUACAUGACACCGCCCGAUUUUAAUUAGAAUAGUCCUGUGAUGCACGUAAAUAUUGAUAUCUUAGGAAAUAUCGACGAAUAUUUCAAUAUUGGUGUCUGUUGAUGGAAAUGUCAAAGCAUCAUCGCUCUCAGUAGUCAGUUCUAAGUUAACCAAAGUGUCCAAGCAACCUUUUCAUGUCACUUUGAGCACCAUCUCUCGUAGCUAGUUGUAAUUUCGAUUAUGGUGUGGAAUUUGGAUGCGAGGUGUGAGUGGUGAAUUGAGUACGACUACCAGUUUAGUGUUUUUGGGCAACAAUGUGAGUGGUGGUAGCGUCAACAGGUAUCAAGGAAAAGGUUGCAGACGUCAAGAAAAAGAAAAAAGUGAAUUGCAAUGUAAGACCUGCCAAAUAUAGGAAAGCAUGCUUUAAAUUACAACUUUCACUCAGUUUGGCAUUGCUAUGCUGUAAAAAUAAUUGUUGUCAGAUUUGCUGUGAGAGAAAUCAACUGUGAGAGAAAGCAGUUCGGUGUGUGGUAAAUUUUUUGUUAAAAGUGGUGUUAGUACUGAUUCCCGCAUAAUAAAAAAAAUGAUUCCUGCAUAAUCAUUAAUCUCAGUGCCUCUUCAAAACUGAUUCUUGCAUAAUCAGAAAAUAAAAGCACCUCAUUAGAUGUUUUCCCUUAUAGCUUUCUUUCACAGCAAUUUUUAAUAAUAAGUUAUUUUCUUAUAGUUUAUCAAACGGGUUAGGUUUCUCAAAUUUUUUUUAAAAUCACUUAUCACCCCAAAUAAACAAUGUCAAACGGGCACUUAAAGCUUAUUUCCCAAUUCUGAUUUUGUUGAUGAAUGCCCUUCCUAGGAAUUUUGAUGCCCAUCUCUUAAGAGGCAAUUUUGAAAUGGAAAAAGACAAUGAUAUUCUAGUAAGUGAAAUUGAAGAAAUUUGAUUCAAUGAAAGGCGGCUUUUCAAAAGGGAACUUUAGUUGAGUGGAACUGUCACAACGUUAGAAGGGAUGAGGGCUGCAUCUGUUGUCAAUAUAUCUUUCAAACGCCCCUCAUCAUCCUUCCAAUAUGCAUACAAAUAUGAGGCUACCAGCCCAUCCUCCAUUCCUAAAAGAUGGUUCUCAUAGCAAAACCCAAGAUAAAUCUUUGGACUCAGCAGAAUUUCCUUGUGGUAAUUUGACUUCAAGUGCUGCUCAUCAAGAUCUUUGGCGCUAUUGUACAACUGAUCAAUGCAUCCUUUGAAAAAGGCAUCCCUCAAAUGCUUUUAUAUGAAACCAGGUGGAACAGUCAAAAAACCAAGUGGUUUCUGACCUGUUUGCUCAUCAUUGUCAAUUCUCAGUUUGAGGUUUUUGCAAUGAGAUUCAGCCCUAUUGUGGGGACAUAGCAACAUCUUUCUACAUGCCUCAGUCUGGAAAUGCCGAACAUCGAUGCUGGUGUACAAAUUAUUCAUGCAACCUAUUUCCAGAAGUACUGAAUGUUUACGGGCACGCCUGACAAUGGUUCCCAUUGGUAUUGUCAAGAAACUCAAGUGAACAUCAAUAAAAUCUUUAUCAGACUCUACGAAGAUAAUUUUGUUGCUCCCCUUGUCCACCACAGCCUUCAAGCUUAUAAUAUAUUCUUCACAGUUGUAUCAGCCAUUGAUACUGUAAGAAAGUACGAAGCUGUAAGUUGUUUUCCUGCUUAAACAUGAAAGGACUUCAAAAUACAAGUCAAGUACUGGGAAAGAGAGACAAAAUUUUGGAGAAUUAAUAGCUUGAAAAACAGGUCAGAGCUUGAACAGAUAACAAAAUCAAUGAUUAACUACAAAGACAUAAUAAACCAUCACUCCAUCAUACCAUCUUGAGUACUAAACUAUUCAAUUAUAAAAUUACUAAGCUAUUCCAAAAAUGAUUCAACCUGUUCAUAUAAUUGAAGAAGUGCUAGCAGUGGACUAACCCGAGAGAAGAUGAAAUCCAUUCCUUACGGAUUCAAGCAUUCAACAUAGUUUCAGCUGUUGUAAAGGUCUUUGAAACUACCACAACUGCAAAUAUCAAAAAGAAUAUGAAUGAACAAUAAGAAACCCCACAUAGAGCUGGACAAUGAAAAUUAUGUCCGCAACAUGGGCCUGGGCAAUGAAAAUUAUCCGCAUUUAGAACAGAGAUGGGAAAAUUUUCAUAUAUACUGCACAUUGCAAAGAGGUACUGUCUCAAUUACCUUCCAAGGCUCGGUAUCAGAGAUCAUAACAGAUGAAGCCAUGUAAAGUGGUGUUUGAAAAGUGAAGCAAUUACCAAGUCCACCCCAACUCAGGAUGCAAUUCUCUGCGACAAAUAAUGUGUGCAGUAACAUAAUUUAGUAGCACUCGAGAAAACGAGAUAGAUCAAAGGGUUACCAAGACCACUCCAACACAAGAUGCAAUUCCCUCGAAAAAAGAGAGAAAAAAUUGAACUCUCAGAUUGAAGAUAGAUUUGUGGAUGGAAAGAGGCCUUGGGAUCACGCUAGGGAAAAGAGAAGAUUCGGGCGCCUAAUCCUUAGGUAGAGGUACCUUUUUAAAUUUUUAAAAAAAUAAUAAAUACUAUAGCUGCGUGGCAAUACCGGUUGUCCUUUUUUAAUUUUUUUUAAGAGAUAGUAUAGCAGCGCGGCUAUACUAUUUAAAUUUAAUAUUUCAUGGGAAUAUUCGUACGCCUAAGCAGGUCCUUUUUUUUUUCCAAUUUAAUUUUUAUAAAUAGCAAGCUACGCAGCUAAACUAUUUAAAUUUAAUAUUUGAAGAGUGUAGCCGCGCGUCAUUAUUAUGAUAUUUUUUAAGAACAAAUAGUAUAGCCGAGCGGCUAUACUUGUUUUGACACCUCAUCUAAUGCUAAGUGGGUCCCUUUUUUUAGCCGGCUAUACUCACUGAUAUUUUUCAAAAUAGUAUAGCCGCCUGGCCUUACCACAGUAUUUUGUUUUAUAAAACAAAUAGUAUAGCUGUGCCUAUAUAGCCCCGAUUUUCUUUUAUCGAUAAGAGUAGUUUAGAGCAUUAUCCAUUACUAUAAGGUCAUUACUCGAGUCUAUAUUGUCCCUUUCUUCAACGACGGAGACGUUGAGAUCUUAUGUUGUAUGCUGAAUCCUCCACGGCCCAAUGGGAAAGAGAUUUCAUCCCCAUACGUUUCAUACUUCAAAACUCAUAGUUUUUUACAACUUCACUCCUUUCUUUUUUCUUUUUCUUUUUUUCUCUCUAGAAGAAAAACAAAGCCUGCAUUAUUAUUACAUACAACAGGUCAUUCAUGAAACAAACGGUCAUUAAAUAUUCUGCAUAAAGAAAUCUCUACUAGCAAUUGAACCCGUGACUAUGAGUCUGCUACGAGUAUCAUUAUCCAUAAGGAAGUGCACACACAGUAUCAUCCAUACUGGAGUUCCAGUUUGUAUAAAGGAGAAGCAUCAUCAUCAUUCAAUAGAUAAGCAAGCUCUCUUUAUAGACUUUUCUUGAUUCAGCCGCCUAAUGAAGACAUCGGUUAGAGCAGAGUCGCUAAGAAAAGUAGCCACCAAAAGACGCAAAGCCUACGAUAAGUAACAACACAAGAAUCAUCAACAAUUAAAAAGGGAGAAGGGUGCAGUGAAAAGGGCAACAUGAAAACUGUAAACAAUUAACUCACCUCCUUCUUGCCAACCUCAACAGUUUCCUCCUUUAUGUCAGUGAAAGGUACCUUCAAUUCAUUUAUAAUCAGCUUGUCAGUUACCAUGAAUGCCGUUGAUGCUUUCAAAUACCCUUGAGUACUUUUAUCAUGCUUCAAUUUGAGUGGAAGUGUCACUGCGUUAGAAGGGAUGAGUGUUUUAUCAGUAGCCAAUAUAUCCUGCAAACCUCCAUCCUCCGGCCAAUAUAUGAGGCCACCAGGCCAUCCUCAAUUCCUAACAGACAGUUCUCGUGGCAAAAACCAGGAGAAAUCUUAGGACUCAAGUGCUGCUCAUCAAGAUCUUCGACACAUUUGCACAACUGAUCAAUGCACCCUUUGAAAGAGGCAUCCCUCAUAUGCUUUACUAUGAAACCAAGUGGAACAGUCAAAAAACUGAAGAGCAAAUUAACAAAAUCCUCCCCUGCUUCUGCAUAACAAACAAUAUUCUUCGAUACGCUAAUUGUCAGCUUAACAACAAUCUUUUCUUCUUCUUCUCCCUCAGUCAUCGUGUCUCCAAGCAGUAGAGAUUCAAUACGUGUCAAUAUUAGUUGAUCCAGAUUUAAAAUGCUCAAAUUCGGAUUUGGUACAGGAUUAUGCUUCAGUAUAGUUUCAGACAGAGGUUUCUUUGAUACUAACGAGCUCAGAAGCAAGUUCAAAACCUGGAAAAAAGCCCAUGAGAUCAGAAACCACAAACGCUACAGUUGUAUUAGAAGAAAAAUAAAACAAUUGGCAAACAGCAUUCAAUUCCCUCAUGAGCUCUUAUAUUCAAAUUCUGUUGUUCAGUUGUGCUAUUCUCAUUCAUGGCUCCAAGCUUUGUAAAUACAGGAUUGCUUGCCACCGAUAAUGGGGACAUCAUACAUAAAUCAUUCACGGCUCCAAGCAACACAUUCCGACCAAAUUUUGUUGGGAGAUGUCUAAUCCGACAAAUAUUUGCCGGCAUACACCUGUGCUGACGAAACUUCGUCGGGAGUUUUCCUAGUUUGCUAUUUACAGGAAAACUGUUAAAAAUGGCAAUUCCUGGCGAAUUACUUGAGUGUUGGCAAAGCAAUUAACAUUUUUAAACCACGACUUGUGAUCCUUUGGCCACCUAAUUGAUAUUUUGAGUAAUUGAAGAACAAUAGCAAUCGCUGCAUACAAAUAUUAUGUGUAUUUUAGUUCUACAUGGCAAUGUGACAUGUGAUUUUUCAUCUUCAUGUACGUGGAAACAAAUAUAUGUGUGGUGCACCAAAGCUGCUCCUGUCGCUUCGUUAUUAAUGUGUGAAUUUAAUGAAGAGAGACUGUCAAAUCCACAUGUCAAUGUCCCCAACCACAAUUUCUUCACCCCACCCUCUGAACCAGAAUUCAGAGCAGGAAGAAGACGACAUCUCUCAACCAUUCUUCACACUUCAAACAGUAGGUAGACAUGGAUAUACAUACGGUUCUUGGGGGCAAAGAUAUAUUCAUAUUGGUUCCUGAUUGGCUAAACACAGAAUUUUAAUCUGAUGGCUCUGGCUUUUUAAUAGAGAAACCACAACAAUUGGCCCAUGAAUAUGACAUUGAUGCAUUAGUAAAAAAUUCUGAACCACAGAAAUAUGAGACAAUCCAAUUAGAAAAUAUCAUUCUAAUAAAAUAUGCAAUUGAAUGAGGACAUUUGAUAUUUUUAGUAGGAAAUCCAGUUUCUCUCCUAAUCCAUCCUCUCUUAAGCUUCUUAAGCUUUUAAUUAAAUACUUUUAGUAGUUUAAUUAUCCCGUAGUUUAUGCUAAUUAUGUUUGAAGUCAGAUUUACUAUACUCCGGCAUACACCGCGCGGCUAUACUGUUAGGAUAUUAUAUUUUAGGUUAUAGCCGCCCGGCGGUACUUAAAAAAUAUUCUAAAUAUUCUACUUUGGAGUAUAGCUAUACCGUUUACAUUUAUAUUUAUGGAGUAUAGCCAGCCGGCUAUGCGAUUUAAAGGUAUAGAAUAGUAAAUGGAAUAUUUUAAAGGUAUAGCCACCCGGCUAUACGCUUUGAAUAUAUUAUGUUUUAAUUACUUCUAUUUAUUUAAUGAAGUAUUAGUAUUUAAAUAUUUUAAUUAAUUGAAUAAAAAUUACUUAAUAAAUACUAUUUAAUUAUAUUUAAUUAUCUUAAAUAAUUUUGUGGAAUUUAAAAUUAUUUUUAAAAUAGUUUCAAUUAUUUAAAAAUUCUAGAAAAUUAUUUUAGUAUUCUAAAACUGGAAUUUUAGUCUCCAAACCCUAAAUCCAAGUGUCGAACUUAUCCGAACUUGUUCCAUAACCGUUUGCAAGUUGUAAACCUACUGUUGGGCACUUAGGACUCAAUUAGGCUUGGAUAAUCACGUAACUCGACCUAGGGCUUUACGAUUUAAGUUUCGCUCUCAGUCUUGUGAUCAAAAUAUAUUGCAUGUUAUAUAUCAGAUCAAAUACUGCAAAUUUAGUCAUAGCUAGCUUAGUGGAAUUUGUAAUUUUUACUUCACGACCAUAGUUCAUUCCAUGUUAUUCUUCAAUAAGAUCGGAGAAUGAUUAGAACAAAAUACAAGCAAUGAUUCAUAACUACAGAUUAACGAAAUCCCCCCCUACUUGUGCAUAACAAACAAUCUUCUUUGAUUUGCUAGCUAUAAGCUUGACAGAAAAUGUUUUCUUCAUCCUCAUUCAUUGUGUCUCCAAACAAAUGGGAUUCAGUCUUACAACUUACAACUGGUCGAUGAAAUAAAGAAGGCACCACAUGCCAACAAAGUCCUAUUUUAAUACAAGCUUUUAGAAGAGAAGAUGAAAAGAACUAAAGAUAGAUCCUCAUAUGGAUCUUAUAUUAACCAAGCUCUCAUUAUUCUUGCUUCGACUGCCAAUGCAGGUAUUGAUUAGAGAAGAGGCACAAAACAAAAGAUGCAAAGCCUGCAAAUAAGCAAGAAAACCACUAGUCAUCAGAAAAAUCCUCUUUGGUAGAUAUCCACUAAAUCAGAUGACCUGAAGCUUCAGAAUUAGAGACGCAUAUACUCUAUGUACAGUCAAGUUGAUGUGGCAUUCACAAAAACACAAACAAUAUCUGUAGAUUGAUUCAAAUCAUCGACCGUAAUGAGCAUAGCCACUUAAAACACAAUAUAGUUUACUAAUUUGGAAGAUAGGAAUACAAUUUCAUCUUAAUUAGCAUAAAGCCAAAGACCAAAAUGUAGUAACUAAUUUUACAAAAAUAUUAUUAAAAAAUAUAUCAAAAUUACACACAAUGCCACUCCUUCUAAGGCAAGCAUACUAUGUCAUAUUUCCAUAUCCAGCCAACCGCCACAGCCGGCCAGCCACCCGCAGCCGGCCACCACCGCAGGCCAGCCAAUCCUUGAAUUUUCAAUAUAGAAAAACACUAAGGAGAUUUUUAUUAUUUUUAAUUGAAAAUAAAUAAAAAUGAUAAUAAUAACAUGAGUUAUAACAUCCAUGGUUUUUCCUUGGUAGUUCAUAGAACUUUUAUUUUGAAUACAAGCGAUAAUCUAAAUUACAAGAGGAGAGGGGUUUCUCACACACACAACCAAGAUGUCAUGGGUUCAAACCUGAGACCUUGUUUUUUUUCCUUUUCUUUUUCUUCGCUACAAAAGAGUCUAAGAGAAUGACAACUAGAAUCUACCUUCAUGUAAUGGCCAAUAUGGGAGCAAGAAUAAAUACAUGAAUUAUAUCCCAUAUUUAAAACCCACCAAUAGUAAAUAAAUACAAGAAUAAAUAAGAAAAAAAUUGAUAUUAAAAAAAAAAAAAAAAGGCUGUAUAAUAUAUUGAAAUCCCUAUAUUAUGGAUGCCCAUCAGUCAUCAAGAAGUUCACAAUCAAUCCUCUGAAAAUAAACCUUGUUUGCAGCAAGAUCAUAGGCAACAUUAUAAAAUUGCUGAGCCAUAAUUCCAACAAAAUUCAAGUCAUUGCCAACAGGAGACUCUUGCAAAGCCAUACAAAACUCAUUCUGGCCAUACUCUUGGAAAAGGCUCUCAAUGUCCAAACCCAACUCAGCCCCAUCUGCAAAGUUCAAGACAACAUCUGGAAACCCAACAAGGUCUUGGCUUAUAAUCCCCUUGUAGCAUAAAGCCGAAGGAAUAUCAGGCUCUUCUACUGUUUCCAACUUUCCAUCCAUCAACUUUGCACUUCAGCACUAAGCACAUCAUAUGCACCUUUGGCUAGGAAGCUUAAUGUUGUCCCAGAAUCAAAGACUGUUCCACCAGUGCCUGAUGGUGUUCUUUUGAAAAUUUCUGGAUCAAUUUCGAGCCGCCUUUCAGAGAGGCUGAUGCCCUCUAAGGUCAAAUAGUAGAGGUCAUUGUAGACUUCAAGUGGAGUUGAAAGGCCUUCUAUCUUUGCACCAUCGCCUAAGAUUAGUUGGUUAUGAGGGUACUUAGGAUCCUUUAUGCUACCAAUGCAAUAAGAGAAUUUUGACCCCAAUUGGGUUGCCAAAGAUAUGCUUGAAGGUCCAAGACCAAGUAUUUCCACUAGGUUGGCCAUUGUAACCAUCAUUGUCAUCGGCACAACCAAAAACCACAUUUGCGACAGGGCUAAUGCCUUCGUCGGACGUGUCCAAGGUGAACUUUUCGGUCCCAAGAAGUCCGGCUACAUCAGUGCCAUCAAGGUACUUGUGAGAGAACUUGCAAUUGUUUGAGGGGUCACAUUUGUCACUAGGGGAAAUGGUGCAAUAGGGAGAGUUGCAUUGUAAUGUGGUGUAUGUUGAGGACUUGGAAGGGUCAAAAAGUGGAGUGGCUUGUUCAAAACACUUGGUGCAAGGAAGGCAUUGAACCCACAAUAAGUUGCUGCCUGUGUCUACGGUCAAGAGCUGUGGAACUGGUGGCUCACCGAUUGAGAAACUUGCCAUGAAUUGUGCUCCAUUGUCCUCACCAACAAGCCCGGCACGAGUAUCGUCUGUCACAAAAACAAUAGACUUUGCUCCCAAGUAUGCUAAGCGUGCCAUGGAGGUUUUCAACGUGUGCAUAGCAUGGUCUUUGAUGGUUGCAUUAGGGUUGUAGUAAGGAGACAAAGCCGAAUCGCGAUGAAUGAGUUUUGUUGCAAAACUCCUUGGUCUUUCGAUGGUGGAAGCUGUGGCGGUUAAGCAUAACAAAUUUAAGAAAAUAACAAAAUUAGUAAGCGAGAGCCUAACAGGUUUUGCAAACUGGGCUGCCAUGGCUACUGGUUAAAAGAACACAGAAUUGUUUAAGGCAGACGAGGCAUGAUAGCUGUGCUUCUUUAUAACUAUGCGUAUGUAGAAAUAUACAUAUAUGGAAAUAUCCUCCAGACUGUAGACUUGCCUUAUAUGCUUGCUCUUAUCAAAAGCAUCCUCCUAAGAAAAAUACUAUAUGCAAUAAAGGGAAAAAUAACUAGAUAAUCUUGUGUGUAGGGUUCUUUAACAAGGCAGUCUUUCCAUUUAGUUUUCACACGCAUAAGUCAUGGCAUUAGGUUUUCCAUUAAGUUUUCAUCUUCCUUUUUAAGGUAGUCUCAUAACUGCUAUCUUAUUCUUGUCCAAGACCAUACAAAACAUAAUGGAAAUUUGGUACAUUUGUAUCAGUAAUGAAAACACAGCAGUAAUGACUAAUAAAAAUUAGAAAACAUUUAAAGCCAUGUAAAAUAUGUGAAAGUUUGAUUAAGGGUCAUGGAUUACCAUUUAAAAUAUGGGUAAUAUAUACAGUAGUGCUCAAGCGCUUAUUAGUUAGUAAGUUUUGGGAGUGAUUUUGGACUUUUGGAGAGAAGAACCUCGCAUGCUUCUUCAUAUAAUCACUUUUAGUGAUUCUAAGGCAUGUGCUUCUCCAUAAAAUCACUUAAAACCACGGGCUAGUUUGGCAUUGCUGUGCUGUCAAAAUAAUCGCUGUCAGAUUUGCUGUGAGAGAAAUCAGCUGUGAUAGAAAGCAGUUUGGCGUUUGGUAAAUUUUUUGUUAAAAGCGUUGUUGUUACUAAUUCCCACAUAAUCAGAAAAUGAUUGCCGCAUAAUCAUUAAACCCAGCGCCUCUUUGAAACUGAUUCCUGCACAAUCAGAAAAUGAAAGCACCUCAUUAGCUUCUUUUCCUUAUAGCUUUCUCUCAUAGCAAUUUUUAAAAAUAAGUGAUUUUCUCAUAGUUUACCAAACGGGCUGUGCUUCCCAAAUUUUUUUAAAAAUCACUUAUCACCCCAAAUAAGCAAUGCCAAAUUGGCACUUAAAGUGAUUAUAUAGAGAAGUGAUUUUCCAUAAAAGUGAAUAUUGAGUUAUUUAGGCCUCGUUUGGGAUGCCUUUUUUUGGCCAAAAACCUACUUAACUUUAAAGUUAAACAGUUUAAGGUGUCUGGUAAAAAUAAAAUAUCCUGCUUAUUUUAAAAGCAAUGCUCUUUUGACAGCAACUUUUAAAAGCAACAUUGGGGUUGCUUUUUAAAGCUACUUUCAAUUGAAGCAGCGCUCUCCCUUUAUUGAUUUUUUUGCAAUUCCACAAAUACCUUAUUAGGUUAGAAAUGUAUACGUUUGGUAUUUCCUGUAGCCUCCCAAGUUUGCAGAGGAUUCGCUCAAUCUCUUUUCAAAGGUAGAUUAUCAAUCUCUUCAAAGCUAUUGAUUAUAGUUUUUAGGGAUAUAUGUAUUCUUCAAUCUCUGGUGUAUGAUAGUUUUUAGGGAUGGAAUCCAUAUGGUCCAAAAGGUCCUUCAAUGGCAGGGCGACCUUGCUUUCCUUCAACUCUAAUUCUUCCAAGUUGAAAGCUUUCUUACCCCUCGUUGGUUAUAUUUGGUCCUAGAAAAUAAAUGAUAUAUUUUGUUCGAAAAAUUGAAUUUUUAUUUUUCUUUAAGCAACGAUUAAUAUAAUUUUUAGGAAGAAAAGUAUAACAACACUUUCAAGGUUUAUUUUUUACAAAACAAACUAGUAAAAAAACACUUUCAGCAUCAUGUUUAUUUUAGUCAUUACAAAUAGUUACAGCACCUUUACAAACACUCUGUUUUUCAUACUCACAGCACUUGCUUUAUUUUAAAGCGACAGCAAUCCCAAACUGGAUCUUAGAAUCACUCCCAAACAAUAUUGUGCUAACCACUCAUUUGGGUCUACUCUACUCUACAAAUAAACUCCUGACCAUGGUUGGUAUGUGUUUAAUUAUACUGUAAUCUUGGUCAUUGUGUGGAUGCAUCUGGUGUGUAAAUUCCCAAGGCAGCCAGGGCAUAGAAUCAUUCAAUGCUUACUUUAGUGUUUCCAACUCUUCUUCUCUCAAGACAAGAUAACGUACGAGAAAAAAAUUUAACUUUUCCAAUUCAAUCAUUAUAUGUUUCUAAUUCUCUCUGAAUUUCCACACAUGCACAAAAUAAUUUUUAAAGCGUGAAUUUCACGGCUAUUGUGUGUUGUAUAUUUGCCACUUGAGAGUUCAAACUUCAUCUUUUACAAAGACUAACCACAAAAUGCAGUGAAAGAGUUCCCCGAAAAAGAAAAAUUAUGUUCUAGAAAUUUAACACUGAUAGCGCAAAAUGAAGGGUUUGUAGAGAUCAACAUAUCCUCAUACCCACGGAAGCAACACUAGCUUGUUAGCCUCCUGCCAGACUCCACCCUAACUGCUCUGCCAGUUGCCCUUGCACUCAAGAAAUGUGGUCGGGGGGAACGAACAAUCAAGCCUCUAUAAUUUGGCAAUUUACAACUUCGUCAGCUAUACUGGAAAUAAGUGGGAGUGAAAGGGUCGAAAACGAUCCAACCAAAGAAUAUGGAAUCAAAAAUAUCUGGCUCAAAUUGUUGUAUAAUUGGCAAAAAGGUGCAACAAGUUAUUGAGAGUCUCUGGAUGGAACUUCCUUGCAAACAAGUAACACGGCCGUUGUAUACCAUUCCAUAAGCAAGGCCAUUUCUGUACUACCCUCUGAAAAAUGAAAAAAAAAAAAAAUGGGAUUAAAUUAUAAUGAGUUAUUUCCAAGCCAUCCAAUAUUCAAAUUCCAGAAGCAUGAAUUAGCGAUCUUUUAGAUGCAUACCUUCUCAUCACUGGUUACAUGCACGCUCACAUCAACUGACUGCAGAGACAAGACAACAAAAGUCUCCGUCAGAAAUUAUGAACAAUUUGUAUUUGAAUUGAUACUACUCUCUAUAGUAUUAUAUAUGUUGGAACUGAUGGUGUAACAAAGAUUGCAAUGGCACAUCCAAAGCAACUAUAAUGAGACACUCCAACUGGUACAUCCACCAGGUCAUUUCAAGCCACCAAUCAAUUCAGGCCACAUCUUCAUUAAAAGGCCGAGUAUUAAAAACUGAAAUUCAAUAGCAGGAAGCAUUUUUUUGUUUUUUUGGUUGGGUGGAGAGAGAGAAGUGAGGGAUGGUAUUGAUCAGAUGACAAUAUUGGCUCAGUGCCAACCAUCCAACCAAACAAAUAAAAAAAUUGCAGAGUUUUUAGAAGCAAUAUGUGAAGUUGCAUUACGCAAACUUCUUAAGAAAUCGCAGUCAGUGUCCAGCAGCACACAUUCUCCACAUAGGUACCUUACACAGACAGGUAGAAGAAAUAUUGCACAGUUGCAUAAUGCGAACUUCAAGAAAUUGCAGAGUCAGUGUCUAGCAGCACAUAUCCAAACAAGAUAAACAUGCAUGCAUGAUGGGGCUCUUACUUAUAAAUACCACAAACACACACACACAUAUAUAUAAAAGCUUAUAGCAUAACUGUACCGUAAUAUUCUUCAGAAGGUCAGAAGUAAUAUCAUGACCCUUGUAUAACUUUGGAUGCCACUUUCUUUCAGACCAAUCAACAUGUGUUACGGACCAGUUUGCAAUUCCACCAGGAUCAAUUAUCUGAAAAUAAGUGCAAAAGAAACUUCAUUCAGACAGAGAUGCUAAAUACAAGGAAACACAGAAGGGGAAAUUCUUAGAGAGGAGAUUCUCACAUUGAAAAAGGUAGGCAAGUAAUGUUCAUCAGCAAUGCAAUUGCGCCCGUCCAAACCGGGCUGUAAUAACCAAGAACAUCCACAUCAAGAAAUUGGGCUAGGGAACAUAGGGUUUCAUAGUUUUAAAUAUCACAAAAACCUAUCAAAUACUUGCAGGUCAGCUGUAUAGUGGCCCAAGCAUGAGAAGGAGGAAAGGCAUAUGUUGAAAUCGAGCAAAUGUUUUACAUAUCAACAACAAAAUUUUGAGCCUUAAAAGAGCUUACGUCAUCAGAAAAAACCAAAUAAAGAGCAACCUAGAAUUUAAUUACACCCGUAAUAGGAGAAAGCAAGGACGAAGGUAUCGUACAUGCAGAUAUGCUAUAUCUACUUGGUAAAUAAAUUAGAGGCAAAAACAUAUAACAUAUGAAAAUAUUAAGAACUACAAACAAGGCAGAUGUAGAAAUGAACACAAAAAAAGAAGAAAAGAACUUGCCCUGCAGUAGUCCCGGAAUUUCGAGUAGUAAAGACCAUCAGCCAUUACUAUCACAGCAUGCUGACGCUUCAUAGUGAACCACUGCAUAUAAUUCAGAAUAUAAACUUAAUAAAGGGAAGAUACUUGAAUUUCAAAUAUUUGAAUACUAAUACAUCUCAAAAAUCGAUCCCUUUGUCACCACCAACCCUGGCCAAAAAAAUGGGGAUCAAAAUGAAAAAUAAUUCCUACAUCUGGAUAGUUAAACUGCACUACCUCUGACCUAUGCACAACCUCACAGGCAAGAAUCUAUUACACAGCCAACAAGCCUUCAAUUUUCUAACACCUUGGAAUCAAGAAUUACUUUUUGGGUGGGUGGUCAUAUUGCUCUACUGUCAAAAUGUGUUGAUAUUACCUACUGACAAUGCAUGUUCAUAAGACCAAUCAAAAUGGCCAUCAAGAGAUGGAGAACUCCAUUUAGCAAAUAUCAAAUUUCCCGAGAUUAGAAAAACUACAUUUGCAGCAACAACCUAAUGAAAAAUACCUGUGCACCCUUUCUGAAGUCUUUCUUUUCAAUUUCAGGUAACAUGUGCUCAGAAUACCUCCCAUUUCCAUGUGGACCAGGAUCCUCAAAGCUGAAAAGCGAAAACAAAAUAAGAUAUAAAAAUAAAUAAAAAUAAAACCCUACUACGGAAGCAACCGUCAUAACUGUACCUAUUCAUCAAAACAAAAAUGCAUUCGCAAAAUGAUGAGCUACCCACACAUUUAAACUAAAACAGUAGCUCAUAGAAGAAGAUUUCACUUACCAGUCAACAUAGCUUAUAUUUGUAUUCAUCAGAUAGUCAUAGAUAUAGUCAAAUGUAUACAGUGGCACACAACUGCAUAACAGAAAGAAUUAAUAAGAAAUUAAUAAUUGCAGAACUAAUCAGAACUCAACAGAAAAAGGAUGACUAAAGGUACCUAGAAUUUGAUCACCUUUCAGAAAGUAAGACAAAAUGCUGGUUAUCAGGAUCUUGAAGAGCAUGUACCAAUAAUCUUCUCUCUGCAUCUACCAUGGAAAUUUUCCCCCAAAUCACCUGAAAACAUGAUCAAAUUGUCGAUCUGAUUAAUCUACUUGAUCACUAGUUAAAACAUGAAGACGAUAAACCACCAUCACCACUACUGAUAUAAUGACCAUGAGUAUGAUAUAAUAUUAAUCCGGCCAACAAGGAAUAAGAAUUCUACCAACAAUUUUAGUUGUAGUUAUAUUGGCUUCAAAAGUUUUGCUCUAAGUAGAUCUGGUUUAAGAAAAGAAAACAUGUGAAAGAUAUGUCACAUUGUGUUAUCCUCAUUUUCUUCUACCUGUCUGUGUAACAUCAUCUACACAACUCUAACCCCUUCCAUGAUAGCCUGCUAGCUUAAAAUUGUUCAAGAUUUACACAGGUCAGAAUAAAGAAACAAUCAGACAUUUUCUACAAUUUGAGUUAUUGUGAAAGAUUAUGCUCAGCUUCAUUAGGAGAGACUAUUAUACUGUAUGGAUUAAAUAAUCAAUCACCCCCUCCGCAACAAAAUAUUCCCCCGCCAUCCACUUAAUAUCUGACAUUAACAAUUAACAAUUAAGUGGCCGAACUGGCAUGUUUUAACUCAAUUAAAUGAGAUAUAAGGCUGCCUGAUACAUACAUCAAUUAAGCAAGUAGGAGGUCUAUGGUAAUAUAUGAGACGGGAUACGUUGUUUUUAACAUCUUCUACAUGUUUGUUUGUUAUUUACUAGCUUUAAUAUUCACUGUAUAUCAUGUCCCUUGUUUCGUAUGAUGGAGGGUUUCAUCAACUGUAACAAAUUUUGUUUUGUAUAGCAGUAGACAAGGAGUCUGUUAAUUCUCAUUUCUAUUUCAAAUAACAUUGAAAAGUAUGAAACAUUAAUCUUGUAAAGUAAUGCAAUCCAAUCAUGAAUGACUAUGACAAUAAAAUCAGGUAUACCGGGUCACUGCGUAUCUCGCGAUUAAAAAAGUAACGGCUCAAAUGAAUUGCCUUUUCUUUAGAAGCAUGGACAUAAACAGAGAACCUUCCUUCAUGACCCUGUCAAAUAAAAAAUUGAAAGAUUUAAGGUAAGCAUAUGAAUUCAUAAUUACUUUAGCAGGCUUCAUCAACACUGGAAUACUGAGUGAGCAAGAUCAGAAAUUCUGUCCUUCGACAUUUAUUUCCACAUAUUACCAUGGAAAAGCCCUAAUUUGACAUAAACAGAUGUCUGUUGUAUAACAUCCUACCAUAAUCAGUCACUAAUUUUUUUAAUAAGAAAACAGCCACCGGAAAGGGCAUCAAGGGACACAAAAAUCCAUACAUACAGAUUACACUAAAAACACCAAAAGUAACAGAGAUCAUCAUAUGUAACUUUACAUUUUUCAAGCAGGUUACAACUCAUAAGAAAGCUUAGCACCAACUCAUCUCAUCAGCCACAAAGACAACAAAAGUUUACAAAUUGGAUGCAUGAGUGCCACUUUGGUAUAGAACCUUGUUCAAUGAAUUAUUGCCCUCAUCCAUAUGAGAAGCUUCUCCUAUUAGGCUUGUUAUUUCGCUCCAAAUACAACCAAAAAUUUAGCAUUAGUCAACCCUUAUACUGUAUUGUCAAACUUGAAUAUUUGAUAGCUUGAUGAAAUUAAGCACACAUGAUGAUUAUUAGUCCAACAUAGUGCUAAACUGUUGACCAGUAAUCACAAUAUAAAUCAUGUAUGAAAGACUCGCUUGUAUGGGAACGCUCCAACUAUCCUUGUGAAAGAUUAUAGGAAACCACAACAUGAGUUAAUCACUUCAUAUUCUUAAUGUGCUAAUUUGAAAGCAUUGUCUGAAAAGUUAGAUUUUGUUUGAAUAUGCUUAAACUAAUUAAGCAGGACAGGCAUAUUAGGACAAAAUUUCCAAGGAAACAAACAAAAAGGAGAUUUUUUUUUUCUAGGGCCAAUAAAUCAUAACAGAUGAAACCUUACAUGGAAAAACUUAUCCCACAGCUUCUCAAAAGGCAACGCACUGGGUGUAAGGAACAUGAAAGCAAUUUUUGGAUUCUUGGAUUGAAUAGGAGGUGCGCUCAAAAUCUCUCUAAUCACAAUACGGGAUGCAAUCUCAGCAUCAGUAUAUUCCCUUGCAGGAGCAGGUGGAAGCCAAUCGGUAAUAGCCUUGCAACCUCUCGAAGAAAAUAUGUAACAAGCGGCGCUGCUUUGAGGUGGGUAGAGAAAAGCACAAAUCACAAAGAUGCUGACCAAAGAAACCAAGACAAUAAUCCACAAUGGCCUCUUCAGAGGUGGGCGAUGGCGAGCCCCGGGCACGAUCUGCAUGUCACCCAUGCCUAGUCGCCACUGACCCGUCUUCAUCUAGAAUAAAUGCAUCACAAUUUCAUCACCUAAUGAUCUCAUUCCUGUCUAUUGUCCCCAUCCACCAUGGUACUAUUUGAUAUGGAUUUAGCAUCAACAGUCUAGCAGAGAACCUUCAAUUGAUUGGUGUGGGGAUUUCUGCAAUCUGCAAGUAAAAUAAUAAGCAGACUAAUUCAUACAAAUUUAUUCUGAAAAUAAACAGGAUAUCCUAAGCAGGUACAAGACUGUUGACAAAUUGGUAAUACCAUUCCUAAUAAGAAAAAUAUGCCUAGAUCACUACUAAUCCUAAUAGUAAACAGUAACAGGUACAGCAAGCAUGACAUAUGGACAUAAAAAUCAUUAGAAAGAAUGUUAGAUUAACUCAGUCCCAAAAAAAAAAAAAAUGUUAGAUUAACACUCUCAUGUAUGAGAAUGCUAAUAUGCCUCACACAGAAACGCAAUGCAACCUUUCAAAAAGUAAGCGGCUUCAGAAAUCAAAUCAAAUUGAUAACAAUCAAGCAAUUAAUUCCAAAGGUAAUUGUUAUUGCUUAGAAUCGUUUGCCGAAAUUGCAUUUGAAAAGAAAACGAAAAAAAGAAAUCCUAGUCUUCGAAGAAAGUAUCAUGCUCAGAUGGGUCGUACUGUACGGUUUACAAAUUACUAAAACAAAACUUCAACUCUUUGUUUCUCUUCCCCUUCUUCUGCUUACCUUUUGUCAGCAACCAAACGUAAGGUCCAGAAAAAGAUCGGAAUUUGAUAAGCGAACCCUAUUUUCAGAAUUCAAAGCUCAGAACCAGCCCAACAACUAAAACCAAACGCCUGAAUAUGUAUGUAGGUAUUAAAAAAAAAAAAAAUUGCCAACGAUCGUAGUAAAGAAAAGUCAAACCAACCCACAGAUUCCAAUCUAAACCCGAAAAUUAAAACCCAACUGCAAGACGCAAGCUCUAGUGCCUCUUUAGUCAACUCAACCAUUCACAACCCCCAAAAUUUUCCACCAUUUCCUUCUGCCCCGUAUGGUUUCCAAGAAACCAAGCAAAAUCCGAACAACCACUUCCCAAUAACGUAGCUACACCAACAAAAACGAAAAUCAAAAGCAAAGUCUUAUCUCACUCUCACUCUGAAAACUUGGAGAGCAUGGAAAGAGGUACCUGAUGCAAUGAGCUGAAAGGAGCUUCGAAUCAAGAAUUGAAGAUCUGGAAUCUGAAACUUCUUCUGCGUAGUGAUUUAUCGUUGACUCUCUCUCUCAAGAUCUAGGGCACACACACAAGAAGGAGCAGAGAAGACGACCAACAGUCUGGCCUCGCAUAGAGAGAGAGCUGGAUGAGUAGAAAAAUGGAAAUGAAAAUAAUUAAAAUUGGAAAAAAAAAAUAAAAUGGAUUUUAAUUGGGAUGUGUUUGAUUUUUUGAUUUUUUGAUUCCUUAAAGACGAUUCUUUUGUGUGUCUCCUUCCCAAAAUUCUCUCUCUCUCUCUCUCUGUAGUCGAAACAGUCGUUUGCCUUUCUUCCAAACACAAACACAGCCGGCGAUUUAUUCUCCUUUUUUUAUUUUUGCGCUUAUUAUUAUAUUUUUUAUUUGGACUGCUGCCUACCCUUCCUCGCACUCAUGGCGCGUGUUUCUCUUCACUCUUUUCCCACUAAAAAUGUCACUGUUUUCCCCUUUUUACUGUUGUUUAUAAAUUUAAAAGAAAGUGAAAAUUCAGUUGUUCCUCCAAAAUUAGUUUCGUCUUGCCCUCUAGCUUCAUUUGGUUCAUGGAACGAAUUUAAAGAGAAAUUAUUUUCCAUGUCAUUUCUCAAGAGAUGGGAAAUGAAAGAUUCAUUUUUCACGUUUGAUAAUGCUGGGAAAGUAACUGGGAGAUAUCACAUUAUUUCUUUUUCCAUGUCAUUUUCCAAGAUAUGAAAAAUGGAAGAUUCAUUUUUCAUGUUUGGUAAUGCUAGGAAAGUAAUUGGGAGAUAUCACCUUAUUUCAUUUUCCAUGUUUGUUUUGAGUAGGAAUGGAAAACAAAAUUAUAUAAAAUUUCAAUUAUACCCAUAUUAAAUCAAAUGAAAAAAGAAUACAUUUAAUGAUAUAUUGUAAUUCUAAAUUGUUAAUGGGGACAAAAUGCUCAUAAAAAAUAUUUAUUUAAUUUUGGCUCAUUUUCUCAAACUUUCCCAUGAUAAGGGAAAACAAAACUCAAGUUGGGAGAAUGGCUUCACUUUCUCUCCUACUUUUUCAUAGGCCAGACAAUGAUUUCUCAUACCUGGAUUUACCAAACAUGAGAAAGUAAUUGAUUUCUCAUUCCCAAGUCUCAUUUCUCAUACCUGUACUUACAAUAACUCGGGAUUCAGUUAAAAGUCAAUAAUUAAAUAGGAGAAAUUGAUAUUUUCAUUGUUUGGCAACUUAAGCAUGGAACUUAUUCCAAAGGACCCAAUAUUGUAGUGGUUUGGAGCAAUUGCUCCCCCAGCCAGGAAAUGUCAUGUGUUCAAGUCCUAGCAUUUGUGGAGUGUGUGUGAGUUUAGUAUAUUAUCGCCCCUCUCAAUAGAAAAUAUCUUUUUAAAAAAAAGCAUGGAACUUAUUAAAUGACAUGCGGAAAAAAUUGUGAAAAUUGGGAAUCAAGAUUCAUGAGUUUAAUUUAUGCUAAAAGAAGCCUCAUUUUGCACUUUCUAUUGAGCAUGAAAUCGUUUUUACUGUAAGUUCUAUCAUUUACAAAAUUCGACAUACAUAAAUCCAAACAAAAGUGCAAGUUAGAUUGGAAAUUCAAAUUACAGCCAAUUUAGAUUCGAAAAUUUUCAAUUUUGAAUCAAUUUCAACAUCUAAAAGUUCCAACAUUUAACGGUGUAAGUUGGAUUGAACUAAUUUCGAAAUGUUCCAAAAAACAAAUAUUCCGAGUUCCGAAAUUCCCAAACAAUUAUGAGUUUUUCGAAUAAUAUUUUUUGAAACAUAAUUGGAAGAUAAUUUUCAUUCCAAAUUUUUUUGAAUUAUAAUUGAAAUCCCCUGAUUUCGAUAUGAUCCUUCCGAAAAUUAAGCCUAACUCCAUCCAAUUUAUUAUUAAAUAUUGUCACAGUGAAAUGUAAUUAGUUAAGAAAAAUAAAUACAUUUAAAUUACAAACACAUUCAUUGUUAUCAUGAUCAUGUUUUUUUUAUAAAAAAAAAACUAAUUAUUGUCAUGUUGGAAGGAGAACUUAUGUUAUUGAAAAAGUAAUAUCCAUAUGAUAAGGGCUAGUUUUCAGCUACCAACAAGUUGAUAUAAUAGACAAAAAAAAGUAACAGGUUUGAACCCCUAUGACAUCAUUUGUAUGUGCGAGAGAAAUUCUCAUUCCCUCUAAUUUAAACUAUCGCAUGUAUUAAAAAAAUAUGCCAAAAAAGUUGUUUGGGCUUCGGCCCCCUCUUUACCUAACAAAAAUAGACCAAAAAAAUAGAUUUAUUGGAUGAAUUAUUUAUACUACUUAAUGGAGUUAUUAUUAACACUACAUAUAGUCAUUCUAUGCUAAUAACAUUUCACCUACUCAUAACUCUUUACUCCUAAAUUUGGUUAACAGCAAACAGAUUUUGCCAGAAGGACCAAAGUUGCAUGCAAUUCAAUAUUAAAGGGCUAUAGAGUUCAAAAACUUAAUUUGGAGAGCAUUUAUUAACAUAAGCAAAACAUUAUAAGAAAUGGAAAAGGCAGGAAAGAGUACAAGCCCUGAAAACGCGUGACCUACACAUGAGGUAGGCGCGUAGAAUUAGCGUUACAGAGUGCCAGGCCUGCUUGUGGCUUAGAUACGGCGUAUAUACGGUUUUAGCGUAUCAUCAGACCAUUGACUACUAAAAGAAACGAGAUGACUAUUAUACCCUGCCGGGUUGGGGGGGUACAGGUCAAGUUGUGGUCAAUUUGUCAUUUCCGGUGUGCGCGCUGGUUACCGAGAAGCACGUAAAGGAGGAAGGAAAAAAAAAAAAAUUAAAGGAGGAAAGAGAAAAUGACAUGGCAUGUUGCCGUAAAUUACCAAAACGCCCAUUUAGCUUCUUCUUGAACUUGACCCAAAUGCGCACGAAAUCACAAAUGUCAAUUCGCUGAUCAUUGCUGUGAAGAAAUAUUUUUAUGCUUAAUCAUCUGAUUUGCCAUCUUUGAUUAUUUUUUUUAUUAUAAUCAUUUUCUAAAUUAAUUAUUUCUGAAUAGAAAAAUAGAGGUAGAAUUACCCUUGAAUGAUGGUAAAAGAUGUUUUUACUUUUUUUAUUUUUUAUUUUUUAAUAAUCAGAGGCUUAUGGGUAGUACGAAUAGACGUUUAAUUAAUGAAAAGUCAAGGUGUUGGGGUGUCCUGUUGCAUAAUUAAUUCAAAUGGAUAGUAAUUCAUUUAUUGAUUCAGUUUGAACUGAAUUGGAGGCGAGUCUUAGUCAUAUAUUGAAUUGGAUGGUUGUCUAAUAUUGACAUUUAUAAGUGUUUUUAAAAAAAUAAAAUUAGAAAGGGGGUGUCAUGAACGUUUGAACAUAUAAGACCAUUAGUCUGCAAGUCAAAAUCAUUUUCUAUUAAAUUAAAUCUCGUUAGCAUUUAUAAAUUCACUAUAUAGUAGUAAUAUAUGUGUAAUUAAUUGAAAUAGUUCAGUUUAGCCCGAGCGACUAAACCCGGCCGGAUAUUACAAGUUAGAAGGUUUGAUGUGGCAAUUUUGUACUGGAUAAUUUGGUGUAGAUUGGAUUGGAUCCAUGGAUCCAUAGAACAUAUGGUUAUUAAUAAUAAUAAUAAGGCAGCCACGUUGGUUCACGUGAAAGGUGAGCUGUUGACCAGGUGAAACCACAACAACCUAAUCAUUUUUGGGACUAAUGGCCGCUGCCUGCUGCUGUGUUUGUGUUGCUCAGGGAAUGGUCUCUCUGCCUGGAGCACUGCCACUCGCAGCAUAGGAGGCAAUCGCCAAUUACAUUUUUUUACAUUAAAUCUUCAAUAAAUUUUAUCAAUUUGUCAUUUUCUUCUUCUUCUUCCGUCUCUGAACUAGUCAAAUCUCCAGUUUUUGUGAAUUUAAGCCAGAGGAGCGCGGUCAUUAUAUGCCUAGUUUGCCUAAUAUCAAUUCAUGAAUGCCUCGUUAGACGAAAUUUGAUGAUUCAACUAAGAUUCGUAAAGGAUAUAAGAUCACAAUGGUAUUCUUAAUGAAACCACAUUAAUUUUUUGACAUAUGGAGUAAAACAUAUGAAUCCUUUGUAAUUUGGAACAUUUUCUUUUUUCUUUUCUAAGAUAAGGUGUUUUAAGCAAAAGCGAGGAUGAAUUUGUUUCGUUUCGUAGACUUUUUUAGAAUUUUCUUUUUCAAGUGCUCUAGUUUCUCAAAUAUUACCUAUUUACGACUUACUUAUUUCACAAAUUUUUGUGGGUUUUACAAAUUUUUCAAGUUCCAUAAAAUUGAGUGACUUUUUAAUAUAUUAUCUCGAUGAAUAUUAUUUAUUCAUGUGUUGGUAAUAAGAAUGAGAAAGAUGAUCAAACUACUAAAGUCUUAAGGUUGUGUUUGGUGGGCUGGAUUGGAUGAGAUAUUUUUAAUUAAAAUGGACAUGGAUCCUGACCAUUGUUUAGUGAGCUUAAAUGUGUCUCAGACUGGAUAUGGGCCUUCGGAUUCAAGUCUCAAAUAACUAGGGAUAUGAAACCCAACCCGAGACGUGGGUUUCAAACGAAGAAAGGGGUGUCAUAAUUUCUUUUAGCCUUAGCCUCUGUCAUCAUUGUCUCUUUUAUCCUCAUCCUCUGUCAUCAUUGUCUGUUUUAACCUCGGCCUCUGUCGUCGUCGUGUCUCCUUCCUAUCCCAUCUGGUUUGCCUUCUUCGCUAUUCAUCUCUCCUCUCCUUUCUCCUACACUUUUAUCUCUCUCUCUCCCUCUCUCUGUCUCUCUCUCAUGUCAGGGAAGACUUAUUUGGCUUCUGAUAUUGUGGUUCUGAUUUUGUGGGUUAGAUGUUGAAUGCUAUGUUUGUUUUUUCUUGGUUAGAUUCUCUCCUUUUAUUUCGAUUUUGACCUGAUUUUGAGUUUGAUGUUAUGAGUUCUCUCCAUUGUUUAUUUUUGCGAGUUUCUCGAUUUGAAUUUAUUUAUUCUAAUUAAAAUAAAUAUAUUACUUUUUAUCAAAAUAUAUUAGUCAUUGAGUCAGGUUCGAGGACUAUCCCCAGCUCAUCUCUUAUCGGGGAUUUUUAAAAUUUGGGGAUCCCCGUACCCGCCUUAAAUUUCUCCAAAAUCUCCCCCGUUUGGGCCUGGGACCUAACCUGACGAGGAUUUCUCCCAUCACUCCCACGGCCAAGUUCUGUCAAAUUGUCAUUUAUCAAAAAUAAAAACAAAAGCAAAAAAACUUUAUAUCCCAUCUCUUUGAAGUCCCUUAAAAAAAACUCACCACACACGUAGGAGCCAAUCAGUGUUCUAAUCUAUUCAGAUUUAUUUUACACCACCAAACCCAACACAUGUGCUUAAAGCCUAGUUUUCAUAAAUGAGAAUCCGAUCCUCUAGACUCUAGAUAUGUCUAAACUCUUAAUCAAUUAAACUCGCGUUAGACAUUGUAGCUAUUGAUAUCUAUAUAUACUGCAUCACCCAUUAAAGCAGGCACAGUAAAAAUUGCAAUAAAGCUUCAAAAGCAAAAAAGAAUGGUGAAACUUGUUUCUCUCUCAACCCAUUUCCUUCCCACCUGAAGGGGUUUGCCAUCCGGAACUACCACCUGGACUUUGCAUGUGCUCUUACUUCUGCGGUCCACCGCCGGCAGCGAAGCCAUCCAGAAGAUCGUGGACCAAAGCCACCCAAAAGAUUGUGCACGGCGGGGCUAGGUUUGUGGACCUAAGAGUGCAACACUGACUGUUGUAACGCAAAAUGUGCUAGUCAAUAUAAUGAUGGGGUUGGUAUUUGUGAUCAUAUUGUUGGACCCUCAGUGUGUAUGUGCAACUAUGACUGCGAUUGACUCAUGGUAGCUCCAAUUUGUGAAGCCAUCCAUCCAUCCAUCCAUCCAUCCAUCCAUCCAUGUUGGAAAAUAUAUAAAUAUAAUGUGAGAUGUGUGGGCAAAUUGUGAGAUGUGUUUGAAAGAAACAAAAUUCUAAGAGGGCCUUCUAAUGUUAUAUUAUCAAUAGUGACUAAUUAAAUGAAAGUUUAUCCUUUAAGAAGAUAUAUAAAAUAAUAAACUACCUGUUAAAAAAAAAAAAAUUACUCCAGGAUAAGUUUUGGAUAUAAGAUUAAGGCCCCAUUUGGGAUUGCUUUUUUUUGCCAAAAACCUAUUUCACUUUAAAGUUAAGCUGUUUAAAGUGUUUGGUAAAAAUAAAAUAUCCAGAUUAUUUUAAAAGCAGUGACCUUUUGACAGUAGUUUUUAAAAGCUGGCUUUGGAUUGCUUUUCAAAGCUGCUUUCAAAAAGAGCAGAGAUGAACCUUUAAUGAAUUUUUUUAAUUACCAAAAUACUAUCAUUCAUUUUAAAAAAUGACACCACCUCCACUUCCACAUCCAACUCCACCACUUGCACCACCACAUUCACUACCUCCACAACCACUGUCACUGCCACCACAUCCUCCUCCUCCUCAUCCUCCGCACCAUCACCAUCACCACCACCACCACCACCUCCAAAAUCUCCACAUCCACCACCACCUCCACAACCAACACCACCACCACCUCCACAACCAACAUCACCACCACCAUCAUGCGGCCACUGCCACCACCACCACCACUACCUCCUCCACAACAGCCAUCCCCACCACCACUACUACCACAACCACCAACUCCACCUUCAUCACCAACACCACCUCCACUCCAUCACCACCACCACCUCUUCCACAACAUCCAUCCCCACCACCACCACUACCACAACAACCAACUCCACCUUCACUCCAUCACCACCACUACCACCACAUGAUUAGUACAUAACACUUUCAACAUCAUGUCUAUUUUAGUCAUUAUUCACAGUUACAACAAUUUUAUAUUAAAAUUUACCAAAUAGUUUUCGCACUGCUUUUUGCACUAACAGCACUUUAAAAAUAUUGUUUACCAAACAUGGAGCUGCUUUACUUUACAGCUAAUUAUUUUUAAAGCACAGCAUAAUCAACUUUUUAAAAAAGUGACAGCAAUCCCAAACUGGGCCUAAGUGCCUGUUUGACAUCAUUUAUUUUGGGUGAUAAGUGAUUUUUUUUAAAAUUUUGGGAAACCCACCCUGUUUGGUAAACUAUGAGAAAAUUACUUAUUGCUAAAAAUUGCUUUAAGAGAAAGCUAUAAGGGAAAGCAGCUAAUAAGGUGCUUUCAUUUUCUGAUUAUGCGGGAAUCAGUUUCAAAGAAGCACUGAGUUUAAUGAUUAUGCGGGAAUCAUUUUCUCAUUAUGCGGGAAUCAGUACCAAUAACACUUUUAACAGAAAGUUUACCACACGCGCUCACAACUGAUUUCUCUCCUGAAAAAUCUGACAACGAUCAUUUUUACAGCACAACAAUGUCAAACUGGCCCUAAAUGCACUCAUACUCAAACCAACAAAUUUUCUCCUAUACGGACAUCUGGACAUUAUUAUUGUGCGGACACCAUGUAUUUUCCACUACCCCUCCUUACUUUCCUCCCUAUAUACGUACGUUAAUAACGUGCAAACGUCCGAUUGAGAGAAAAACUGCUUAAACAAAAUUCUUUUUUCCUUCAACAUUUAUUUAACUGAUGAUGCUAAAAGCAUGUAUAGUGGUGAGGCAAGGGAUUAGGAGUUUGGCCUCCUAAUCAAAUCUAGCCUCUCAAACUAUUAGAUUUUUGGGUUUUGUUGGUGAGAGGCUAGGGGUUAAAAGCUAAAAUUUAUUAUUUAUUAUAUAAUUUUUGUAGCAUUGGGGAGAAUUUAAAAUGUGAGAAGUGAUGGAACAAAUAAAAAUUCCGUGGAGCCUGGCCCCCGAAUGGCUUAGGCCAAAAUUCCCCAUUAGAAGUACAUUUUUGUGAUUUGGAGUUGGAAAACACAAAAUCAGACCCAAAAAAAAAAAAAGAGUUGGAAAAAAAAACAAAAACAUUAAGGUCUAUUUUUGUGCAAAUGAGUUGCACAAGGAUCUUAAUCAUGAUUACGAGUAAUCACAACUCCCUUAGAGCACUUCCAUCCAUUUGCCAUGGUAAAGAGUAAGGGCAAGGAAAGGGUUGUUACUUUGUCCAAAAAAAAAGAAAAGAAAGGAAAGGGCUGUUAUUAUUCACGUGAAUAGUGACAGCUAUUGCAAAAGGUUGUGGUGUUUUCACCCAUUGUCAUGGCAAUCAUUAUUCACAUAAGAUAUGAGGAGAGGAAUUUGUAUAGAGUUUUGAUGUGGGAAGUGAAGAAUAUGACUAAGUUUUUAUUUUAAAAAAAAUUCUAAAAAUGUAAGUAUUUUUUUAGGUUGUUGAUGUCAGCAAACCCAGGCUAGAGGUCAGGCUGGUUUGGCCUGCGGGCUGGCCCAGUUGCGUGGGUCCCAUAGCUUGCCCUGGCAAGCAUGGCCCGCUGGAAGCACUUCCCUGGACUUAGGCCGUGUCCUGCCCAGGCUGCAGUUCACCAUCGGAACUGCUCUUAGGCCUUUUCCAACUCAUUUGGUUAUAAACCCAACUUUUCCUCCUCCAAAAAGUAACUAUUUGGGUUUUGACCGGACUCGAACCGUUUUUUCCCCAACCCUUUAGACUCAAAUUUUAAGUCCGCAACUUUAUUAAAUUACUUAAGAAUAGUUGAAGUCUAAUUUUUCUUCAUUUAAUCUUUUAAAAUAACUUCAUAAUUUAAUUUUUUGAACUAUUUGACCUUAAAAAAAUUGAAAUUUCAUAAAUAUAAUUUUAUUUGAGAAAUAUGUGGGUAUUUAUAGAGUUUGGAGUGAGUUUUGGGGUUGUAUAUGAUUUAGAUUAAUUUAAAGUAUUAUUUUAACCAUUGGAUUUAAAUUUCAGCCGUUGAUUUUUUUUUUUUACCAUUAAAAUAACUUGGAUUUAAUAUGGAUCGUUGACUUGGGUUAUUGUUGGAAUAAAAAAGAAAAAAGAAAAAAAGUGUUGAGACACUUAGAGCGCGACAUUUUAUGCAGCACCAACAACAAGACACAUGGCGCCCCUUUGAUUCCUUCUUGCACAUGGGCUACGUCAACUUUGAGUGGACUCUAUCAAAAAAUUUUCCAGUCCAGGCAAUAGCUGGUAUUUGGCCUCAGGUUUGGAUUUUUCCAAAUUUUAGUCCCUUACUUUUUUUAGAUUGAGAGAAAAAUUGAGCUAAAAUUUGGGAUAUUUUGAAUUUGACCUCAUAGGUUGGAGAUGACCUUAUUAUCGAGUCUGAGUCUCAUUCUUGAAAAAUCAAGAGCUAAUACUGAAGCUCAGCAGUUAAAACUUAAAACUACGAGGAUGGUUGUGUACAUUUAUCAAGUGUAACAGAUAAUUUUCAUCUCCGCUUUUGGUAAAUCUUUUGUGGGUUUUGGUUCAUACUUUCUGCUAAAAUUCAAACAAAACCUUCACUUAAGCCCAAAUAGCCGAAGAGAAGCGAUCAGAACUAGCCCAUUUAACAUAAGCCCCACCCCCCCCCCCCCCCCCAAACAAAACCUUCAUUUUAGCUCAAAUAGACUAAAUGUAUCAAACAGAUCUAGUUCAUAUUUCAUAAGCUCAAAACCACUCCCCUCCUAUACCAGNNNNNNNNNNNNNNNNNNNNNNNNNNNNNNNNNNNNNNNNNNNNNNNNNNNNNNNNNNNNNNNNNNNNNNNNNNNNNNNNNNNNNNNNNNNNNNNNNNNNCAAUCAAACCCUAACUUCCACGUUUACACUAUAAAAAACAACACAAAACCCUAGCUGCCCCUUCAGUCCAGAGUUCGUAUAUCCCACCUCCCCUUCCCUUAAUUUUCUGAGAGCCCAAAUGGCCGCCGCCGCCGCAGCUGCGCGUCUCCUGGUCACAGUCCAGUCCUUGGAAGGCGACAUGGCCACGGACCAGACCCAAACCGUUGCCCUACCCGACGUCAUGAAGGCCUCGAUCCGGCCCGACAUUGUCACCUUCGUCCACUCCAAUAUUUCGAAGAACUCCCGCCAGCCCUAUGCCGUCUCCAAGAAGGCCGGCCACCAGACCUCAGCCGAGUCCUGGGGUACGGGCCGAGCCGUCUCACGUAUCCCUCGUGUCCCCGGAGGCGGGACCCACCGGGCUGGCCAGGGAGCUUUCGGAAACAUGUGCCGAGGUGGCCGUAUGUUCGCGCCCACCAAGAUCUGGCGCCGCUGGCACCGGAAGAUCAACGUCAACCAGAAGCGGUACGCCGUCGUUUCGGCGAUCGCCGCCUCGGCGGUGCCGUCUCUUGUUUUGGCCCGCGGGCACAAGAUUGAGACUGUUCCUGAAUUGCCCCUGGUUGUUAGCGACUCCAUUGAAGGUGUUGAGAAGACCUCCGCGGCUUUGAAGGUUUUGAAGCAGAUCGGGGCUUACUCCGAUGCCGAGAAGGCGAAGGACAGCCACUCGAUCCGACCUGGAAAGGGUAAGAUGAGGAACAGGCGGUAUAUUAACCGAAAGGGGCCGUUGAUUGUGUACGGGACUGAGGGGGCCAAGCUCGUGAAGGCGUUUAGGAACAUUCCUGGUAUUGAUAUCAUCAAUGUGGAGAGGCUUAAUCUGUUGAAGCUUGCUCCCGGUGGGCAUUUGGGUCGGUUUGUCGUCUGGACCAAGUCGGCCUUCGAGAAAUUGGAUUCGAUCUAUGGCUCAUUUGAUAAGGUUUCUGAGAAGAAGAAUGGGUAUGUGUUGCCGAGGUCGAAGAUGGUAAAUGCUGAUUUGGCGAGGAUUAUUAACUCCGAUGAGGUUCAGAGUGUUGUUAGGCCGAUCAAGAAGGAAGUGAAGAGGGCUCCAUUGAAAAAGAAUCCUCUGAAGAAUCUGAAUACCCUGCUUAAGUUGAAUCCUUAUGCAAAGACAGCUAGGAGAAUGUCUUUGUUGGCCGAGGCGGAGAGGGUCAAGGCUAAGAAGGAGAAGCUUGACAAGAAGAGGAAGCCCAUUUCUAAGGUAAUCAACUCACCCCAACUUCUGAGAUUAUAUGUUUCUGUUUGUGGUCAAUUGAUUCUGUUGAUUAUUUACAUGGUGGUUAAGAUUGUUCGAUUGGGAGUAUGUUUUUGUUGUAGAAAAUUUGGGGUUUUCGUUUUUAAUUGGUGUUGUAUUUCUACUAGUGCUAUGAAUCGAAGCUUGAUUGUUGUAUGCUUAAUUGCAUUAUUGUUUUUAUUCCAAAAUUUGAAUUGUUUGAAUGCACAUGUUAGUCUCUGUAAGUGCAUCUUAAUACUUUUGUUUUUUUGGUUGCUUAUCAUUCUAAGGUUAGUGAAUGCAUGUUGCUUUAUACAUGUUAUAUAUAUAAUUUUAUGUUCAAUUGCUUUUGAUUGUAAGGCAGAUAAUUUUCGUGAUUGAUUGUAUCGAUGUAGAGUCUGUUUUGGAGUAUGAUUGACAUAUUCAUAAAUCAGUCCCGAUUCUUAAUAGAAUGCUGCCUUCAUGUUAUCGAGCCAGAUAUCCACUCACGGUCAUUGUUUUUAAUGUGGAGGAAUUUCAUUAGUACUGUUCUUAAUCUUUUGCACUGUUUUAUGUGAUCUGGGCUUGUGUAAUAAUGUAUUUCUUUGUUGUCUUUUUCUCUUUAUCCAGGAGGAAGCUUCAACCAUCAAGGCAGCUGGCAAGGCAUGGUACCAAACGAUGAUCUCAGACAGCGACUACACAGAGUUUGACAACUUCACAAAGUGGCUUGGAGUAUCCCAGUAAUUUACUUCUUUAAAAUUCUAAAGACGUUUUCAUAGUCUAUUUUGUUUUUUUUUGGUUUACCAAUGUCUUUUGUUUCCUUGAGUUGGGGAUGAGGAGGAAAAUUGGUGUAGCAAGAGAGAAUAUUAUGAUGUGUUUUUCCUGCUGGGUUUUGUCUGGUAGACUAUUUUUGUCAUUCGUAACUGGAAUUAUAUUAGUUUAGUUUGUCAAUUUUGUUCCAUGACAAUGUCAGUCGUAUUUCUGUUUGAAUAUCUUUGAUUUAUAUAUAUGUUACCCAGCUUCAAAAUAAAAUUUAACUACAUAUUCGUUAAGUUUGAUACUUUACAAAUAUAAACUUAUCCUCUUCACUUUUCUUUUGUACUCUCUGAAAACGUCGAAGGCGACCUGGUUUUCAAAGUUUUCGAACCAUGAAGUUAUUGAAUUGAGAAACAGUAGUUGUGUUUUUUGGAGCUUCAAAAACUAGCUGAGUUCAGAAAGAUUGUCCUCCUCUGUGUUGUAUUUGUUUUGUUCGUGUAGCAUUUGGCCCCCGAUUGAAAUUGCUUUUCUUCGCCAAAAAUAUCCUUAACUUUAAAAUUAAGCACUUUAAGAUGUUUGGUAAAAAUAAAAUCUCUUGAUUAUUUUGAAAGUAGUGGUCUUUUGACAGCAGUUUUUAAAAGCCCAUUAAAUUUGAUUAUUUUACUUAUUUAUCCGUUCAAAGCUGCUUUCAAAAAAAGAAGAGAUGAACAUUUAAGGAAUUUUUUUAAUUCCCAAAAUAUCAUCAUUUUUUUUUUAAAAAAAUGACACCAUCUUCACUUUCACAUUGAACUCCACCAUUUGAACUACCACAUUCACUACCUCCGCAACCACUGCCACCACCACCUCCACCACCACCACCAUCACCAUUACCACCACCAUCACCACCACCACAAUUGCCAUCCCCACCACCAACCCACCUUCAUCACCACCAUCACCUCCACUCCAUCACUACUACUACCACCACAUGAUUAGUACAUAACACUUUCAACAUCAUGUCUAUUUUAGUCAUUAUUUACAGUUACAAUAAUUUUAUAUUAAAAUUUACCAAACGGUUUUGACACUACUUUUUGUACUAACAGCACUUUAAAAAUAUUGUUUACCAAAUAUGGAGCUGCUUUACUUUACAGCUAAUUAUUUUCAAAGCAUAUCAGAAACAACUUUUUUAAAAAGUAACAACAAUCCCAAACUAGGCCUUGGAGUUGCUUAAAUAGGUUUUCUUUUUCCUUCAAACUAAACAGUUUCUUUCAAAAAAAAAAUUUGAAAAAAUUCAACAUCAGUAUUUCACUACCAAACGUAUUUUCUGACUUUAAAAAACUCAACCCUAACGUUUGGAAUGAUCAGAAUACCGAUUGCGGUACUGUUUUUAAACCUGCAUUUCACUCUGUGCAAAACUAGCAGCAGGCAGUUCUAGAAAAUGAGGCUAAAAACUUCCAAGAACAAAAUUGUGUAUUUGAAAACCAAGUAAUUUCAUAUUCUAAUAAAGUUUUUACAUUGGCAUAACAACAGAGUGACAACAAAAUUUGGAGAAAAUAAUAAAAGGUCCAACAAGUUAUCAGGACCUAUAAAGCAACAAAUAAAACUAACCAAAACUAAAAAUUGAAAGUAAAAUUACACCCGCUGAUGCAAAAGCCGAACCAACCACAAGGAAGAAAUACCAGCCUCCUAAAUCAAAGAGAGGAGAUAUCUGAACCCUAAACCCUGAAUUUUCGACGUGGGACUUUGUUCUCGAAGAUCAAAUAAACUCUCUAUUGAGUAACGAUAUGAAAAGGUAGAGGAUCUAGACAUACUUUUGCUCACCAUCCAUUAGGUAAAAAUCAUAGAAUGAACUAAUCCGAAAAUUAAACACAACAUUGCUACAAAGGUCAUCCCAAGGAAGGAUAACAUGACGAGGGCAUGGAUGCUUCUUAGUCUCUGCCGUGUUGUCAUUCUUCUUCUUCUAGGAGCAAGUGUUUCUCGAUGAUCAAACAUGGUUAAUUCUCUUUGCUAGGACAAAAGUAAUUGCUAUUGCGUAAUUAUGAUUGAAGAAACAACAUGGUUCUCAUGUUAUAUAUAUAAUCAUUAGAAUCCUUUUACAAAAAGAUUUAGGAUUUUACUCCAAUCAAAUUAGGGGAUUUUGUUGGCGAGUCAUUACUUAGUUAGGAUUUUAGUUCCUUACCAUGUUAGAAUUUUGGUUACUUACCCAUUUAUCUAGUCCUAUCAUAAUUGAGAUUUAUUUCAUAUUGUAAUUUAUAUUUAUGAGUAAUGCUACACUUACCACAUUUUUAUCCCACAUUUCUAUAUCACAUGAUGUGACAUGUCCAUAUUAUAUGCCACAUCAAUUAAAUCAAUGAAGUGUAUUUUAAUUAAGACAAUUAGAAAAACAAAUACUAGAAUAAAUCAUAAAAGAAAAGAAAAUAUUAAAUAAUUUUAAUUGAUGUGGCUGUCCACCUCAGCUCCCACAUAAGAUAGUAUAAAGAUGUGGUAAGAGAAGCAUUUUUAUGGGGGUGUAAAUGCAUUUCUUGGUAUUUUGAAAAUGCAUUCUCCAUGCAGUAGGCCGCUAAAAAUAUUGGAAAGGCAACAAUCACCAUGAUGUAAUGUCUCGCACUUACAAAGGGUUGCGCUAACUUUUGAUUGAAGGAGAUUUGAAGCUUAUUAUAGACUGUGUUUUACGCAAGGCAACAAUUUUUUAGAGCAUUCGACUGUUAAUUUAAUAGAUUCUCAUUUUGAACUCAUUUUGUUAAGAAGUGCAGUUUAAACGUGUUUAGGGAGGCAAAUUUAACAGUUGAUGCUUUUGCAAACCUGAGUCAUGGGCUUAACAACUUGUUUGUACCAUAUUUGGAAAAUGGGCCAAAACUGAUUUUCUUCUUGAAAAAGAUUAAUUAAGACCAGGCCCAAUAUCUGUCCUUUAGAAACAACAAAAAGAACUUUUUGAUUUUGGGGCAACGGUGGGUAAAAACUUCGUAGAGUCCCACAGUGCUAUGGGACCCCAACUUUGGUCCACACUAAAAGUUAAGAAAAUUGGUAACCGUUACACAUCGACCUACGUGAGGGUCUGAAGAAGGAUUGUCACUAUUAAUGGCAACUUAACCGCCUUAUCUCCCAACAAGAAAAGAGAGCUGGAUAAAAGACACCAGAGUCGGAAGAAAUCAAUUACCAGCUAUAAAAAGACACAGGUCAGAAAAGCAUCCCUUGAGACCAGUAGUUUUGUUCGAGAUAUUUAGUCCUCUCACCUAUAGACCGACUCAGAAAGACAGAUCAACAACUGACUUUGGAUAACAGCCAAAUAUCCUCUUUCAACCUUCAUCAUUAAGAAUUCUUGCCUAUAAAUACAGAGGCUCCGCAACAGCAAAAGGGGAUUCUCUCUCCAAAAAUCAAACGCAACGUCUUGAAAACACUUGAAAAAAAAAGACCUCAAGAUCUUUUCAAAUAGCUUACUUAAUGUGUAGAUAACCAGUUGAGUAUUCUUGCGUUUAUCUUUUGUCGCUCUGCCAUCCUUAUGGUAUGAUUUCUUUUAAACAAUUAGUUUGAAUUGUUGUAAACAUACUUGCUACUCAAACUGGAUAGAGAAAUCUCCAGACUUUAAAAAAAAUAAAAUUUUGUGACUAGUGUUUGAAAUUAGCUAAAUGGAGAUUUCUUUGGCUCUUAUUUUUAUUUGCUAUCAAGCUAGAAUUGGAUAGAGGAAUCUCUAACAUUUGAAACCUCUCCAUUUUUUGAAAUUAGUUUUAGCUGUCUCUUUAAAUAUAUGCUAUUUUGUUGCUUUAUAUACUCUUGUAGAAUAAUUUAUUUUCCCUAUUUUGUAUUAUUCAAGCUUAUUAUCUGGACCCAAGACAAGGGUCUAGGACCGAAUAGGGCUUUAUUAGUCUGAAAAUAAAGGCUCGUUCGGACCCGAACUACAUUGUUGAGUUCGAAUCAGCUGAACUCUUGACCCAAUUUAGGGUCUCCUCGGGUGUAAGUUAGGUUUUUGGACCCAAAUAGGUUAACAUUAACCACAACAUUGGUUUCUUCUUAUUUGUUCAAGUAAUGUUCAUAUCUAUCAAACUAACAACGCACAAAUGAAAGAAUAUUGAAGUCUUCUGGAUUGAGGCAUAGAAAAGAACUUAUCCAAGCUAGUACCCUCAUUGGAGCAUAAUGGUUUGUGCAGAAGUCCAGAACAAGUGCGAAUCCAACAAACCGAUAUCCUACAUUGCAUAUACCAGAUAUAUUGGGCUAGUCUCAUAUCCAAUAGUGGCAUGCCUACGCAAUCCGCAAUCAGGGCAUGAGAAACAAGUCAUCACGGCCCAACCCGAGCUCGCUCGUUCUUGUCAACCUAAUCCAACUUUCAAUUUUGUUCAAAAGUUGAAAGAAUCCUCUCACAGGCCAAAAAUCCAAUCGGGGCAUUAGUGUUGACUCGACAACCUUUAAACUCUCCAGAGCAGUUCGACCCGGAAUACUCAGAGUGUCAAAAAAAGGGACCAACACAACUCCAUGUUGUGGGAGCCGGGCUGCCUUUAUUCUGUUCUUUUGCUUUUAACUUUGAUCUCUUUGGGCCUCCUUAUCCUAGAGGCCUUUUCUUGUAGUUGUUGGCUCUGUAUAAAAAAAAAAAAAAAAUUAUAGUAGGCAUGGUUACUUCGGUUUGGUAGAUGACCUAACCUGUUAAUCAAAUCGAACUUUUGGUAGGCCAAAAUAUCUUCCGUUAACUAUUUAUCGUGGGCCUUUAACCGAUCGUGACGAUUUGGUAGGAUACUUUUAUGGUUAAAAAUAAACCUACUAAGUAAGUAGUAAAAAUACAAUUAAUGUUCAUUUCACAUAAUUAUUGACGAUCUUGAGCAAGGGCAGGAAGUGCACCCAUCCUGGGCCCCACAUUAAGGACAUCCCCCAAAUUCUAUUUUCCUUAUGAGGCUAUACUCCAGAGUUGUAAAUAAUAAAGCUGCAAAAAUUUUACAAUAAAUUCUUUGUAGUAGGAUUGGUAUGUGACUUUGUUCGAUCUUUAAAGAGCCAGCGUUCGAGCCCAAGAUUUACCUUUUAUUUGUUGUCGCCCUAGGCCUUGAAAAAUUGAGAGUCGACUCUGCACAUAACAUAAGUUCCUAAAAGGCAAUAGUCCAAAAUAUCCAAGUAAGAAAUAAAAAACCAAUAGUCCAAUUCAUCUAAUUAAAAAAUAAAAUGAAUUAAUUUUAAAGUUACAAACCAACAUCAAAAUAACAAUAAAUGAACAAAUAAUGCAACAAUCCAUUUGUAGUGUUAUGCGAUCCACUAAUAUUUUGUCAUGUGUAAUAAAUUAAUUUUAAAUAUCAAUAUUUUCAGUUCGGAUCAUAUAUUAAAAAAAUAAUAUAAUCAAACCUAACCAAACGAUAUCAAGAGAAGAAGACGAAUACAUGAGUAAAUACUCUUAACUACUGGAGCUAUAAAUCCCCUUAGAGCACUUCCACCCUUAUGGACUAGGGCAAUGUCAAUUAUUAUUCACAUAAGAUAUAAAGAGAUGAAUUCGUAUAGAAUUUUGGUGCGGGAAGUAAAGAAUAUGGCUAGGUAUUUAUAAUAAAAAAAAUUUCUGAAAUUUUUUGUUAUUUAAAUUGACGUCAACAGUGCAUCACUUUGCCUAUGCAACAGCACAGGCUGGAUUUGCCAAGGUUGGUGAGUCCCAUACCUUGCCCAGGCUUGCCCUUGCUCGCUAGAGCCGUUCGCGGGCCUAGACCCUAUCUUGUCCAGGCAAAAGGCCUUGCGGUAGACUUGCUCUUAUGUAUGAUAUAUAUAGUAUUGCUGUAGGACAACUUUUUUAAAAUUAUUUUUUCCAGAACUUCAGGGACAACUCUCUUUAAUUUAUGAAAAAAUUACUUUAGGCCGGCGCAAAUUGGAGUCGAGGGUUUUCUUAAAAUCAAUGGCCCUUGCUAAGCCGCGUGGCCGACUUGUUAGCACAUCCGAAAAAAUGUCAGAUGGUAGCUAAAAGUAAAUUGAUGGAAUCAAAUAGAAUCACAAAAGUUCGGAAAAAGGCAAAAGCUCUCUGAGCCCUAGACCAACCUCCCACGUGGCACCACCUAACCCUCAUUUAUUGAGUGUGCCUGACAGGCCCAAUAGCAGACGAAAUGGGCCCAAAGAGUGAACGCCAAGGCCCAAUAAAAGCAAACGGACAGAUAAAAAAAGGCGAUAACAAGAAAGUUCUACCGUUUUCUUCUCGUCUCUUUUCUUCCCCUCUUAUCUCCUUACACUUCACACUUCGCCGCUCUACCGGUCUCAAAGCUAAGCUCCCACCCAACUCCCUCUCUCUCUCUCUCUGUCCUCUAUCUUCGCCUCCUCCCAAUUUCUAGGGUAGUUUUAGGGUUUCUAUACAGAUUGUAAAAACCCUAAUUCACCUUAAAAACCUUUCAGCAAUGGCUUCCUCCACUGCUCAAAUCAACGUCCUCGGCACUGCGUCUGGCUCUUCAUUCAAGAGGCCCAAUUUCACAACCCCGAGGACGGUGUUUUUGGGCCAGAGGCUCGGCCAAACGACGCCGUUGAAGGGCUUUAUGAGCCUGAGAUCCAGUGGCGUUCGAAGGGUCGGGCCGCUCCGCAUAGUCAACGAGAAAGUUGUGGGUAUCGAUUUGGGGACGACUAACUCGGCUGUUGGGGCUAUGGAGGGUGGGAAGCCCACCAUAGUGACUAACGCUGAGGGUCAGAGGACGACGCCGUCCGUGGUGGCGUAUACGAAGAACGGAGAUAGGCUUGUGGGGCAGAUUGCCAAACGACAAGCCGUUGUGAACCCGGAGAACACCUUCUUCUCGGUGAAGAGGUUCAUUGGGAGGAAGAUGUCUGAGGUGGACGAGGAGUCUAAGCAGGUGUCGUACAAAGUUGUUAGGGAUGAAAAUGGGAAUGUUAAGCUUGAUUGUCCUGCUAUUGGGAAACAGUUUGCCGCUGAAGAAAUUUCAGCUCAGGUAUAAUUUUGUGGGGUAUUUGUGUUUGGGUUUUGUUUGCUUCUGUGUUUUUGGUGAUUGUUUGUUCAAAUUUUACUUAUUUGGGUCUCUUUAGGUAUUGGAAAAAGUAAGAGAAUAGAAAUGGGGUGAAUUUUUGGAGUAAUCUGUUGCCUUAUGCUGUUUUGAUUUAUAGAAAAUAAGAUUUUGAAGUCAUUUCUUGGUAGUCAAUGAUUUUGGUGAUGGGUUUUGUGGAAUUUGUAUAUGGGUUUGUUUGUAUGCUGGGAAAAUGAAAGAAAAACAUGAAAUUUACUGGUAAUUUUGUUGGAUGGUAAUGUAUGGACAGUGUAUAACUUGCAUUGAAUGAGCUGGUGAGUAAAACUAGGCACAACUGAGACUGGAUGGAUUGCUGAAUUGUGAUGCUUCAUUGCAAUGCUGGGAAAUUGCGUGUUCUUGGCACAUCUGGGUUGUAAGUUUGAUUUUUUUUCAAAUGGAAACCUCUGGCUUGGAAUUAUGAGCGGCAAAUCUUCUUAUUUUCAUUUGCCCACCCUGAGCCAGACUAAAUAAGUGGGCGGUAGAUAACUGGGUAUAAUGUGGGUAGCUAGUUAAGUUCUAAGGACGUUUGUACUUGUCUUUUAACGUGAAUUUGUGAAACAUUAAAACAUUUGGGCAUUACUUGUUUUCCAUAAAAAAAUGUCGUUUCAUUUACCUUCUGAAGCUAUUUGCAUGAUUCUGUUAAUAGAAUUUGAUUUGUUUUCAAAACCAGUGUAAUACUUUGAUUGUCUUAUUUUUAAUUCCUUUUAUCACUGGUUUAGGUUUUGAGGAAGCUUGUGGAUGAUGCUUCAAAGUUUUUGAAUGAUAAAGUCACUAAAGCAGUGGUCACUGUGCCUGCUUACUUCAAUGAUUCUCAAAGGACUGCUACAAAAGAUGCCGGUCGUAUUGCUGGUUUGGAAGUUCUUAGAAUCAUAAAUGAGCCCACAGCUGCCUCAUUAGCAUAUGGGUUUGACAGGAAGAACAAUGAAACUAUCUUGGUAUUUGACCUUGGAGGUGGUACUUUUGACGUCUCAGGUAUGAUGUUUGUUCCUGGGAUAUGUUCCCUAGCCAAUUCUGUAAAUACAUUGUUGGUUUUGGUGGUGUUAUUAGAUUUAUUUAUAAAAUUUUCAUUGCAUAGAUAAUUUUUCUAACUUGUUCUUCUUCCAUUACAGUACUGGAGGUUGGUGAUGGUGUGUUUGAAGUGUUAUCUACUUCUGGAGAUACACAUUUGGGUGGUGAUGAUUUCGAUAAGGUACAUAUUUUUUUAUUAUUAAUUCUGUAAUGCUAUGACUGUACACUUGAAUCUUUUUACAUUAAAUUUUUUUAUCUCCUUUGCGUGUAGUUUUGAGGCCUAAAUAGUGAUAAGGAUGGUUCUGAUAAUGAUGUUAUUGUACAGAGGAUUGUUGACUGGCUUGCUGCAGACUUCAAAAGAAAUGAAGGAAUAGAUCUGUUGAAGGAUAAACAAGCUCUUCAGCGGCUGACAGAGACAGCUGAGAAAGCUAAGAUGGAGUUGUCAUCUUUGACUCAGGCUAACAUUAGGUUCGUUGGGAAUAUCUGAGAACCUUUACUUUGUCUGUGAAGCGUUUUGCAGCUCUCUUGGCUGUUUUCAUUUCUAACAAUGUUUUAUUGGUGAUAAUUGUUUUGUUCCAGUCUGCCUUUCAUUACUGCUACUGCUGAUGGCCCCAAGCACAUUGAGACAACCCUUACAAGGGCCAAGUUUGAGGAGUUGUGCUCAGACUUGCUUGACAGGUGUGAACUGUUGUUUCAACAUGCAAAGACUAUGGAUAUCUGCUAUUUUUCUGUAGCUCCUUUUGUUGCUAAUAUCAAGAUAUCCUAUUUGGUGCUUAGGGUUGCAGAGUGCUUUUUGGUUGCCAUAUUUAGGGGUAUAAUUUGUGGUUCUAUGGACCCUGGAAAUAUUUGAUUCUAUAGUAAAGUUUUCAUUUAAAUUUUAUUAUAGGCUUCGAACACCGGUUGAAACCUCCUUGAGGGAUGCAAAACUCGCCUGGAAAGAUAUAGAUGAGGUGAUUCUUGUUGGUGGUUCAACACGUAUACCAGCUGUGCAGGAGCUUGUAAGGAAGGUGACAGGGAAGGAACCAAAUGUUACAGUUAAUCCUGAUGAAGUUGUUGCCUUGGGGGCUGCAGUUCAGGUGGGUCUAUGAUUUCCAUCUACAGGCUAUGCCCAUUGUGGUGUGACUAUCAUUUUUCUGAAUUGUGAGGGGACAAAGCUUCUUUUGUUUUGUUUUGUUAACUGAUAUAAUGCUUUCUAAAGUUGUUGGUUUUUUUAUUCAUGAGACAGUUUGUGUUACUAUUAUCAUAUCUGACCUGUGAUGCUUUUUAUUUUCCUGAUUCUAGGCUGGUGUAUUAGCUGGUGAUGUCAGUGACAUUGUGCUCUUGGAUGUGACUCCACUGUCAUUGGGUUUGGAGACCCUUGGUGGGGUCAUGACAAAGAUCAUCCCAAGAAACACAACUCUACCUACCUCGAAGUCAGAGGUGUUCUCAACAGCUGCAGAUGGACAGACAAGUGUGGAGAUUAAUGUACUUCAAGGGGAAAGAGAAUUUGUUAGAGAUAACAAAUCUCUUGGGAGCUUCCGUUUGGAUGGUAUCCCGCCUGCGCCACGGGGGGUUCCUCAAAUUGAAGUCAAAUUUGACAUUGAUGCCAACGGUAUUCUCUCGGUUGCUGCUGUGGAUAAGGGCACAGGGAAGAAGCAAGACAUCACGAUUACUGGUGCCAGCACAUUGCCUAGUGAUGAGGUAUGUCGAUAUUGUUAACUAGCAAGUAAAAAAUUUGCCAGCUUCCUGAUAUUAUAUUUGGCGCUGAAGUCUAGGCAUGCCUUUACUGUGUCUAAGUCUUGAAUUAUUUUGAUGGAAAUGUCUGAAAACAUACAGGUGGAGAGGAUGGUUAGUGAAGCCGAGCGGUUUGCAAAGGAGGACAAGGAGAAGAGAGAGGCCAUUGACACAAAGAACCAGGCUGAUUCUGUUGUCUACCAGACUGAGAAGCAGCUGAAAGAGCUGGGAGACAAGGUUCCAGCCGAAGUUAAAGAGAAGGUUGAGGCAAAACUUGGAGAGCUCAAGGAGUCAGUUGCCGGGGGUUCAACUCAAGCAAUAAAAGAUGCCAUCACGGCCCUUAACCAGGAAGUAAUGCAGCUUGGCCAGUCUCUUUACAACCAGCCUGGCGCUCCCGGUGCUGGUGCUGGUGCAGGGCCAACUCCACCUGGUGCCGAAGCUGGUGGACCUUCAGAAUCAUCGUCCGGCAAGGGACCUGAUGGAGAUGUUAUUGAUGCAGAUUUCACCGACAGCAAGUGAGCAAGAUGGUUGGAUAGAAGUUAGUGGUUUUCUUGCAUAAUUUGUUUUCACUAAAUGUGUAUAAGAGAAUGAUUUUGCGGGGAUGGGAUGUGGUGUUGGAUUACUGUCAUUUUUGUUUUAUGAAGAAAUGAGAAACAAUGUUGUUAGAUGGCAGAGGGCUUAGUUACUUGAAAUGAAAUAGGUGACUUACGAACGAUAUUUAUGAUUGUCAUGUUUUUCUCAGUAAGUGGAAGUUGAUACUUUAGCUCAAAUGUUUAAUUGCUUGAUCAUGCUAAUCUUAGGAAAUAUGUGUUAUUUCUAAGAUAGUCUUUUUAGCUUGAGCUUCUUUACGAAUCCUGAGCCUCUUAGGCCCCAGGCAUUUAUCUGCAUUUCAGUAAAUCUAAGCCGUUCUAUCAAUCCAACGGCUUAACACACGACAUCUCAUUAAACUUUUAAAUUAGGUUAUUUUAUUUUAUUUAUAUUUGCAAAACUGAUGUAAACCCUAGCCAUAAUGGCGUUAAGGUUAGUUUAACGCGGGCCUUUUUUUGUUUGUUUUUGUUUUGGCUCUCUCGUGAGCGUCCUCUUGUAGCGUACCUUCUCCUUCCUGGUCGUGCUCCCUUCCCUCCCACUUUUUUUUUUUUCUUCAACUUCUUUCUUCCUGGUAACGUGCUCUUUUCUUGGUAAUGUCGUGUUGCAACCACAUUGAGGUUAAUUUUAACGCAUGUAGCAAAGAUGACAUAAGCAUGUGUAAUGGAGAUGUAACCCACAUGAGAUUGAAGGAAUUUUGAGACUAUCAUGAAUUUUAGUUGCAUUUAGGUGUGUAAUGGAGAUGAAUUCAUUGUUUAAAAGAGUUGUUCAUUCUCUUUCUCAAUUGAUUUGAGAAGUUUGGUUUUGUGUUCGACUUAUUUUAAUGUUUCAAUGGGAAAAAUGGCUAGUUUCUCCCACUGUUUUUCUAUGCUUCCCAAGAAAGAAGUUGAAGAAGAAAAAAAAAAGUACGCUUGCGAGAGAGAACAAAAAACACGCUCGCGUUAAGGUUAGGGUUUACAUCAAUUUUGGAAAUAAAUAAAAAAUGAAAAAAUCUGAUUUAAAAAUUUGAUGACAUGUUUUGUGUUAUGUCGUUAGAUUGGUUGAGAGGCUUGGAUUUAUCGAAAUGCGCGUAAAUGCACAGAUUCUAAAUGCAGAGACUCGAAAUCCCUUGUUUACAUGCUUUAACUAGGAAAUAUUAGGCUUGUCAUUGUUAAUUAGUGUCCUAUCCCACUUGUUAAUACAAAUCAUCAUGCUAAAAAAACUGCAAUACUUCCAAUUUGUGCAGCAGUAGAAGCAUGCAUUUCCAAUAUUCUUAGGAUAAAAUUGUGUAUUAAGCCAUGGUUUUUUUUGAUAAAAUAUUAAACUUUUGGUUUUAAACCAAGAAAUUUUGUUAUGAUAUUGACACAAUAUAUAGCCAAUUUAUAAUUUGGUUUUUUAAUCGGAGCCUUUUUUAGAGUAUCUAAAACAGAAUAUCGAGAAUCGUUUCUUAGAUGGCUUUCUAACUAAAGAAACUCUCACUCAAGAGAAGGCUUUCUAAAUGGGAUGCAAAAGGAAAAAUAGAAAAUAUUGGAAAUGCAUAAACCUCUUUUCAUCUGUAAUUUUCAGGAAAAAAAGAAAAAAGAAACUACAUAUAGUCCAAUAUCUGUCAUCCCUGAACUUCUAAUCGACUUGGGCGUAUUGAUUCCUAAGUAAGAAAUUUCAAGCUUUUUUUUGUCUGCACAAUACAAUGUUUGAUUUUGAAUGUAGCAUCUGAUUCAAGUGACGAAAGGCUCCCGAAUUCAACAAAGCCUUGAUUUUGGGAUAAAUGGGAAACCUUCCAUCUGCAGUAAAUGAAAGUAACUUUAUUAGGUUUGAUCAAGUACCUCAAAGUAACCAAGGGAUCAAACAUCUGCAAAAUGAUCACUACAAUCACAAAAUUUCGAAUGCAGCAGAGCUACUAACAGAAUCGACAUCGGCUUUGAAUGAAAACUUCAAUCUUGUUCAUUUAUAUUUUGUAUUAUAUUGUAAAAUAAAAGUAACCAUGUAAAAUUUAGGUGUUAAAAGGAUAUAUACAUAGACAUGGCAUUACCAAAGGAAACAAAACAAAUACUACUCGAGUAUCUUUGGCAAAGAAGCUUCAGACAAUAAAGUGAGAAGGUAAAAAGAUGAAAACACCCAGCACAUCCCAAGCCAGUUGCUAUGCAAGCAUGGCAUCAAACCAUUCCCAAAACAAAUCAAAAUUACUCCCAGAUAAAUAUUCAUAGAAAACAAUAUUUAGAAAGCAUCUAGUUACCUCAUGUACUUCAUUUUGCAGGAUAGGCACGCUUGAGCCUGCGACGUGUGUGGUUUUCUUGGGAACUAUAACUACGCUUCUUUGUCUUUUUUCUGCACAAUUCAAGCAUGAUUUCAUAGUUAAAAAGAGUAAAUUUCAUCACUUCAACUUUACUUCUAACCUGAAGAUUGCCGAAUACAACUAACCUGAAAAGAUGACGAAUGUUGAAUAAAACUAACCUGAAAAUAGCCGAAUACAACUUAAACAGGAAAACUGCGGGCAAGGCUAGUAAAGCAGCGGCCUAUGUCAAUUGGGGAAAGAGAAGAAGAAGAAACUAUUAGAUAUAUAUUUCAGAUAGCAAAUAACAGGAUUUAUACCCCACCCCCGCCCUCAACAAUAGAAAGAAGUUAAGGACAAAAAGUUGUAGCUGUGUAUUGAUAUUUAAUCACCUAAGUAUACUAGAGAACAUAUAAUAUAAAAUAAUUGAUGUUACAUUUACACCAUAUUAGUUAAAUACAUACCGCAAACCAUGCCACUUCCAUACUUGCAAGUGAUUGCGUGAACUCAUUACCUUUUAGCAUUUCUUCAACCUGUCAUAAUGAAAUGGAUUUUAGAAACUAGUAUGAAACAAUCAUAGAUCUAGCUACCACUCAUAUGGAGAGUUAGCCAGGUCCUUAGGUACUUACGUCUUGAUCUGCAUAAUUUUCUAAAAGUUGAUGUUUACAUUUUUGAAAUUCCAUGGAACAAAAUCAUUGAUAGAUGCAAAAUAAAAAUAUGUAAUUACUUAAGAGAAGAAUAUUGUAUAUGAUAUAUCAUGCAAGCAUUCAUCCUUAGCCCCCUUCUUUUUUUAUUUUCUUAAUUUUGAUUAUUUUGUACUAUUCCCCUCUCCUUUCUCUGUCAUGAACAGAUACACAAUAAUUGAGAUACACAGAAGCAAAAACAUCAGUUCCUUCUUAGUCCUUUGACUCCUCCUAAAAAUUUGUGUUCCCCAAAGAUGUCACAUUCCAGGAAUUUUUUUCCCUUUUAGUUUCUGUAACCAAACUAAAUUCCUAGCGGCACCAUAUAUCAUGCUGCAUCUCCCACUCGUGUUUCAAGAUUAAAUUAGGUAUUAAUGUUAUACAUAAAAACAUAAGUACGAAGUCAUACCUCAUGAUGGUAAAACGUUGCAGUUCUGAUGAAUUGUCCAUAUGCAUAGAUUACUUUUUCUGCACACGGCUGCAGGACAACAGAUACUUUAUCGAAAUGUGGUCUUGUCACCAUUGCAACCUGAUCAAUGUAUGGGUCGGUAAAUUUCUUAGCUUCCUGCCACAACAUAGAAAUGCCAUAAGAAGGAAUUCCAUCCAUCUACUCUAUGCACUUAAUGAGCUAAAGUCUCAUGAAGGGCUUACCUGAAUGUAAGGAUCUGCCAACUUUUGCACCUUGAAAACAAGUGGUGCUAUAGAUCUCUUUGAUGAAUGAUAGACAUCAACAGUAUUUGUAGCGAUGGACUGAAUAUGUGGUUUAAGACAGGCUAUAAAUGCAAAAGACUGUUUCUUCAAACUUGGGAUCCAUUUCUUCAAAUUAACAGAGGGAGAAUUAGAUACGUUACCAACUUCGCUCAAAAUGUCAAAUAGAAAAGCUAACAGAACACCCACUAUGCAGAAAAGAGAAUCAUGUCAAACACCAAGAUUGAUACUAACACUUCAGAACUUUGAUUAUGAAUCAGAUAAACCUCUGCCUGCUUUACGUUCCUUUUCAAAUUUUAAGGUUUCCUUGAUAUAGUAAUAGUACCCAAUACAAAGGUUUUACAUUUACAAUUACAAGAGUUACGAUUCAAUAUCUAUAACGAAGAAUCUCAUCUUUGGACCACCCUCACAGGUGCACAAAGUUAACCUUGAUCUGGCAAAUAAUAUGUUCCAAGGUGUUGGGGCACACAUCUUCUUAGCUAGUCUAUAGUGUUAUAGUUGCACCGAUAUUGUCCCUAAAUUAACCACCAAGGUCCAUCCGGGGUUGAUCAGGCCCAUGGAUCCGUCCAGGUGUGGGGUUUUAUCUCAAAAGGUCUCUGUGCAAUUUAGGGAGAUCUACCACUUAAUCCCUAAACGGACAGUUCUUUUCUGAAACUUGGCCAAAAACUGAGGGACCAUCAUCAUACCUUCAGAAACUUGGCCAAAAAACAAUGUACACAAAUAGCAGCACAAAGCCAAUAUUUAAUGUAGGAAGCGUAAUGUGUAUUGUGUUGUAUGUCCCACAAUAAGUCCCAUAUCCAUUGUCUGUAAAUACUGCAUAUUUGAUUCCAUUCAUAAAGCAUAUUGAAACUGAAUUUGUCUAAAUUUCCCCUAGUAGUUCUCAUACUUGUAAAGGCCCUGCACAUACACUUGGAAUAUUGGCAAUGCUCAUAUUAGUUGUCCAAGUAAGAACCAUAUUUCAUGGUUUAUACUAGCAUACUCAAAUUCAUCAUCUACUACCAUAAUCCAUUUCUUAGUAUAGGGUAUCUACAAAGUUUUGAUUCAUAACUGAUGCCAAGUUACAUUAUAAACAUCUUGAAACUGGAAUGAAAGCUCCACAUGACACUUUCUGCAAUGUUCCUGGUGUAGAUUAGUAAAGAAAAAGAAGAGAGAUAACACCCAGAGAAUUAGAAGAAAUGGUUGGGAGAUUGACAUUGAUAUCAGAAAAAAGUGUAAUCUUAAUUCAUUAACCAAGUCAGAAUACACUGAAACACAAUGGCCUAGUUAUAUAGGCUAGCACAACGGGAUAGACAUUAGUAAAUUAACUAAGAUAAACACCAACAAAUACCUAGAUAAACAUAGAAGAUAAUAAUCUUCAGACUCAUAAAACGGAUAAACAUGAAAAUGGAAGGAAUCUAGUAAGACUCUAUCAGUUCCUUAAGACUCUAUCAGUUCCUCUAUUAGCUAAAGCAACGAUAGACUUUGAAUAACAACUUUUGCAGGAAUCAAGACAGUAGUAAUGCAUUAGCGUCUCAAUAGAAGGAAAACUAUAAAGCUUGAGAAUUAGCAUUUCAAAAUCAAACCAUAGUCUGGACUGAUGAAGCAAAGACAACAUCAAAUCAUUUGUUGAGAAUUCAUAAGAAAUGUUGGGGAUAACAUACUGUUCUGAUGCUUUCAAUGUUGAGCUCAGCCCAAACCUCAACUUGAGUUUUUAUCUCUAAGGCCUGAGAAGCGCAAAUAAAUAAAUAAAUGCUUAGCUGUUUCCCAUCGUUUGAAAAAAAAAGCUUAGCGAUUCUAGCUUACAAGACGCUAGUUCUCUUUAGUUAAAGAUUCACCUGGAAACUCAACAUCUUUAUUGACAGAUGCUUAACAAAUACAAUUUAUGGAAAACCAGACACACCUUUUCAAUUCCCAGAUCCAAGGCUGGUCUUCCAAGCUCGUUCCAGUAAGUCACGAUGUAUGACUGCACGUAAACACUUAGUCAUGAAUUAGGCUGAUAUUGUUAACCCACUAAACUGCAUAAAAUUUACCUGAAAAUUGCCUAUAUGAACUGCAAACGUAUGCAGAAGCCAUCCUCCAUGGGCCUGAUUAUGGGUCCAAGAUAUAACUAUCAGUGAUAUGGAAAACUUAAUUAAGAAAAUAGAUUAAGAUGAUAACAAGAAUAUGACAUGCUUCAAUGCUAUCCAAGUUCAAAAUUUACCAGUGAAUAAUAAGAUAAGGCUAUAACCAAAUCUGCACGCUAGGCAAUCGAUAAGUUUAUUGUUCCACUAGUUUGAUUGACAGAGGUGAAAGGCCACAAGUUUUUGAACAAAAAGGGUGUAACUAGAGAGAUAACAACAACAAUGUUGCAAAAAACACCAGGCAUUAGAAAAUUAUAACAUUGCCAUUUCCUUACCUCUGUCAAAUCUCUAGAUAUCGAAGAGAUCCCAAAUUUUUCCUUCAUCAUUUCUUCCUGAGAUAUCAUAAAAUUAAUACCAUAAUCUAGCAAUAGAAAAUUUCAUGUAGCAAAUAAACGGAAAGAAAACCUCUGCCACUUGAAGAUCACGUUCAGUUCGGCGAAUUCCGAUCUUCUGUCCAUCACUAACUUUUUGAAGCUGAGAAGGAAUAGAAAGAGAAUUAGAAAGGAAAAUUUCUCAUACCAAAGUCCCCUUCCACAAUUUUUUUUUUUUUUUGCAUCCAUGGAAAACUGAACUUGAUUACAAGUCAAGUCUAGUUGUAUGUAGGACCUUGAUCACAAACUAGCAUCAUAGUUCUGAAUUUCAGCUUAAUUUAUUGGAUUAUGGAGAUAAGUAAUGUAUACUGAGCAGUCCAUUACUUCAAUCAAUCAAAAGGCCCUUUAAACUGUAUCAAAAUUUUUGUCUGUUAAGAUUAUCUAUUUGGCCCAGCAUAACCCUUUUUAGCUAUAAAGUAAAGCACUAAUAUGAACUAAAAGUUCAGCUUCAUUAAAUGGAAUAGCAAGACACAUAAUUUCAUGAAUUCACUGUUCAAUAUCUCAAAAUUCUGUUCUGAUUCUAUCAUGUAUGUAUGUCGGAUAAAACUAUGUUUUCUGUGAAUAACAAAUUAUGGAUUGUAACCCCAACUUGAAAGUCAUUAAUGUGGAAAGAGAAGGAAAGUGAAAGUUACUAAGACAGAAACUGUAAUAUAGGCCUUCCAAGAAAGAAGGAAAAAGCACAGUACUUACAUUUUCUAAUUUCAAACUCAGUUCACGGAUUUUCUGCUCAGCUAUACUUGCUCGGGUUUCCAGUUCAUCUUUUCUCUUAUUUUGCAUUAUGAUGUCCUCUCUAAGUCUUUUAACCUGUCAUGAAGACUAAAACAUUAGCCAUGCAAGAAGACAUGAUAUUGAUAUUAGAGCUAGUUUAAGGAAAGCUAACCUGCUUCUCAAGCCCACCAGCCUGCACAUGUGACUUAUCUGUAAGUUCCACAACAUCUAAAGAGUCUCUUCCCUAACCAAAAGAAAAGAGAGAACAGAUAAAUCAGAAUCUUGUCACAUGGGGUGUAGCAAGCCUAUCUUAUUUUCCAGAAACAGAGGCCCAUUGUUUACAUAGAGACAUAAUCUACACUCCACUUGUUGACUAAAUAGAAUGAGUAAAAAAAACAGAAAUGGACCCUCCAGUGAAGGAUCGAUAAUGUUAACAAAGACACACUUCUUAACCACUUUAUUCCACUAAGAAAACACAUCUUAAUCACUUUCCAUACUUCUGCCACAAAACUAAUGGAACCAAACAGUGGCUUCAUGAUUUAACAGCUCUGUGAACUGAACUAUAUGGUACCAGAGAAUGAUUUUAGCCUUGAAACUGAAAGACAAUGUAAGAAAAUACUAAAACCUCACCUGGACAGACUCUAUCCCACUUUGUAUUAAUGCAAUGCUGUUUGAUUUCUCUUGAAUAAUCUUCUCCAUCUGUCUAAUACUUUCAUCCUUUUCUUUCAGUUCACGGUUUUUCUCAUCAAGGCUUGAUUCUUCAACAACAUGAGAAUAGGAACGUUAUGAAAAUAGACAAAAUAAUGAACUGAAAUAGUAGCCAAUUAUGUAAAACAAAGUUUCAAGUUAGUUAGUGCACUUACUACAUUGUCGAUCAUUUGAGUUCUCUAAUAAUUAUUUUGUUUUAUAAGACAUACCAUCUCAGGUCUAGAAUCAUUGAAUCUGGGAGCACCUCAGUGGACUAACCUAUUUUAUCAAAAUGUUGACACUACAAAUAUAAUGGGGAGUCAGGAUUGAAUUCUAUUGCAGAAGAGGAAUGCAGGACUAACUCGUACUACAAACACUUCUUCUUUCAAUUGCAUCUUUACGGCUCUACCCUCUUUGGGACUCUGAGAAACCGAAUGAAACUAAGUGAACACUCUGCAGUUUGCAAUUGGUUUCCAGAAAACAAAAAACUUUGCUCCACCCAUACCAAAACACUUGAAAAAAACUUCAAUCCCAUAUAUUCCUUCUAUUGGAUUUUCACAUUUUCAAAUCCCAAUGUAAGGAAAACGUGCAAUAGUAAAAAAUAUUUUAUUUUCCUACAACCUCCAAGUAACCAAAUGUACAGAACAUACGAUUAUUUUACUCAUAACAAAAAGGAAAAACAAUAUUACAAACCCAAUGCCAUAUAAAAAUCUGAUAUAUGGAAUUGUAUAUUCACUAUGUGUUCAAUUCAUUAAGACCAUGGGACUGUUAUUCCCAUUCAAUAUUCAUUCACCCAAAAAACAAAAAAAUUAUGAUUGCAACAACCAAGCGUAAAAUUCAAAAUUUUGAAGUUGAUUUUUAUUUUUUUCGCUUCGUACAUUUUCUCAGAAAGCUAACAAACCCAGAAAGUACAUUAGAAUGAAGGUGUGAAAAUGAUCACCUAGAAGUGAAACCUUCAAUUGGAGUAACUCAAGUUUCAGUUUCAGAGACGAACCAGCAACCUCUGGAGCAGAAGCGGAAGCGCCGUCGUUUGGAAGCGGUGGGUCUGCCGUAAUUCUGCUGAAUAAUAGGGCUAAGAAUAUGGAGAAGACCAAAAUCUUAGAGGUUGCCAUGAGGGAAUUUGGACAACCAAGAGUGCAGUGAUCACUGAUGAAAGAAAGAAACAAACGCUUUUCCAAGUGAGUCUCAGAGGCGCUCAAAACUUGAAAAUUUAUACCAAGUAAGUUGGCCCAUUGUACAAUGUACUAGGUACAAAUAAAUACUGUUUUAACUAAGGAAAAUGCUAGGGAGACCAACUUUAGAUACCAUCUUGUGAGGAAUGUGCUUCAUACGAGGUUUCCACUGGGUAACCAGCAUCCAUCCUUCAUUGUCAACGAAAGAUGAGUCACCAACGAAGCCAUCACUACCAUGAAUGUUCGGUUUUGCCUGCCAUUUCUUCUGUACACGGAUCAGUCACCUGGGUGUAUGCCCCUUUGUUGGGUUAAGAAUUUCAAAUCUUUUUCGACAAUGCCAGUAGCGGCACCAGAAUCAAAGGAAUCCAAAACUUAUUUGUGGCAACGUUUCGCAUCCNNNNNNNNNNNNNNNNNNNNNNNNNNNNNNNNNNNNNNNNNNNNNNNNNNNNNNNNNNNNNNNNNNNNNNNNNNNNNNNNNNNNNNNNNNNNNNNNNNNNUAACUCCACUUUACAUAUCGACUCUCAUGCGAGCUUUAUAAAACUGUCUGGGACCCCCCGUCAUUUUGGGCUCCACAACUCCAAAUCAGUUAGCCCACCAGUUGGUAUCUAAAGUUGGUCUCCCUAGCAUGACCCUAAUAACCACAUACUUGUCUACGUGUUGUAGUAUAAGUGGAUACCUAUUAAUACUAUACUAUGAAAGUGAGAAUUACUAACUUUGUCGUCCAACUAUAUUAUACACGGAGAAGGAUUACACCAUUGCGAUUUCUGUGUGCAAAUUGAAGGGGUGUUCAAGAUUAUUUUUUUAUUUUUUAUUUUCUUUCUCCUCUUUCUCUUGUUUCCAUGUGUUUAGUUUAGGCCACAAUUUUUUAUUUAAGAUUAUGCUAUUAUUUCUGCCUCUCAUAUUGGGUUUCAGAUAGUUUCUUUGCUAUCUUUUGUACUCUUUUAAAGUGCUUCUAUUUUAUAGAGCAUUUACUCUAAAAAAAAAAAAAGGUUUACACCAUAAUUUUUUGAUUAAUUAUUUUUCCACCCAAAUUAUUUUAUGAAUCUCAUUUUAUGUACAAAGCAUCUGGGUCUCUAAAUUUUUUUUAAGCCCACUUAUAAAAGAAACCAAAACAGGCCCUUUACUUAUCCAUAUUUCACUUUCUGAAAAAUAAAGGCCUUUUGACAAAAGAAAAUAAGAAAAUGGGCUUCUUUUUGUUUUCAAUUCCAUAACAAAAUCUUAUAAAAUAUGAAAGUUCAAAUAUAAUAUUAAAUCCAGAAAAAGAGGUUCUAGCGUACUGUUGAUACACCACCAUUAAUUCAUUCAUCGAUUAUUGAUUCCAUGUUGAUGUACUUUGUAUUAUUAUCUUUUCACCGAAGACAUAAGCAUUGUUAUUAUUAUCAAUUUUAUUGCUAAAUAUAUUAUUAUUAUUUUCUUCAGAUCAAGCCUAUCCAUGAUUCUGACUAGACACUUGUAUUUGUUGCUUCAUUUUGCUGUUUUUUGUAAGUUUUUGAAUUGAAUCCAUUUUUUUUUUUUAAAUGUAGAAGACAAUUGAGUUGGCUAUCAAUAUGGGAAAAUAAAUGUAGUUGAUCCAAUUGAGUAUGUGAUUGGUUAUAUUUAUGGAUUACGGUGUAACUGAUGUCACUAAGGAUGUGUUUAGUUCUAUUUAUUGAUUGUGAGUUUUUGUGUGUGGUUACAUUGGAGAAAAGAAACCCUACUGGGGUUCACUCCUGAGUGCCGAGGGGGAGGGAGGGAGGGGAGGAGAGAAGAGAGGUAAUCCACCACCACGGUGUAAAUGAUGCCACUAAGGAUGUGUUUUGUUCUAUUUAUUGAUUGUGAAAAUUUUUCACUUAUAUGUAUGGGGUCUCAAUAUUUCUCUCUUCAAAAUCAAUGGACCUGCCCUAAUUGUGUCAUGACUAGCAAAACCCUAAGCAAAAUGGAUUACUUCUUCGAAGGAAAGUUACGUUGAAAAGCUAUUACUUCUACUCCUAGAAAGCAGUAAAAUUUAAUAAAGAAAGCGUGAUGUGCGGUCCCUUUUAUGUUCUUAAAAACUUGUAUUUAUAGGGUUCAUUUCCUUGGAUUAAAAUCCUUUUUAGUAAAAAAGAGACAAAAACACAAAUUUCACAAUGGUUUUUCACCAAAACAUCUUAGCAUUAACCUUACCAAUUGAUCUAAAUUAUACUGUUAGUGAGCAGGUAGCUACCUCUGGACAUUUACAACUAAUGAAUAAGAUGUUCAUAUGCAAAUUCCGUAUCUCGUAUGUCUUUCAUGGCAUUGCAUGGAACGAAGAGAGCCCAACAUAGCCAAGAACAAAUUGCCGGUCAACAAAUAUAGAUUGCAUUUUGAGGCGUAAUAUACGAUGCCGGCAAUUCAUCCUUGGCUCAGUUAGACUCUAUUCUUUUCCAUGCAAUGCUUUAGAAAAAUCAUUGCUUGCCAAUCUAAGUUUCCAUUGUUUCUUGCAUUAGAAAUGGUGGGGAUGCAAAUGCUAUAUAUAGCCACAGAAAGUUGAAGAAAAAAUGAGGAGGGAAAUGAACAUAUAUUCUGUGUACACGUUGAACCCACUCUCAGAGACAUGAACAUGUGAGUGCCAUGCAUUCUUAUGCCUUGCCAUCCAAAAAGUUAAAAGAGAGUUGUUUGAAUGUAUCUCUUUGACACCGCGAUAUCGUUAUCUCUUAUGGUCAGCACUGAUCAGAUUUGGGAAUAUGGUUGACAUGCUGCAUGGGAGAUCAUAUUUUGCAGAAUAUAGAAUCUGAUUGGAGGUCUUGAAAUUUGAGAGAGAGAGAGAGAGAGAGAGAGAGAGAGAGAGAGAGAGAGAGAGAGAGAGAGAGAGAGAGAGAGAGAGAGAGAGUAUGUUGGUUUGGGACACCUUAUAUCAAUGAGAAACACAAUCAUUUUGUUAAGAAUGGCAAGUACGUUGGUUUCUCAAAAGAAGGUUUCUAUAGUGAAAAUAAAAUUGAUGCCCUAAUAAGACUUUUUUUUCUUCAUUAAAACAAAGUGUUUGAUUGGUUUUUUGAUCAAUAGGGUUGGGUUUGGAGGGUUUCGAACUUGGAACCUCUUCUAACAUUGGAAAGAGAAGUACGUACCAUGGCUAUAUAAAAGCCUUUAAAUUUUUAAUUAAGUUUAAGAAGUAAUUUAGUUAUAAAAUUUUGCAGGUGAUCAUUCUUUUGAUUUAAAUGCUUUGCCAUCUUAUUAGGACCAACAGGUUGACAAAAGUUGAGUGAAAUUUCACAUAUUCUUUCUAAAAAGUCGGGUGGAACAUGAGCAUGUUGGGUGCCAUACUGCCAUGCUAUCCAAAUUGCACUUUAAAGUACUUGAAUGCCUUAUUUGUAACAAAAAAGACAAUGUAAUAUAUAUGAUAUAUCUCCAGAUCGACCUCUAUCUCAUCACCUGGGUCAGCGCACUUGUGUGUCGAAAUUAGAUUUUUUGACAUGCUGGUAACUGGUAAAUAAUUGUAGAAUAUAGCAUCUGAUAAACACUACAAGGAAACCAACUUUUUACCAUUUAAGGCGCACUUGUGUACCAAGUUUGACUCACUCUCAUUAUAAUGAUGUGAGGAUUGUCAAAUUUUUUUUCUCUAUCUCUAAAUAUUUUAUGUUGUACAGGAUAAGUAUGCGGGUUAUAUGUCUUGUGUUACACAUAUAUAAUUGUGUCUGAUCGUGUUCGUGUAGAUGUAUACUCUUGAUCACACGAAAACGAUUUCUCACCUUACAUAUUUUUAGUGGUUAUGUUCUGUGUCGUCAAGGAUAUACAUUUAACGCUACAUUAUAUUAGGCAGCUAUCAGUGAAUUCUUUGUGGGUAGCUCAAGAUUAUGUGUUAGGAGUCCCGUGACACUGCUCCACGCAGCAUCUUAAGAAAAUACGUGACUUGGAAGCUGCUGGUCAUGCAAAAUUAAUCACAUAACAUGUAACAUCCCAUCUCACAUCAACCAACGGAGAGGGGUUGAUGUGCCUUAUAUGUACAUGUCCACUUUCAUCUAGCACGAGGCCUUUUGGGUGCUCACUGGCUUUGGAGUUAUGAGAACUCCGAAGUUAAGCGAGUUUGGACUAGAGCAAUCUCAGGAUGGAUGACCCACUGAGAAGUUGCUCGUGAGUUCCCAGAAACAAAACCGUGCGGACAAAGAAGGAGACUCAAAACGAACAAUAUGGUGCUACGGCGAAAUCGGAAUGUGACAUAACAUCAUGUAUUAAUAGUGGCCAAAGUCCCGAUCAUGAUCCUACCGAAGAAAGAAGAAAAUAAUGAAAAAAAAAAACAAUCCUUAGCAAACACUUUAAUAAGAUUUAAAUAGAAUAUGAUUCGGGGCACUACUGUGCGUAGUGUCUUUGUAGAAAACCGACAUAAAGAAAUAGAGAAAAUCGAACUUAUCCUCUGCAGAGACAGAGAUGCCUUAACCUGCAGCAUGUGUCGAUAAAUUAUGGCUCCGAUGAUUAGCCUUCAUAUUUUAAGAACAAAUUCUCAUUGACUUUAUCAUGCCACAACUACAUGCAUGCAUGGCUCCCACUCAACUGAAGCACUCAAUCUGAACAAGUCAACGCCCUUCUUUUCUUUCCAACUAUAUGUAGAAGCAAAAAUGAUGUAAAAUAUGAGCUUCCCAUAAAAAAAGGUACAUAUAUUCCAAAAGUGGAAGAGCUUUAACUGUCACACGAUGGAAUAGAAUCAUACCUUUAAUUUUUGAGGUAUGAGUUGUCUGCAUGCAGUCUAUGGCUAUAAAUAGGAUGACAAUGCUGCAUUAUGUAAAUGAACUGAAGUGGUUCAGAGCGAUUAAUAAAAAUACCAUUUGUUCAAGAGUCUUGCAUGAGGAGAUGGAGAGUAGAUAUGAGCCAAGGAUGACUUGCCAAAGCAUAUGGCCUUUCCACUUGUUUAUCUUCUGGCAAGCUGUCCUUGGUUCACGUUUGCUCUCUUUUCUCUCAUGUGAGAUUCAAGGACCAACGCCUACAACUGGAGAGGGGGGAGAAGAAUUUACUUUAUAAUUGUGAUGCUAACGCAAAUUUUUGCUUGUGUUUUCUGUCUGCAGCAACUGGAGGAGUUAAAUCAUAACGUGUUUCCGCGAUUUCCCUUUUGUGAGAGCCUUGUGGUUGAUAAAAUCGUAGCAUUCAACACAAAACUAAUUGAAAUUGGUGGAGAAAUUAUAAGCUCAGUAAGGCGCAUGACUUUACAUCUCUCCCGUGGGAUAUGCCCCCCUCAACACACUCAUUGACAUUCCAGCCAUUGAGCAUGACAUUGUUGUUAUGCAGAACCCUCAAUCCUGGACAUAUAAAUUUCAUGCACUCCUCUUGUAAGUUCAUCUUUAUUUUACUUUUGGUAAACAUAAUUUGAUGUUAUUUAUUUAUUUUAUUCAAAUAGUUCUGAUCACAUCUCAGACUUCUGUGCGUUUUUCCUGAAGUCCCAAUUAUUUCAAGAUUUUUUUUUUUUGGUGCAAUGACACCUGCAAAUGUCUAACAUAUUCCUUAUGGAAUGUCUUUGUAGGGUUCCGAGUGUGUAGGGAAGGCUAGAGAAAAGAAGUCCAGUAGUCUUUCUCGCUUACAGAUGCAGAGAGUGUGGCUGCAAUGACAUCUAUUUGGGUCAGGGCAUUCAGACGAUGAUGAUUUGCAGGGAAAUCUAAUUACUUUAUACCUUGCUUCAGCUCCAUAUUGUAUCCCUACCACAAAAUUUUCCUUCAAUUAUUAACUAAAUAUCUUGUCUACAAAACUACUAACAAUACAUGUAAAAAUUGAGAUUAGAUAAAAACACACACGCAAAAUUUGCAUACAUACAUACAUACAUACAUGUAUAUUGUUGCUACUUGGUAAAAUUAUUUGGGAAAAGUAUUUUACCAGAAGAGGCAACAACCAAGAGAACAACCAGGAAAGUUAACUUGAGUGAUUUCUCCAUAUCUGUUCAAUUUGUUGAUAGCAAGAGGGAAGAAACUAGAGGGUUGUAGCGCCUCUCCAAACUAAAACCUACGAUUUUAUAUAACGUUCUGCCGUGUCGUAAGGUUUGGACUCUACGGAUUCAUGCUUGGAUUUGGUAAAGAAAUAAAUAUAAUAUAUCGACCCAAGUGGUAACUAAGUUCACUUUCAGAAUCAUAUUCAGACUUCAUUAGUUCAUUAUGCUGAAUAAUGAUAUCUUUCCAAAUUAGUUAAAUUGUAGGAAACACUUCUACUUAUAAGCGCUUUUAUUAGAAGGACGUUGAAACUUUUAUUAAAAAUUCAAGUGUUUCUAGAAGAAGCACUCCAGAAAUCACUUUCAAUGUUCAGUUCGUUCAUGUCAAAAGAAUACAAAUAUAUAAUUAGUUCACUAAAGUCUCAAGUGGCAGUACUUCAAUUUAAACUUUUCAACCGAACGCCUACCAGAUUGCAAGCGCAAAUGUUCAAACAAAAUAUGUCUUUCGGGCAUUGCAGUUUCUUGCAAGGUUGUUCAGGAGUGAUCUGGGAGCACACAUGUAGGCUGUAGCCGUUGAGCAUGACAUUGUUGUUUCAUGAAAACAAUUCGUGAAGGAAGGAAACUCUGUAGCAAAUUGGUUGGCUCGACACAGUCAUGCAACGUCCAACCCUCAAUCCUGCACAUAUACCUUUCAUGCUUCCAUGAUUGCCGUUUGCGUUUAGCAAAAAGCAAACCAAACAUAUACAAUAUUGUUCUCCACAACACACCUCCCCACCCCAAACAUAUACAAUAGCGGCUAUACUAUUUUAUUUUAAAAAAAUGAAAAAAAAGCCCAGUACGGACGCGCGGCUAUACUAUUUGAAAAAUUAAAAAUAAAAACCAAGUAUAGCCGAGCGGCUAUAAUAUUUUCGAUUGAAAAAUAAAAUUACAAAAAAGCCCAGUACAGAUGCGUGGCCAUACCCUUUUUUUUUGCAAAACCGAGUAUAGCCGCGCGGCUAUACUAUUUACAAAAUAAAAAUAAUAAAAAAGCACGUGUCAAAAACAGUAUAGCCGUCCGGCUAUACUAUUUUAUUUUAAACAAAACCGUAGUAUAGCCUGCCGGCUAUUUAACAUUAUAUUUAGAAGGUAUAGCCGCGCGGCCAUACUGUGUCAAAAAAAAAUAGUAUAAUUAAUUUUAAUUUUUUAAUAUAUAUUAUUUUUAUUCAAUAAUAUGUGAGAGUUAUGUGUAUAAUACGUGAAUUUUGUGUGUAUUAUUGAAAAUUUUAUAAAAAAAUAUGUGUUUUAAACAUGAAAAAUAUGUACGUACAUGUACAAUACGAGUAUUGUAAGUUUGCUUUUUUUAAAAACAUGAAUUUUACCGAAUCUUUAAGAUGUGUACAGAACACUGAUCUAGUAUUGAAAAAUAUGAGCGUACUUGUAUAAUAUAAUAUUAAAUGUGAAAGUGUUAUAAUUUUAAAUUUAUUUUUUCUAUUGUUCCGCGAACCAUUCUUGCUCCCACAAACUCUGAGAAGAUAAAAUACCAAAUGACCAGUGGAUGGAUCCCUUCAGUGCAUUGCACAACUUAUUUCACUUAAUGCACAUCUAGAAGAAAGAUUGGCCUCAAGGUUUACCAUGAUUCGAUCUGUGUGACGCAAGUUGUGCCAUUUUCUUCCCAUUCUUGGUAUGUGAGUAAUUUAUCCUUCCAAACAUCCCACACCGGCCCCUUCCUUGUUUAAGAAUCUAUUUUGAGAACAGCAAUCAAAUAUUUUAGCCCAUCCUUAUUAUGUUUCUUUAUUCGAUGCAGUGGAUGUGAAGUUGGGCCCAAAGAUCAUGUGCGGAGCCUGAGUUUCUUCUGCUAAUCAGAAGAGGCAAAAAGGUUGCAAAAAAUAUUAGAAUAUAUAUAUUCUUUCAUGGAAAAUAUUGGUUAUGGCGUUUGGGAGGCAUAAUCAUAUCCACACACUGCAAAGUGUUUUCUUUUUCUUUUUCUUUUCUUUACUGUAAAGCUGGUUUCCGUACUGUGAAACUAUCAUCACCAUUUCUGCCUAUAUAAUUAGAAGCAAAUGCAUUACAAUUGAUAUAUCAAUAUCAGAGAUACAUCUGUGAAUGUGAGGGAGAAAAAAAUUCAAUAAAUGUAGAUCGUUUGUAUAUGUAACCAUUAAUUCUUUUGUGCAGUCUCAGAGUGUUUACAUGAAGCACUAGAGAUUGGAUUGCAGCCAAGGAUGACUUGCCGGCAUUUACAGUACUCUUGCUUUAUGCAGCUGAGGUUUGCCGGCAAGUUGUCUUUGGCUACAUUUUGCUCUCUUCUUCUCAUGUCAGCCUCUGAGACUUGGGAUUGUUUUAGUGCUAUCGGGGGAGAGUGGAAGCGUAAAUACGCUUUAAUUACUUGAGCUACAAAUUUCUUGUAUUUUUUUUUGUUUUGCAGAAUUCAGUUAUUUACCCAAUUUUUUUAAGAGGAAGAAGUUUAUUUCCGUCACCAAACUAUAAGAAAGGUCCUCUCUUAUCCCAAUUAAUGAGCAAAACUCACUUGUUUUUUUGUUAGAACAGAUGUCAAGAUCAAGAGCAUUUCAAUUAUUGGUGGUGCUGAUGGAACAAAAGUCCUUCCAAGAUGAGGGCGUAAGUUCGAACUUUAAUGUUUUCUGCCUAAGGCCUGGAUUUCUUAUAUUGGUGUAGUUCGAACAAAACAAAUAUCAAAACAGUCUUUGAUAGGUGUUCAUUGUUCACUUCAUCGCAUUUUUGCAAUGGAAGAUGUUGGUUUAGUUGAGGCUCAUGUAAUCUCUCUUAAUCUCUCUUAGUUGAGGCAUGAAGCAUGAAAAAAAGUGUUGGAUAAUAUUAUGCAGGAAACGGAAAGUAAAUCAGAUGAUUCAAAACUUAAACAUCACCAGAACCACAACAUCAAUACCCAAAGUGGCCCUUACAUGGACAUUUUCUUUGGUAUGAGGACAGACAGAACAGAUAGGAGCUUCAUGACCUUCAAAAGUAAACAGUCUUUGGCCACAAAACACAUCCCAAACCUUACACAUACAUUUAUGAAACCAACCUUGACGGUCUUGUCAUCAGCACAAGUUAUGACCAAAAGUUGGUCGUGAGGGGAAAAGAAUGCCAAAUCAUUUACACUUCCCAAGUGAGCAUCAAUCUACCUAAGAAAAAUGAUGGGUUAGGUUUAAAGUCACAUACUCAAAAGUUGCAGUUUCCUGUUAUUUUUCAUAACUUACUUCCAAUUGUUGUUGCCUCCAUUAUAAGAAUAUAAUUGCACAAUGUGCUUUGCAUAUGUAACCCCGGUUCAAUGAAGAACACGACGGCAGUGAAUAUGAACUACAAGAAAUGAAAAUAAGCAACUACAUACCAUUUAAGUAUGAGAACAUUCUCACCAAAUAUAGAACCNNNNNNNNNNNNNNNNNNNNNNNNNNNNNNNNNNNNNNNNNNNNNNNNNNNNNNNNNNNNNNNNNNNNNNNNNNNNNNNNNNNNNNNNNNNNNNNNNNNNNNNNNNNNNNNNNNNNNNNNNNNNNNNNNNNNNNNNNNNNNNNNNNNNNNNNNNNNNNNNNNNNNNNNNNNNNNNNNNNNNNNNNNNNNNNNNNNNNNNNNNNNNNNNNNNNNNNNNNNNNNNNNNNNNNNNNNNNNNNNNNNNNNNNNNNNNNNNNNNNNNNNNNNNNNNNNNNNNNNNNNNNNNNNNNNNNNNNNNNNNNNNNNNNNNNNNNNNNNNNNNNNNNNNNNNNNNNNNNNNNNNNNNNNNNNNNNNNNNNNNNNNNNNNNNNNNNNNNNNNNNNNNNNNNNNNNNNNNNNNNNNNNNNNNNNNNNNNNNNNNNNNNNNNNNNNNNNNNNNNNNNNNNNNNNNNNNNNNNNNNNNNNNNNNNNNNNNNNNNNNNNNNNNNNNNNNNNNNNNNNNNNNNNNNNNNNNNNNNNNNNNNNNNNNNNNNNNNNNNNNNNNNNNNNNNNNNNNNNNNNNNNNNNNNNNNNNNNNNNNNNNNNNNNNNNNNNNNNNNNNNNNNNNNNNNNNNNNNNNNNNNNNNNNNNNNNNNNNNNNNNNNNNNNNNNNNNNNNNNNNNNNNNNNNNNNNNNNNNNNNNNNNNNNNNNNNNNNNNNNNNNNNNNNNNNNNNNACGAUCAUCCUAAAAAGACAGGAAAUUUAUAACGAUGGGAGAAAAAAAAAAAGAACAUAGUUUCUCAUUACUUAACAUAGAAGAAUUGUCUGCCAAGUGGGAUGAAAAUCCAUGCUCAUUGGAGAUGAGCCUUUAUUUAGUGUCAGGGCAACAGUAGUGGGCAAACCAUUGGGUAUGGCACAUGUGACUUUGGCCAGGAUCAGUAACAGUUGAUUUUACCUAAACAAAUGAAAGACGACCAAGGUCAAGAAACACAAGUUCUAUUAUGUAAUUCUGUACAUAAAUUUGAUUCAGAUUACCUCAUCCAAAAUCGGAAAGAACAUUUUUUUGUACAAGCAUGGAUAGUCAAUAACCUCUAUAGCUGUAGCCACAAAAAUGUAACCAAAAGUUAAUAAUAACAACUAUGCAAUGUGUAAAAUGACGACACACUUCAAACAUAAAUUAGAGGGUACCAGUACCCAACAACAUCCCUUGAAGAACUAAAAUAAAAUACCUAGGCUCUUUGCAGCAUUGAGAGAUACUUGUUAGAAUACGCAGACCAUUAUCUUGCAUAUUAAUUCAAUCAAACAUGUAAUAGGUUUCAAAGAAAAUGCAGAGAGUUUUUAGAGAAUAGAGUAGUGAAUUUCUGUAAGAGAGAGAGAGCUUGGAGAAGAAGCUGGCUAUCUAAAUUAGCUCAGCACCAAAAUCAUGCAUAUAUUGUGACUCUGACAAAACCGUUAGAGAAAGAGAUAUUCCCUAUUACAUCACUCAAUCUUAGCCAUUUAAUCAUUACCCUAUGAGAUAAUGACAAGUGGCAUAAGCUAUUACAUUCUCUGCUGUACACUUGGACUAUGAUCCAACGCAGCCUUUCUAACUAAAAUAGAACCUUCCUAUUCUAAUUACAUUUCAGCAGCCACACUUAUACACCAACACUCCCUUCUAAGUGUUGUGCUGAAAUAACUCCUAGAGCUUUCCUCAAAUACUCAAAUCUAUCUCUUGCUAAAGACUUGGUGAAAAUGUCAGCAAGCUGCUCUUCAGUUUUGCAAUAUAGCAAAUCGAUCUCACCAUUUUGAAUAGCAUCUCUUAUGAAGUGAAACCUACGGUUGAUGUGUCUGGUUUUGUGAUGAUGAACAUGAUUCUUUGAUAUAGCAAUAGUUGAAGUGUUGUCACACAACAACUGAGUUGGUUCUACAUGUUCCUCUCCAAAAUCUGAUAACACAAACCUCAGCCACAUAGCUUGUGCAGUAGCUUCUGCUGCACUCAUGUACUCAGCCUCUGCUGUUGAUAGAGCAACACUGCUUUGCUUGAUUGAAGCCCAAGAAAAUACACUUGACCCCAAGUUGAAUGCAUAGCCUGAUGUGCUCCUCAUGUCAUCUUCACUUCCACUCCAAUCACUGUCACAGUAACCUAUUAGCACUGCUCCUUUUCCCUUCUCAUAAGCAAUUCCAUAGCUUAUAGUGCCUUGAAUAUAUCUCAACACUCUCUUUGCUGUUCCCAUGUGCUUCUUGGUUGGAUUAUGCAUGAAUCUAGCCAAGAGGCUUGCUGCAAACAUGAUAUCUGGUCUGCUUGCAGUCAGGUAGAGCAAGCUUCCCACCAUUUGCCUAUACAAGGUCUCAUCUGUUAGUUCACUUCCAUCCACUUUUGACACCUUUUCAUUCACUGCCAGUGGUGUUGCAACAGACUUGCAAUCCUUAAGUCCAAACUUGUCAAGUAAGGUCUUUGCAUACUUCUUCUGGUGUAGGAAGAUGCAAGUAUCAGUUUGUAGGACUCCAAGACCAAGGAAGUGAUGAAGCAGUCCUAGGUCAGUCAUCUCAUAUUGCCUCAUCAUAUCAUUCUUGAAUGCAGCCAUCAUUUCUUUUGAACUUCCUGUGUAGAUAAUAUCAUCUACAUAUAGGGACACAAUGAGAUUACCACUUGUAGACAUCUUAGUGUACAAUGUAGCUUCACUUGGACUUCUAUAAAAAUCAGUUUUGAUGAAAUAGGAAUUUAUCUCUUCAUACCAAGCUCUUGGAGCUUGUUUCAAACCAUAUAAGGCCUUUUUCAGCUUAUACACCUUAUCUUCACUUCCUUGUAUCACAAAACCAGAUGGUUGAUCCACAUACACUUCUUCAUUUAGCACUCCAUUAAGAAAUGCUGACUUUACAUCCAGCUGAACCAGUCUCCAGUUUCUCUGUGCAGCUACAGCCACCAAGGUUCUCACAGUAUCAAGCCGAGCCACUGGUGCAAAGGUCUCAUUGAAGUCUAUUCCAGGCUUUUGAGAAUAUCCCUUUGCAACCAGCAGAGCCUUAUUCUUUUGCACAGAUCCAUCUAGGUUCAGUUUAGUCUUAUAGACCCAUUUGAUUCCAAUGAUUGGUUUAUCAAAUGGUCUAUCCACAAGCUCCCAUGUAUUGUUCUUUUCAAUCAUGGUGAUUUCAUCUUCCAUUGCUUUCUUCCAAGAGUCAUCCUUUGCUGCCUCUUCAAAACUUUCUGGUUCUAUAAUGCACAUGUUGCAUUUUUCAUAAAUUUCUGCAAUGCUCUUGUACUUGAGAGGAGUAUAAUCAACAUCCUAUGAUCCUGUGACCCUUUUCUAGGUCAUUGGUUUCAGUGUUUAAGCUAUGCAUCUCAUUCACUUCCAAUUGUUCUUCAAAUUCACAAGAACUCCCUUCUGCUCCUUGUUCUUCUUCUCUGAUUUCAGUGAGCUGAAUGUUCACACUAGUUUCCUUCUUUGCAUUCCAAUCCCAACACUCAUUCUCACUAAAUAUCACAUCUCUUGAAACAAUUACUUUUCCAGUUUCAAUAUUGUACAGCCUGUAUCCUUUCUCACAGCUGCCAUACCCCAAAAAAAUACACCUUUUGCUUGCCAAAUCUAGUUUCUGUCUUUGCUGUUUUGGUACAUGAGCAUAACACAAUGAACCAAAUACCUUUAGAUGCUUAACUCCUGGUUUCCUCCCACUAUAAGCCUCAAAUGGUGUCCUUUUGCUCAAGGCUUUAGUUGGACACCUAUUCAAAAUAUACACAGAUAUGUUGACUGCCUCAGCCCAGAAAUCAAAUGGAAUUUUCUUCUCCAACAGCAAACGCUUGGCCAUUUCUACUAUAGUUCUAUUCUUCCUCUCUGCCACACCAUUUUGCUGUGGUGUGUAUGGAGUUGUAAGCUGCCUUUCAAUGCCUGCAUUAUCACAGAACCUGUCAAACUCCACUGAAGUGUAUUCUCCCCCUCUGUCACUUCUCAAUUUUUUUAGUUUGUAACCACUUUGCAAUUCCACAGUGGCUUUGAAUUUCUUAAACACAUUUAGAGCUUCUGACUUGUGCCUUAAGAAAUAAACCCAACACAUCCUUGUGCAAUCAUCUAUGAAAGUGAGAAAAAACCUAUUUUCAGCUUUGGUAACUGUCUGCAUAGGACCACAGAUGUCACUGUGAAUAAGUUCUAGUGGAGUUGAUGCUCUAGUGGUAGCUUCUCUUGGAAAUGCUUCUCUACUCUGCUUGCCUAGAACACAACCCUCACACACCUCUUUAACUUCUUUAAUUUCUGGCAACCCUACUACCAUAUCUUGCUCUUUCAACAGUUUCAGACUACUCAUAUUGAGAUGUCCAAAUCUUCUAUGCCAGAGGUCAGUGGAAUGGUCUACACCUGCUCUAUAAGCUAAGUGCAUUUCAGCCUGCAAUUUCAAAGGAAAGCUUCUAUUUCCUUUCAUCUGAACUUUUGCCACCAAAUUUGUAUGAGAGCUGUCAUUGUAGAUUUCCACCUUGUGAUCUCCAAAUACCAAAUAGUAGCCAUGCUCUAUCAUCUGUCCCACACUGAGUAAGUUCUCUUUCAGUCCAGGUACAAGCAUUAUUUCUUUGAUAUGUCUCUUGCCUGCUUUGGUUUCAACCACAAGAGUGCCUUUUCCAGUUACCUCUACAAGCUGUCCAGUUCCCAUUUCAACCUUGGCAGUCACAUUUCUGUCAAUAUCCACCAGCAAAUCCUCUUUUCCUGUCAGGUGAUUACUACACCCACUGUCCAAAUACCAGAUCUCUUCAUCCCUUGUUACACCAGCACCACUUGCAUUGCUAGCAUAGAACAUUGUUGGUGCAGCUUCCACUUGAGUACCAUAGUUGACCUGCUAUGGUGUUUUCUUGCGGUAGCAGUCUUUUGCAAUGUGGCCAAGCUUAUCAUAGUUAUAACACUUUGGCUUGCCCUUGAAUCGACAUUCACCAAAAUGUAGCUUACCACAGUGCUUGCAGGGAGUUUUAGUACCUUCACUUGCCUUGUUAUCCCACUUCUUGCCUUUGGAUUUCCAAUUCUUAUUCUGCUUGCUGUUCUGUUCUCCAGUUUUAGUCUGUUUGGCAUCUACACUAAGGCUAGCAAAUGCCUUCUCUGUUCUGUUUUCAGAAUGCCUAUCUAAAUGCAACUCAAAGCUCUUUAGUGAGGCUACAACCUCCUGCACCUCAAUCUCAUUCAGAUCUCUAGAGUGUUCAAUAACUGAACAGAUAGAGUCAUAGGUAGAUGGCAGACUAAUAAGCAGUUUUUGAACAAUUCUCUCCCCAGGCAAUUCCUCCCCAUAACUUCUCAUUUGAUUUAUCAAAUCAAAUAGUUUAGUAACAUAGGCAGUUAAGGAUUCAUCAUCCUUCAUUCUUGUAUAUUCAAAUUCUCUUCUAAGACCUUGCAAUUUAACACUCCUUACCUGCUUAUCUCCAUGGAAUUCUUGCUGCAGAAUACUCCAGGCACCUUUUGAUGUUUCUUCAUGAGAGAUUCGUGGGAAUAUCUCUUCUGAAACUGCUCCUUGAAUCAAUCCAAGAGCCUUAGCAUCCUUCAUGAGUACCUCAGCAACCAUGCCUUUCCCACUUGAUUCUUCUGUCUCCUUUUUCUUAUCAUCAGAUUCAUCUGACUUCUUCAGAUCCGUACCAUCAAAUCCUUUUAUCACCAAAUCCCACAGUCCAUGAGAUUUGAAGAUGGUCUUCAUCCUUAUGCUCCAGAAAUCGUAGUUCUCACCAUCGAAAAUUGGUGCUCUCAAUUCACCACCACUUGACCCAGCCAUGUUAGACUCAGAUCUGCAGAACUCAAGCUCAGCUGCAACUUCAAUAGCUUAGCACAGAAAAACGCCCAGUAUUACUUGAUCAAACCUGGCUCUGAGGCCAUGUUAGAAUACGCAGACCAUUAUCUUACAGAAAUUCACUACUCUAUUCUCUAAAAACUCUCUGCAUUUUCUUUGAAACCUAUUACAUGUUUGAUUGAAUUAAUAUGCAAGAUAAUGGUCUGCGUAUUCUAACAAUACUGCUCCUGAGAGAGCGCAUGUUGUGUUACAGAUAAAUUUUUGGCUCAGCAGAAGAAGUUGGAAGUGGAUAUGUUGCUUGUGAAGGCUAAAUACAUAAGGUUAGAGCAAUCUUAGAAGAAACCAGAAAGACUAAACAAAAUCUUGUUUUAAAAAAGAAGAAGAAAAUCAGCUAGUGUGGCUGAUCAGGAAACAUUGGUUAAUGAGGACCAAUAAGAAAAGAAUUUCAGUUUACCAGAACAUAUCUUACUUGCAAACUGUUCCCAGUCGAUAGAGACAAAGACAAAACAGUCCUGCCAUUCACAAACAUGAUCAAUGAAAAGGGUUUUAAUAACUGGAUUUGGACAAAAAUCAGUAAGUGUAGACACCAAGCAGGAUCAUUGGUUAAUGAGGACAAAUACUUAGGAAAAAAUAAAUUUAUGUCACCAGAACAUAUCUUCCAAAUUGUUUUCAAUUGGUAUAGGCAAAGGAACAUUUUCCUGUGGUUCACAAACAUGAUCAACGAAAAGAGUCUUAAUGACUGGAUUUGGACGAGGGUCUUUACACUGUUUCAUCAUAUUCUUCCUCAUAGACAUUAUAUCUCCACAUAUAAGAAGCUUAAAAAAAAUGAUGUUCUCACUUGUCAAUGGCCUCAAGGAAAUUUUCCUUUCUGAUCUGGAAAUAGAUCUUCGUCGAGCAGCGAUUGUUAUUUCUAUUUCAUAUUGACAUAUUGGAGACAUCAAAUCAGGUUGUGAGGAAAAAUGUGAGGGUCAUGUUUUGAAAAAUUAAACUUAGUUUACCUAGACUGCAAAAUGGUUCUUUUUCAUUGCUCAUAAGUCUGACUCCAGCUCCAGUUAAUUGCAUCUAGAAUAUUGCUUUUAAUCAUUAUUUCAUCCCUUCCAGUUUGCUUCUCUAUUUUUCCCACCCAGCAGCACCCCACACAAGGAGCCAAAAUGAUGUCGUUAAAUAACAGAAGUCACAUAAGAGUAGAAGCCAUGUCUGAAAGUAAUUGUAGUUUCCAAUAUGCAUCAGCACCAGAAGAAACUAGUACAUUCAAAGUGUUCGAGAAGGAAAGACUAGUGACUGUUUUGGCGUGACCCUCAAGCUUCCUUGUAACCUGCAAAAUAUAUAAAUCAAGGCAAUGACAAACUUUUUGGGUUUGCUUCAUCACAACAUCGAGCAUGAUUUGUUUUUUUUUUUUUUACAAGAACAAACAAACUACCUCGUCUGAGUGGAGAUUGUAUAUUACAAUGGUGGAAUUGUCCAUGCCAAUAGCAACUAUACUGUCAUCUCGGGGGUGAAAAGCAAGACAUGUUGCCGCAGGUCGUGGUGGCAUGACUUUUUUCAUCGUCUGCGUUUUUACGCAACAGAUUUUUAUGAGUACAAUGGGUUAGAUCAUGAGAAAUUUGCAAACAGAACCUACGCAUAUUGACAAACAAGAUUUGGGAAGUUUUGGAUGGGAAAAGAAAAUUUCAAGAAUACUAUUUGGGUUGGGUUUACCUUAAAUGUUGUCAUGUCAAAAAUGGAGAUCAUCCCUCCUGUUACUGAUAUGAGAUAUGAAUCAUUCUUGGACAAAUCAAAGCAGGACAUAGCCUUUUCAGGGUUGGUGCUGGGAAGGUCAUUGUUCAUCAGCUCUAAGCCACUCCUUGGUUUCCAUAAAUUAGGGUGAACCGUGUGAGUUUGGGUAAUCACUGCAACUUUUGAGAGUAUUCGAAGUGGAUUUUGGGUAAUCACUGCAAUUUUUUUAGUAUCCAUUUUGGGUCCAUAUUCCCUGAAUUGUGAAGUAAUUGGUAAUUCUGGUAGGUUAGUGCCACAGGAAAAGCCCUGAAGGAUGUCAUUGCUGUUGGUAUCGGUGGCAGCUUCUUAGGUCCUCUUCAAAAAGGGUAUAGCCGUACGGCUAUACUCGGCUAUACUCGUUAAAUAUAUUAUUUAUGGAGUACAGCCGGGCGGCUAUACCUUUUAAAUAUAUUAUUAAAGGGAUAUGGCCAUACUUCUUAAAUAUAUUAUUUAAAGCGUAUAGCCGCGCGGCUAUACAAUUUAUAAAAUAAAAUAAAAGUGACCCGCCUAGCCCGCCUAGGCGGCCCAUUUUUGGAAAACUUGGAUGGCGUUUUUUCUUCUUCAGAUUUCUUUGAUCCAAAGCAUCCCAAGCCUCAGACAGAUGACUACUUGGAUCAAUAUUAUUAUUAUUAUUAUUUCUCUGAUCCUCUUCAUCUCUAUCUUGUUCCCCAAUACUUCCAAGCCUUUGCAAACCAGGAAUUAUGGAAACCAGUUUUGAAUCCUAUGCAAACCAGGAAUAAAAUAAAAGUGACCCGCCUUUGCAAACCAGGAAUUAUGGAAACCAGUGAACACAAAACCCAAAUCCAUAAAACCCUUGAGCUCAUCAAACUCCAGGUCAGACAAGCUCUUGCUGGGCCCUACUCUUCUUCUACUUCUGUUUCUUUCACCAUGACCAUGGACCCUUUUUGUCUGAGCUGCUGGCACUUGUUCUUGUUUCACACUUUGUUUGGAGAACUCUAUGACUUGUUUACCAGAGAAAAUUUGGAAUUUUGGUGUGGUGCUUAUGAGGAUUGAGUGUGGGGAGAGAGAAUCAGAAGAGAAGAGGCUCCCCUUGGUGUUUAAAGAUUGGUCAUCACUUUGGCAAGCAUGAAAGGCUGGGGAAAUUUGGUACUUCUUGGGCUUAUUGGUCCACUUGGAGACUUGGGUUUGUUGCUUCUUGGGGUUUCGAAGGGGAUUUCUUGCUCAGAAUUCCAUGUUCAAAUCAGUAUGAAUCAAAGAGGCUGAGAAGGUCUUCUUCUGCAGCCCCUUUUUUUUUCUUUUUUUUUUGAAAAAAAAAGGGUAUAGCCGACCGGCUAUACUCUUAAUAUUAUUGAAGGCAUACCGCCGCUCGGCUACACCUUUUAAAUAUAUUUUUUAGGGAGUAUAGCCGCCCGGCUAUACUAUUUAUAAAAUAAAAUAAAAAGGAACCGCCUAGCCCGCCUAGGAGGCCGAUUUUUGGAAAACCUGAAUGGCGUUUGUUUUUUUUUUUUUUUUUUUUUUCAAAUUUCUUUUUUUCCUGGCGAGUCUGGCAUCUCUGCAAAUGCAUCAAGCUUGGGUUUUAGCGACUCACGUUUAUAAACAACGUAAAGGCGUCUCUGAAAAUCAGUAUUUUCCAUUCUCUGUUUUGGUUUAUGUUAUGUUUGGUUGCUAGGAAGCUGAUGAUGAACAAAUAUUCUUUUACCUAAAUAUUCAGUUUCAUGUUUCCUUUGUUGUAUUGAUUAGUUUAGUUACAAACUGAGUUGGUCUGGUUAACUGACCCAAAAGGAGUAUGCUGCUUUCUGGGGCUCCAAUUGUUGAGUCAUCUCUUCUUUUGAAUUUUUUCUUUUUAAAUUUCAUUUUUGUCAAUUCUCAGUAAUGUAAUCUGGGUGAAAUGCAACUUUGGGAUCCGUAAGAUGGGCAGGAAGAGUAAAUCAAAAACUCCCAGAGAGAUGCAAGAUAAUACAGCUACUGUAGAAGAGGAAAAACCCUCAUCUUGGGCCAAAAAAUUGCUGAAUCAUUGGUUGAGAUUCAGUUCAGAUUUACCAUAUACUUUGGUUUUUAACUUAUGUUUCAAUUACUGGGCUUAUGAAGUCUCAUCUGAUCCUACUUUCUGCUACAGGAACACUUGGAGAGCAAUGAGGGUGACCCUGAGUUACUUGUUUACAUUCCGUGAGUAUCCACUUUUGUUGUUUUAUGUGUUGUCUUCAGGACAUGAGUUAAAGUAUGCAUAAACAUGAAAUGGAUAGGGACAGGGAGAUCCAUUGGUUGACUAGUUGUACCCAUUUUUCCAUAUUUUCAUUCGAUUUCAAUGGUAACAUGUUUGUUAGAUCUCCAUAGUCGGAUCUGUAUGAGUUUGAGUAUGGGAUUCAACCUUAGUAGCAUCUCCAGGUUCACCUAAAACAAACAUAACACUUAAUAGUGAGUUUGACGGGAUACUGUUGGACUACUCAGGGCAACGUGCCAUGCCUGAAACCUUGGAAAUUGGCAGAGGUGGGGUUGGCCCAUUCGUAACUAGUGUCUUGUGGGGGGGAAGGGAUUGGGUGAAUAUAGUGUUUUCUAAUUGAUGUUGUAUAUGAACCAAUGCAGGCUGCAUCCCUCAAAGAAAAGAUUAACCGAAUGUUUGGUGGAGAGCAUGUACGUUUCAAGUUUAUCUUCCUUUGGUCGAGUAUUAUGUGGAUAAAUAUGGAAUUAAAAUGCUAAUUUAAACACUUUUUAUCUGCAAUCAGCAAGAAGUGUUUCCUAUUUUUUUUUUUUUUAAAUUUAUUUUUCGGAUCUGGGGAAGGGAUUAAAAUUUGGAACCUCUUCCAACAAAGUGGAGAUAACUACCAGUAUAACAAUAGCUAGCUGGUGUCUCCUAAUUAAAAUUAGGACGCCCAAAUUUCUGACCUUUUAACUGUCUGAAAUUACAAAAAACUGAUAGCUUUAUAAGAUUUAUGGUAAAGAUGAGACCAGCUUAUUUCUGAAACCAUUAUCAUGUGAUUCUUUUGCGUUCUGUUUUCCUUUUUCUGGGUGGUGCCUUCAGAUAAACAGCACCGAAAAUAGAUCAGUGCUUCAUGUAGCUCUUCAUGCUCCAAGGGAUGCAGUUAUACAGAGUGAUAGGGAAAAUGUGGUCCCAGAUGUUUGGGAAGUUCUGGACAAGAUCCAGAAGUUUUCUGAGAGUAUUCGAAGUAGAUUUUGGAUCAUCACUACAAUUUUUUUAAGUAUCCAUUUUGGGUCCAUAUUGCCUGAAUUGUGAAGUAAUUGGCAAUUCUGGUAGGUUGGUGCCACAGGAAAAGCCCUGAAGGAUGUCAUUGUUGUUGGUAUCAGUGGCAGCUUCUUAGGUCCCUUCAAACAGGUUUAGAUGACGCUUUCCAUUUUGUCAAUUUAUAACCUCUAUUUUGCAGUCUUGUUUACUAUUUAGUGUGAGUUUCCUUGUGAAAAUGAUUAAGCUUGCUUUGGAAUAAACUUUAGGUAGUGUUCACUGGUUUGAUUACAUUUUGUAGAUCCAGAGGCUAUCGAAACAGCGAGGGGAAGGCAACUGCUUUUGUAAGUACUUCUGUAUCAACUUUUAGAGUGCUUCUAUUUUAUAGAGCAUUUGCUCCAAAAAAAAAAAAGGUUUACACCAUAAUUUUUUGAUUAAUUAUUUUGCCACCCAAAUUAUUUUAUGAAUCUCAUUUUAUGUACAAAGCAUCUGGGUCUCUAAUAAAUUUUUUUUUAAGCCCACUUAUAAAAGAAACCAAAACAGGCCCUUUACUUAUCCAUAUUUCACUUUCUGAAAAAUAAAGGCCUUUUGACAAAAGAAAAUAAGAAAAUGGGCUUCUUUCUGUUUUCAAUUCCAUAACAAAAUCUUAUAAUAUAUGAAAGUCCAAAUAUAAUAUUAAAUCCAGAAAAAGAGGUUCUAGCUGCUGUUGAUACACCACCAUUAAUUCAUUCAUCGAUUAUUGAUUCCAUGUUGAUGUACUUUGUAUUAUUAUCUUUUCACCGAAGACAUAAGCAUUGUUAUUAUUAUCAAUUUUAUUGCUAAAUAUAUUAUUAUUAUUUUUCUUCAGAUCAAGCCUAUUUAUGAUUCUGACUAAACACUUGUAUUUGUUGCUUCAUUUUGCUGUUUUUUUGUUAGUUUUUGAAUUGAAUCCAUUUUUUUUAUUUUAUGCAAAAGACAAUUGAGUUGGCUACCAAUAUGGGAAAAUAAAUGUAGUUGAUGCAAUUAAGGAUGUAAUUGGUUAUAUUUACGGAUAACGGUGUAAUUGAUGCCACUAAGAAUGUGUUUAGUUCUAUUUAUUGAUUGUGAGUUUUUGUGUGUGGUUACAUCGGAGGAAAGAAACCCCACCUAGGGUUCAAUCCUGGUUGGGUGCCGGGGGGUGGGGGGGAAGGAGAGAAGAGAGGUAAUCCACCACCACAGUGUAAAUGAUGCCACUAAGGAUGUGUUUAGUUCUAUUUAUUGAUUGUGAAAAUUUUUCACUUAUACGUCUCAAUAUUUCUCUUUGUACAAGGCCUUCAAAAUCAAUGGACCUGCCCUAAUUGUGCCAUGACUAGCAAAACCCUAAGCAAAAUGGAUUUACUUCUUCGAAGGAAAGUUACGUUGAAAAGCUAUUACUUCUACUUCUAGAAAGCAGUAAAAUUUAAUAAAGAAAGCGUGAUGUGCGGCCCCUUUUAUGUUCUUAAAAACUUGUAUUUAUAGGGUUCAUUUCCUUGGAUUAAAAUCCUUUUUAGUAAAAAAGACACUAAAACACAAAUUUCACAAUGGUUUUUCACCAAAACAUCUUAGCAUUAACCUUACCAACUGAUCUAAAUGAUACUGUUAGUUGCUGGUAGCUACCUCUCGACAUUUACAACUAAUGAAUAAGAUAUUCAUAUGCAAAUUCCAUAUCUCGUAUGUCUGUCAUGGCAUUGCAUGGAACGAAGAGAGCCCAACAUAGCCAAGAACAAAUUGCCGGUCGACAAAUAUAGAUUGCAUUUUGAGGGGUAAUAUACAAUGCCGGCAAUUCAUCCUUGGCUCAGUUAGACUCUAUUCUUUUCCAUGCAAUGCUUUGGAAAAAUCAUUGCUUGCCAAUCUAAGUUUCCAUUGUUUCUUGCAUUAGAAAUGGUGGGGAUGCAAAUGCUAUAUGUAGCCACAGAAAGUUGAAGAAAAAAUGAGGAGAGAAAUGAACAUAUAUUCUGUGUACACGUUGAACCCACUCUCAGAGACAUGAACAUGUGAGUGCCAUGCAUUCUUAUGCCUUGCCAUCCAAAAAGUUAAAAGAGAGUUGUUUGAAUGUAUCCUUUGACACCGCGAUAUCGUUAUCUCUUAUGGUCAGCACUGAUCAGAUUUGGGAAUAUGGUUGACAUUCUGCAUGGGAGAUCAUAUUUUGCAGAAUAUAGAAUCUGAUUGGAGGUCUUGAAAUUUGAGAGAGAGAGUACGUUGGUUUGGGACACCUUAUAUCAAUGAGAAACACAAUCAUUUUGUUAAGAAUGGGAAGUACGUUGGUUUCUCAAACGAAGGUUUUCAUUAAAUUUGAAUUUACUAAUUAUACUAAUUAUACUAAUUAUAAUUUUGGAUUUGAAUUAUAUAUACGAAUAUACUAAUUAUAUCUACGAGUACAAAUGUCCCUACCCGUUUUUUUUCCAUUAAAAAAAGGUGUUUGAUUGGUUUUUCGAUCAAUAAGGCUGGAUUUGGGGGGUUCGAUUUGGAACAUCUUCUAACAUUGAGAAGAAAAGUACGUACCAUGGCUAUACACAAAAGCCUUUAGAUUUUUAAUUAAGUUAUCAUUCUUUUGAUUUAAAUGCACAUAUAAAAAUCCUUUGCCAUCUUAUUAGGACAAAAAAUUUGACAAAGUUUAGUGAAAUUGCACAUUAUUCUUUCUAAAAAGUCGGAUGGAACAUGAGCAUGUUGGGUGCCAUACUGCCAUGCUAUCCAAAUUGCACUUUAAAGUACGUGAAUGCCUUAUUUGUAACAAAAAAGACAAUGUGAUAUAUAUGAUAUAUCUCCAGAUCGACCUCUAUCUCAUCACCUGGGUCAGCGCACUUGUGUAUCGAAAUUAGAUUUGGGUAUGGUUGACAUGCUGGUAAAUAAUUGAAGAAUAUAGCAUCUGAUUAACACUAGAAGAAAACCAAGUUUUUACCAUUUUAAGGCGCAUUUGUGUACCAAGUUUGACUCACUCUCAUUAUAAUGAUGACAGGAUUGUCAAACUUUUUUUUCUCUAAAUAUUUUAUGUUGUACUGGAUACGUAUACGGGUUAUAUGUCUUGUGUUACACAUAUAUAAUUGUGUCUGAUUGUGUUCAUGUAGAUGUAUACUCUUUACCACACGAAAAACGAAUUAUCACCUUACGUAUUGUUAGUGGUUAUGUACCGUGUCGUAAAUGAUAUACAUUUAAAGCUACAUUAUAUUAGGCAGCUGUGAAUUCUUAAUUUGCGGGUAAAAAGUAUACAACUCUUAAGUGUUUCAUGCUCCUGAAUGUCGUCUCUAGAAAGCUCAAGAUUAUGUGUGAGUCCCGUGACCCUGCUCCACGCAGCAUCUUAAGAAUACGAUUCGGGCCACUACUGUACGUAGUGUCUUUGUAGAAAACCCACAUAAAGAAAUAGAGAAAAUCGAACUUAUCCUCUGCAGAGACAGAGAUGCCUUAUCAUGCCACAACUACAUGCAUGCAUGGCUCCCACUCAACUCAAGCACUCAAUCCGAACAAGUCAACGCCCUUCUUUUCUUUCCAACUAUAUAUAAAGGAAAAUGGGGUAAAAUAUGAGCUUCCCAUAAAAAAAGUACACAUAUAUUCCAAAAGUGGAAGAGCUUUAACAGUCACACGAUGGAAUAGAAUCAUACCUUUAAUUUUUGAGGUACGAGUUGUUUGCAUGCAGUCUAUGGCUAUAAAUAGGAUGACAAUGCUGCAUUAUGUAAAUGAACUGAAAUGGUUCAGAUUAAUAAAAAUACCAUUUGUUCAAGAGUCUUGCAUGAAGAGAUGGAGAGUAGAUAUGAGCCAAGGAUGACUUGCCAAAGCAUAUGGCCUUUCCACUUGUUAAUCUUCUGGCAAGCUGUCCUUGGUUCACGUUUGCUCUCUUUUCUCUCAUGUGAGAUUCAAGGAUCAAUGCCUACAACUGGAGAGGGUGAGAAGAAUUUAAUUACUUUAUAAUUGUGAUGCUAAUGCAAAUUUUUGCUUGUGUUUUCUGUCUGCAGCAACUGGAGGAGUUAAAUCAUAACGUGUUUCGGUGAUUUCCCUUUUGUGAGAACCUUGUGGUUGAUAAAAUUGUAGCAUUCAACUCAAAACUAAUUGAAAUUGGUGGAGAAAUUAUAAGGUCAGAAAGGCAUGACUUUACAUCUCUCCUAUGGGAUGUGCCCCCCUCACACUCAUUGACAUCCCAGCCAUUGAUCAUGACAUUGUUGGUAUUGCAGAAAACAAUCGUUGUCUCGAAGUUGUCAUGCUUUCAUGCUCACGCACUUCUGUAAACAUAAUUUGAUGUUAUUUAUUUAUUUUAUUCAAAUAGUUAUGAUCACAUCCAAGACUUCUGUGCGUUUCCUGAAGUCCCAAUUAUUUCAACAAUUUUUUUUUGGGUGCUAUGACACCUGCAAAUGUCUAACAUAUUUCUUAUGGAAUGUCUUUGUAGGCUUACGAGUGUGUAGAGAAGGCUUGAGAAAAGAAGUCCAAUAGUCUUUCUUGAAGGAAGUUGAGGUGCCAAUCCAAAACUAAUUGGCAAUUAGGGGAGUAACCUAACUCUUUAUAAGUCCUUGUUAGGUUUCUCAACUUUCCAUUGUGGGACUCUUUACCUUUACAUUCUCACACGCCCCCGCACAUGUGGCGAAUUUUCAAGCAUAAUACGUGGACAACACAUUUUGGGUGACAUGGAGCACGUGUGGUCGUUGGGCUUUCACAUGUGGGCAACCCGCUCUGAUAUCGUGAAGGAAGUUAAGGUUCCACUCAAAAACCAAUUGGCAAUGGGGGGAGUAACUCAACUCCUUAUAAGCCCUUGCUAAGUUUCUCAACUUUCCAAUGUGGGACUCUUUACCUUCACAUUCUCACAUUUCUCGCUUACAGAUGCAGAGAGUGUGGCUGCAAUGGCAUCUAUUUGGGUCAGGGGAUUCAGAAGAUGAUGAUUUGCAGGGAAAUCUAAUUACUUUAUACCUUGCUUCAGCUCCAUAUUGUAUCCCUACCACAAAAUUUUCCUUCAGUUAUUAACUACAUAUCUUGUAUACAAAACUACUAACAAUACAUGUAAAAAUUGAGAUUAGAUAAAAACACACCCAAAAAAUAAAAAUUUGCAUACAUACAUACAUGUAUAUUGUUGCUACUUGGUAAAAUUAUUUGGGAAAAGUAUUUUACCAGAAGAGGCAACAACCAAGACCACAACCAGGAAAGUUAACUUGAGUGAUUUCUCAAUAUCUAUUAAAUUUGUUGAUAGCUAGAGGGAAGAAACUAUGAGGGUUGUAGCGCCUCUCUAAACUAAAAUCUACUAUUUUAUAUAUGGGAGCAUUUUUACUCACCACUUUAACUCAAUGUGUACUUUUAUCACCCUACUAAAAAGUUGACAUUUGUCUAUAUAAAUAACCAUAAUUAAUUUUUGCUUUUAAAUCUUUUAAAAUAUUUAAAACGAAAUAAUAAUAUAAAAUAAAAUAACUUUCUCCUCUCUCUCCUCCCCUCUCCGACCGAGUCCCUCCAUCCAUAACAGCUCAAAUUCUAAACCCAUCUCCGCCGGCACAUCAUCUCUCUGGUCCUUCACCGCCGCCCUUGUGCAUCAGUCAAUUUACUUUAUAUAAAAAUAAAAAAUAAAAAAAAGCAUAAGGCUUUCAAUUGGUCCAAGCAGUAAUAAUAAUACCCAUCGACCCUUACGGAAGAUUACGAACUCACCGAACCAAAUUUCCCUAAAAUCAAGAUCUCUUGGACUCUAGUGCUUCUGUCAGAUUCUCCUAGGUUUGAGAUCUAGUGGCUGUUAAUGCGAGUAGGCUUAGAAAAAGUUUGAAGCUUUUGAAAAAACUGAUUGGAAUUCGUUUAUGUAAGCUAUGCAAUUCUUCUUCCUUGUAAAUCAGUAUUUGAGUCCUUACUUUUUUGCGCUUAAAGGCAAAUAGGGCGCUGUGGAGGGCGAACCAGGCGGGGGAGGGAAUGUUGGCUGAGUUGUUAGAAGGGAAUGGCUGGGUUGCUACAUGGGGAAUGGUGGCUUAGGGUUGCUGGAGGUGGGUAGGGAAGGAGGGACAGAGAAGGAGAGUUUUUAAAUUUAAUUAAAUUAUUAUUUUACUUUAUUACUUGGUUUAAAAAAGAUUUAAAAGUAAAAGUUAACUAUGGUUAUCUCAUGGACAGGUGUCAAUUUUUUAGAAUGGUGGUAAUGGUACACCUUGAGUUAAAGUUGUGAGCAAAAAUGCUCCCUUUAUAUAUAUACCUGAAGUUGGAAAUUAUUUUCUAUAAGCGCCAUGUCAUAAGGUUUGGACUCCACGGAUUCAUGCGUGGAUUUGGUAAAGAAAUAAAUAUAAGGGCUCUUUAGUUUUAACCCAUAAAAAACUUAACUAAUUUGGAAGAAAGAUAAUUAAUUUUGCUUAAUUAAUAUAAAACCAAAGCCACCUAAUUUUACCAAAAGGACAUCCAACAACCCUAAAAUUACUACAUGUGCCAUUGUGCUUAACUGUCAAAUACAGUUUAUUUAAUUAUAAACCAAAAUUUAAAACUGUCAAAACGACAUAACAUUCCCACAAAACACAACACAAAACGACACUACUCAAAUUUAAUCACUUCAAAAACUAGUUUCGCGCGACCUUUCAUAUCCCACUGCAAACCUACAAACUAUUCUCCAAAAACGAAGCCGAUGAGCAGCAACGGGGACGACCAGAAACGAAGACGACGACCAACGACGACGACCAACGACCACCGACGACGAGCAACGACCACCGACGACGACCGAAGCUAAACUUUAAGAAAAUGAAUCAGUACUCUCUUCGAUUUUAGGUUUUACACCGACGACGAUUUCAGUACUGUUUCUUCCUUUUGGUUUCUGGUUGUUUGUAGCAGAUUUUGACCAGAAACUGCAAUGCAGUUUCUGGUUCCAUAAUUCAAUUUCAGAGUGCUUUUUGCUAGGGUUUAUGGGAAUGUUAUAACUGCUCAUGAAGUUAAAUGUGUUUUGAUAUUCGUUUUUGCUACUGUUUUUGCCUUUUGGUUUCUGGUUGUUUGUCUUCGAUUUUGACCAAAAACUUGGUUUCUGGUUGUUUGUAGCAGAUUUUGACCAGAAACUGCAGUUUCUGGUUCUGGAACAAGAAAUGUCACCACAAAAGAAUGAAGCUGAAAACCAACCAAAGCACAGAAUCAAAACGAUGGCUCAAAAGAGUAAACCAAAGCCAAAGCCAAACUAUGAUCGGAAAGCAAAGCACCCGGACUAUGUCCAAUUUCGGUCCAAUGCCUAUGCUUUCAACAGCAUCAUUAGAGACAUAAAGGACAAGCUCAAUGAAAGGCAGAAGAAGCUUCUCAAGAAAACCCCUUUCUGGAACUUGAUCGAGCUGUUUUACCGCCAGAGAAUUGACAUGAAUAACAUGAAUAAGUCGGACCUUGACUUGGUACAGCUGCUCAAGAAAUUUGAUCCGGAUACAAAGUCCUUCAAAUUUGGAACAAAAACUGUGUAAUUAAUCGUCUUUAGUGAUUUGCCUUUCGUUAACUCAAGACAAUAUGUAUCUUAAUUCUUGUGAAUGUUUGUAAAUAUUUCUAGUUAUGGUAUAUGAGAACAUAUUUCCUAUACAUAUAAACUGUAAUAUAAUCUUGGAACAGGAUGCAACAAAACGAAAAGGAAACAAACAAACUGCACUGAAUUUUCUGGUCAAAAAUACUGCAACAAAUUAAAACUGCAGUGCAGUUUAUAUAAAUAAAUAAAAAUAAAAAAUCAGCUCAAAAAAUGUGAAAAGAACCCAAAAGCCAAAGCCAUAAUCAAAGUACUAAAACUUUGUUCAAAACACAUUUAAGUAGGUCAGCAUUGAAAUGUAGUUUCUGCUCAUAAUCUGCAACAAAUAAACAGAAACUGCAGUGCAGUUUCUGCAACAAAAUCUGAAAUAAACAGAAACUGCAAUGCAGUUUCUGCAACAAAAUCUGCUCAAAAUCCGAAAACAAGCAUUGAAUGGCAGUCGAAAACGAAUAUCCACUCAUUAAACAAUUGUAUAAUUUUCAUUAACUUCAAAAAAGAAUCACAAUAUCCAAUUAGAAGCUGUGUAGCCAAUUACAAGCAACUAAAACUGCAAUACAGUUUUUGCAAAAAGUGCAACGCAGAAACUGACUAUACAUUCGCUAAACCAUAUCUAAAAUAAAAAAUUGUCAAAUGAGAAGGAGUGUUCAUAUAAUAGCCUUGCAAGUCUUCCUAUUGUGCCCAGCAACACUGCACCGACUGCAUUUCAAUGGCCUUUUAAAUUCACCAAAAACUUUGAUCCUCUUUGUUGAUGGUCUUCCGGCUGGCCUCUUUGUAAUUGGCGGAAGCACAACUCCAGCUGCAGAACCAUUGCUGCCCAAUCCUUUCCCAAUAUCUGGAAUAGGAUGGUUUCCGACUUAUAUGUGCACUUGGCAAUGACACACACCUCCAUUAGCCUUGAAAAUGCAAACAAAACAACAAACAAAAACAGAAAACAAUUAAAAUCACUAAAUAAUGUACAUGAGCAGUUGUAACAUUCCAAUAGAAAUCCAAAUAUUAGUAUGAAAUCGAAUUAUGAAACAAGAAACUACACUGCAGUUUAUAGUCAAAAACUGAAAUAACAGAAACAACAUUGCACUUUAUGUGAUAACAUACCCUUAAAUUUGAAUAGAAACCAAAAGAAAGCCAUGUUCAAAGUACUAAAACUUAGAUAAAAACACAUUUAACUCCAUGAGCAGUUGUAACAUUGCCUUUAUGAAACCAGAAACUGCAAUGCAGUUUCUGCGAACACUCCAACAAACAGAUGCAGUUUAUAACAGAGGAGGCAAAACAAAUCGAAUAGAAACCAAAAGGAAACCACGUUAAAAGUACUAAAACUAAUAUCAAAACACAUUUAACUCCAUGAGCAGUUGUAACAUUGCCUUUAUGAAACCUGCAGUUUCUGCCAACACUCCAACAAACAGAUGCAGUUUAUAACAGAGGAGGCAAAACAAAUAGAAUAGAAACCAAAAGGAAACCACGUUAAAAGUACUAAAACUAAUAUCAAAACACAUUUAACUCCAUGAGCAGUUGUAACAUUGCCUUUAUGAAAUCAGAAACUGCAAUGCAGUUUCUGCCAACACUCCAACAAACAGAUGCAGUUUAUAACAGAGGAGGCAAAAAAAAUCGAGCCACAAGAUCGCGCCACAAAAUCGAGCCACAAAACUGAGCUCGAAAAACCCAAAACUGACAGAUUCGGCAUGAUAAUCGAACGAAAGAUUAUCCAAUUAGAAGGAAACAAACAAACUGCAUUGAAUUUUGGAACAGGAUGCAGCAUGAUAAUCGAACGAAAAAGAUUCGGCAUGAUAAUCGAACAAAAAAAUUGACAAAUUCGGCAUGAUAAUCGAAAGAAAAAGGAAGAAAUAAAAGGAAAACCAACCAGAAAAUUGAGCGAGAGGGUGUCGUUGUUGAUGGAGCAAAUAAGGAAGAGGAGAGAGAGCGGGUGUCGUCGUCAUUGAUUGAGCGAAGAAGGAAGAGAAGAAAGAGAGGGCGUCGUAUCGUCAAUAGAGAGAAGAGGGAGUCGUCAUUGCUGGAGUGAAUAAGGAAGAGGAGAGAGAGAGAGAGAGAGAGAGAGAGAGAGGUGCUGAAAUUUGAUUUUAAAACAAAAGGGUAAAAUUAUAUUUUACCUUUAUAAUUUAGACAGGCCCAGUGAAUAUGGGCCUCCUUUUUGGCCUAAUCCAAAAUAACAAUUCUUUUCUAGGUAUUAAAACCCAAACAAAAAUGCCCAAUGUCUCAAAUACUAAUUAGUAAAGUUAAUUAUGUCUAAUACCUAAUUUUUCUUAAAUAUAAUAUAUCGACCCAAGUGGUAACUAAGUUCACUUUCAGAAUCAUAUUCAAACUUUAUUAGUUCAUUAUGCUGAAUAAUAACAGCUUUCCAAAUUAGUUAAAGAGUGCUGCUAAACGAAUCUUAAAAUUAACUGAGUACACCCUACUAUAAAAGUAUAUAUUGAAUUACUGAUGUAUCCUAAUAUAAAAGGACUAAAAAGGAUAUAUGGAAUUGUGAAACAAAUAUAAUUUUAAUAAGUACACCCUACUAACUAUAUUCAACCCUAAUUAAAAGAUUGCUUGUCCUAUUGUGUUUUUAACGAAAGAUGUGGUAAUUGCAAGAACUUGGAAUUGCAAAAAAAGUGUCAACAGUUUUAGUAGAAGCAUAAAUCCAUAUGAAAAGUCAAAGAUUUAUAAACACUAUUAAAAAAAUCAAGCUGAAAAUUAACUAUAAAAUAAUGCUACAAGUAUUAUGGUGUAUCAGGGGUAUUUUUGGUAGUUUUAUAGGGUGUACUUAAUUAAUUUUACAUUUUAAUUAAAAUAUUAGGGUGUACUUAGAUCACAGGGUGUACUCAGUUAAUUUUAAGGUUCGUUUAGCAACAUUCUUAGUUAAAUAUGGGUUAUGUAGGAAACACUUUUACUUAUUAUAAGUGCUUUUAUUAGAAGUACGUUGAAACUUUUAUUAAAAAUUCAAGUGUUUCCAGAAGAAGCACUCCAGAAAGCACUUUCAAUGUUCAGUUCGUUCAUGUAAAGAGAAUACAAAUAUAUAAUUAGUUCACUAAAGUCUUAAAUUGAGAGCACGCAUGUAGCCGUUGAGCAUGACAUUAUUGUUUCAUGAAAACAAUUCGUGAAGGAAGGAAACUCAGUUACAAAUUGGUUGGCUUGACACAGUCAUGCAACCCUUCCAACCCCCAAUCCUGAACAUAUAACUUUCAUGCUUCCAUGGUUGCCGUUUGCGUUUAGCAAAAAGCUAACCAAACAUAUGCCUCCAACCAUCAGAAAGCUAGGCUAGCCUUAUAUAGUGUAAAAUAACUACACUCUAAUCUCAAAAGUUUUGGAAAAACUCUCUUAAAACAAACAAAACCCUAAACAAUUAUGGAAACAAACUAGGAAAGAAUCCUUCUUUGAUUAAGACACACAUCACUUGCACGGAAUCUUUGGGGUUGUUACACUUCCUAUAAAAUUCUGAAAAAAUAUGAGACACGUAGUUUAUCUCUUAGAUUUCCAACCAUAUAUCACACACCAAUAGGUAAAAUUCAAAUAGUUCUAAUGGGAUUGCAUCUUAGGCUGUCUUGACUUGCAAUUCUGGAACAAUUGGCUUAAAUUAUGAAAAUUUGACACAAUGAUAUCCAAUGUAUUAGCUUUCUUCUCAAGAUGGCCUUACGCUAAAACUCUUCCGAAAAGUUGAUUUUCCGUCCAAAACCUUCUUAGAGCGCAUAAAAGCUGAAAAUAAGGAAGUAAAGUAAUAAGGCUCUUUUUAAUCAACUUCCCCUACAAAAACCAAAUAUAAAUUAUCUAAAUAUAUAAGAAAUAAGGCACUUAUCACAAAUAUAUAAAUGAAUGCUCUUCUCAAGAAUAGAUUCUUUCAAAGGGAAAGGGUUGUAAGUCUAUAUAGAUAUAACAUGUCAAACACUAACUUGUUUCAGACAUGAUGAACAAGAUGAUGAUGAUGUCGACUACACUGCACCAUAGAACAAAAGAGAUCUUCUUCUAGAAGUUGAGCCUUAUAGCAGUGAUUCUAGAUGAGGUGAAUUUCUAUAAGCUUGGAUGUCUCGGCUCUAAGAGGGAGCUCUAUAUUUAUAUGCAUCUAUCUAGGAGUCUUGCCCAUCAAGAAACUCCUAGAGAUAACCUUCAUGUGAUAAGAUAUGUAGAAAUCUUAAUCCUUAUAGAAGUAGGAAUCCUUAAGCAUUUAGGUAUAUCUUAAACACUUAAUUUAGGCUACCUUAUCAGUUCAGAAUCGAUUUCCUGAUAAACAAUGAUUCCUUAGUAACUCUAUAUUGAUUAGAAGAUCAUUUUUGUAGGUUUAAAAUAGUAAACCAUCUUACAUUCUCCCACUUGAUCAAAUAAUCAAUUGGAAUUCAUUGUCAUCACUUAAUGGCCAUGUAGAACUCAUCUCUUCUCUAUUCCUUUGGUCAAGCCACUGUCUUCAUAAGGGACUGUCGAAGCACCUUGGAUAUAUAACAUCCAAGACUUUUACAGCCACACAUAUAUGAACUUAACACAUAAGGCUUCCAACUAGACUACGAUUAAAACCUAUUAUGAUUAUUCUGUCGAAGUGUAAUAAAUCAUCACUGUUUUAGCUCACCCUUCAAGACUGCCAAGGUCUCUCAAAACAAAAACAUUAAUGACUCAUUCAUAGAUUCAACCUGUUAUGACUUUCAGCAUAUAAAUUAUGCUUAAUGCUUUGUUUUUGUCUACUCACAUUUUCUGUUUUGCACCUCUGAGGUUUUAGUUAUCCGAGGUCGAGACCACCACAUCGAGGCAUUGUCGCUGUCCACACUUGAGGACAAGUACAGAACAAGGACCUAUUAUUUAAAAAUACGUUCGUACGAGUAUAAUAUAGUAUUAAAUGUUAGAGUGCUAAAUUCUUUAUACAGGUAAUAACUAUGGAAAAUUAAAAAAUCUAAAAGGAACAAUAGAGACUUAGGUAAUAGCCUAAUCGUAAUGGAUAAUACUCUAAACUACUCUCAUCAAUAAACAAAAAUAAAGGGGGAGGGGGGGAAUUUAAAAGAAAAAAAGAAUCCCAGUAUAUAUAUAUAGAGUAUAGUCGAUCGGGCAUACUUAUUUAUUAAAAAAAUUAUAAAGAAAAAAGGGCCCAGCCCAGUAAAGCCGAGCAACUAUACUAUUUAACCAAAAAAAAGGGGGGUAUAGCCGCGUGGCUAUACAAUUUAAUUUUAUAAAAAGCACAGUACUAUUUUUAAAAAAAAAAUCGAGUAUAGCCACAUUGCAAUACUAAUUUAUAAUUUUAAAAAAAACCAUAGUAUCGCAGCGCAGCUAUACUAUGUUAUUUUUUUAAAAACCGUAGCAUAGCCACAUGACUAUGCAGUUUAAAUACAUUAUAUUUACAAGGUAUAUCCGAUCAGCUAUACUAAAAAAUUCAUAUAAUUAAUUUAAAUUUCUUAAUAUAAUUAAUUUAUUCAAAAAUAUGUGAGAAUUAUGUGUAUAAUACGUGAAUUUUGUGUGUAUUAUUAAAAAUUUUAUUAAAAAAUACUUGUAUUUACAUGAAAAAUAUAUACAUACGUGUACAAUACGAGUAUUGUAAGUUUGAUUUUUUUUAAAUGUGAAUUUUACUGAGUUUUUAAGGUGUGUACAGAACACGAAUCUAUUAUUGAAAAAUAAGUGCGUAUGUGUAUAAUAUAGUAUUAAAGGUGAAAGUGCUAAAUUCUUUAUAUGGGUAAUACCUAUGAAAAAUAAAAAAAAUCCAAAAGGGACAAUAGAGACUGGGGUAAUCACCUAAUCGUAAUGGAUAAUGCUCUAAACUAUUGUAAUCGAUAAACGAAAAUCAAGGGAAAAAUUUAAACAAAGAAAAGGAUCCUAGUAUAGAUAUAUAAAGAGUAUAGCCGAUCGGCUAUACUACUUAUUAAAAAAGUUAUGAAGAAAAAGAGCUCAGUAACGGUGCGCGGCUAUACUAUUUUUUUAUAUAUAAAAAAACCCAGUAUAGCCGCACGGCUAUACUAUUUAUUAUAUUUUUAAAAAAGCCGGUACAGCAGCCAGCUAAACUAAUUUUAAAAAAUAAAAAUAAAAACACGUAUUGCCGCACGACUAUACUAUUUAUUUAUAAAUAAAUGCCCAGUAGAGCAAAACGGCUAUACAAUUUUAAAAAAAUAAAAAUAAAAACUGAGUAUAGCCGCCCGGUAUACUAUUUAUGAAAAAAAAAAAACGAGCCAGGUAAAGCCGCUUUGCAAUACUAUUUUUAAAAAUGAAAAUAAAAAAGCCCAGUACAGCCGUUGGCUAAAAAAACCGAGUAUAGCUGCACGGCUAUACUGUUUAUAAACUUAAAAAAUUAAAAAAAACCCCGCCUAGUGUAUUUGUGCGCAUGUGUUAAAACAAUAUAGCCGUCCGGCUUCACUAUUUUAUUUUUAAAAAACCGUAGUAUAGCCGUGCGGCUAUACUAUUUUAUUUUCAAAAAAAACCACAGUACAGCCGGUCGGCCAUACGCGUUAAAUACAUUAUAUUUAGAAGAUAUAGCCGCGCGGCUAUACUAUGUCAUAAAAAAUAUUAGUAUAAUUAAUUUAAAAUUUUUUAUCUAUAUAUUUUUAUUUAGUAUUAUGUGAGAAUUAUAUGUUUAGUACAUGAAUUUUGUGUGUAUUAUUGAUAAUUUUAUAAAAAAUAUGUGUUUUAAAUAUAAAAAAUAUGUACGUACGUGUACAAUACGAGUAUUGUAAGUUUGCUUUUUUUUUUUUUUUAAAACAUGAAUUUUACGAAGUCUUUAAGACAUGUACAGAACACGAAUCUAUUAUUGAAAAAUAUGUGUGUACGUGUAUAAUACAGUAUUAAACGUGAAAGUGUUAUAAUUUUAAUUCACAUUUUCUAUUGUUCCAUGAACCAUUCUUGCUCUCACAACCUCCGAGAAGAUAAAAUACCAAAUGACCAGUGGAUGGAUCCCUUCAGUGCAUUGCACAACUUAUUUCACUUUCAAUGCACAUCUAAAAGAAAGAUUGGUCUCAAGGUUUACCAGGAUUCGAUCUGUGGGAUGCAAGUUGUGCCAUUUUCUUCCCAUACUUGGUAUGUGAGUAGUUUAUCCUUCCAAACAUCUCACAUCAGCCCUUUCCCUAAUAGGGCAGCUCCAGCGCAAGGGGCAAAGGCCGGCAAAAGGCAGCCCCAGGCCCAAAAACGCUCUUCAACGAGCAAGGUCCAGCCCAAGCAAGAGGUGGGACCCACCAACAUGGGCAAGCCCAAGAGCAAGAAUCGCCUGGGCUGUUGCUCGAAGACUAUUGACGUCAGCAACCAAACAAAAUAGAAAAAAAAAAAUUCAGAUUUUUAUUUAUUUAAAAUUUUAUAAAUACCUAACCAUAUUAUUUACUUCCCUCACCAAAAACUCUACACAAAUUCAUCUCCUGAUAUAUCAUGUGAAUAAUAAUUGCUUUCGUCCUAGCCCAUAGGGGUGGAAAUAAAAAAAAUAAAGACUGUUACUAUUCACAUAAAUAGUGACAAACCUUGUCUUGCUUUUAUCUUGCCCUUACUCUUUAGGAUGGAGGUGCUCUUAUGUCUAUUUAUUCGAUGCAGCGGAUGUGAGUAAGUUAUGUUUAAGAAUCUAUUCUGAGAACAGCAAUCAAAUAUUUAAGCCCAUCCCUAUUAUGUCUCUUUAUUCGAUGCAGUGGAUGUGAAGUUGGGCCCAAUGAUCUUGUGCUGAGCCUGAGUUUCUUCUGCUAUUCAGAUGAGGCAAAAAGGUUGCAAAAAAUAUUAAAAUAUUUGGUUAUGGCCUUUGGGAUUGGGAGGCAUAAUCAUAUCCACGCUGCAAAGUGUUUUCUUUUUCUUUUCUUUACUGUAAAGCUGGUUUCCGUACCGUGAAACUAUCAUCACCAUUUCUGCCUAUAUAAUUAGAGGCAAAUGCAUUGAAUUGAUAUAUCAAUAUCAGAGAUACAUCUGUGAAUGUGAGGGAGAAAAAAAUUCAAUAAAUGUGGAUCGUUUGCAUAUGUAACCAUUAAUUCUUUUGUGCAGUCUCAGAGUGUUUACAUGAAGCACAAGAGAUUGGAUUGCAGCCAAGGAUGACUUGCCGGCAUUUACAGUACUCUUGCUUUAUGCAGUUGAGGUUUGCCGGCAAGUUGUCUUUGGCUACAUUUUGCUCUCUUCUUCUCAUGUCAGCCUCUGAGACUUGGGAUUGUUUUAGUGCCUCAACAUUUUCACUGAUUUUUGCAUUAUGUAUUAUUAUUUUUUAACUCAAGUGAUAUCAGGAGAGAGUCAAAGCGUCAAUACUCUUUAACUACUUGAGCUACAAAUUUCUUGUAUUAUUUUUUUUGCGGAAUUAUAGGAAAGGUCCUCUGUGAUCCCAAUUAAUGAGCAAAACUCACUUUUUUUUGUUUUUUUUUUUGUUUGUUAGAACAGCUUGUUUUCUUCAAAAUCUUAACCUGUUCUACAGCUUCGUGUAUUCUUUCUCCAGAUUCCGAUCAACCCAUAGGCCGCAAUAUUUGACUGUAUUGUGAUUGCUGUGGUGAGAGUAGCAGGCAACAUAUCAUCCACUAGGCCGCAAUAUUUGACUUUCAAAUUCUAUGUUACAAGCUUUUACAACAUUACAUCAUUAUUUUUUAUAUUUAUGUUGUCAUUGUUUUCACAUUAGUUUCCUGAUUUUAUUUUAGGCUAAUUAUUAAAAAAAAAUCCGGAGUUAUUUUCAAGUUUAUAUCAAUUUGGUAAGACAUUUACAACUUAUACUCAAACUUUCAAAACUCUAUAAAUUGACCGUUCCGUUACACAAAACAUUAAUAAGUCUAUUAAAUAUUGAUGUGUCAAACAUGAACCCAUUUUAAUGACAUGGACUUUCAGGUGGACAUACAAAUAAUAAACAAAUUUCUAGUUUAAAAAAAAAAAUUUAAUCAUAUAAAUUUUCGGCUCUGAACCUCGUCUUCUCCUUAUUCGCACCCAAAAAAACCCUAAAUUCCACCUCCGUCGUCUUCUUCUUCUUCUUCCUCCUGGGGUUACCGUUACCCAAUAAUCCCGGCCCUCCAAUCUCACACUCAAUAGCAAUGAAGCGUGACCUACCCGAGCUCGAUAAGCAACUCUGCGGCGUCUGCGGCUCUACAGAGCGGUGGUUCCUCCACUACGUCCGCCACAGAGGAAUUUAUCGUAAGCUCUGCACCAACUGCGUCCUCAAGAACAACCCAGGCCUCUUCUGCCUUAUCUGCCUCGACUUCUAUGAGCAACCCCCUUCCAGUACGUAACCAGGUCAUGUGCGUCAGGUGCCCUUCCAUCUCUCACUCUGCAUGCGUCGCAGCUAAUUCCUCCUUCCGCAACUUCCAGUGCCCUCCCUGCUCCCAACCCACAUUCUCCUUCUUUAACCUCAGCCGCCAAAACGACUGCCAAGAAGCCAAAACAACAAUCGUGAUCGACAAGGACGCAGCCAAGGCCAUCUUCGCCGCGGCCAGGAUCGCAGCGGCUGUGAUGACUGAAGCUGCCGUCGUCGCCAGGGGCACGGCCGAGAGCCAGGUCAAUGACGCCAUCACGGCGAAAAAGAAGGCCAGAGAGGCCUUGGAACGACUCACGUCUCUUGUCAACAUGGAAAAGGAGAAGGAUUUGAAGAGUGGAGAUUUUGUUUCGGCGCCUGAGAGCCUCAACGUGAAACCUAAAUUGGAGGGUCCUGGUGCAAUUCAAGUGGCGUCCAAGAGUUCUGACCCUGAGGGAACCAAUGGGUUGCCUGGUGAUCAGUUGAAAACCAGUCGUGCUGAUCCUAUGGAAGAAGACUGAUUUCAGAUCAAGGAAGGAGCUUGAGCUUGAUGGGUUCAUGGGUUCAUAGGUUAAGUUUCUUUUCAUUAUUUGAUGAUGCUCAGCCUAUGCUAUUUAGCUUCAACUUGAGCUUCUACACAGCCUUCUGGCACACUUGAGUCUCGUUCUUUUCAUUAAUUUUUUAAAACUAUUUUUAAGAAGUACAGAAGUUUUUAUUAUUUAAUUUGGUUUUAAGCUUGAACCAUAUAUUAUUGGUUCGGUUUUAAGCUUUUGUAAACAGGUCGGAUUGUUGAAUUGUAACUUGUUAGUUAUUGAAAUUUGAAGUUUCAUGAAAUGUUGAGUUUUAAAAUGGUCUGAUACACUAGAAAAUGGAAAAAAAAAAGUAUGUAGAAAGUUGAGGAUCGGCUAAUGCUAACAAAUAAACCUGCAAUUGAUUAUUUUCACUAAUUUCAAAUUCGUUUUGGGUUCAAUAGUCUAAUUUAAAACAUGCCCCAACCUCAAGUUACCCAUUUGCUUGGCCUAAUGGUCAAACAAGCUCCAACGUUACCCAAUAUAAAUUUUACACGUGUUAGGCUCAAAAAACAUCACACAUGCAUGAAGAGGUAUGUUGUGGUAUGUAAUAGAAACAUAUAGGAGGCAAUUGAGGGUGCAAACAUACCUCCUCUCUUAUUUAUGCUAACUAAACAAAACGCACCAAAUCAUAUAUAGCAACAACAAAAAAGCUAAUAAAUAAUAUAAGUAUUAAAUCGUCUCCUUUACUUCUCUCUUCCAGUGUUAAAUUUUGGUCCUUUAACAUGAGAUAAAAGAGAGCAAAGGUGAAGCAAGGAUGACUUCCCAUAAGAUGUUCGAUAGAAUAAUACCAAAUUCUCGCAAGUCAUCCUCGGCUCAUUUCUACUCUCAAUACUCUCAGACAAAUGGAACACUUAAUGAUUAAAAGCUCAUGAAACGUCAGAAAUGAAAAAGAAUCAAGCAAAUGGGAUGUUGUGCAGAUAAGCCUCAUUAUAAGGCGCCUACUAGGGGUGUUUUUCGGCCGGAACGGAUCGGAAACCACUGUUCCGAAUUCCGUUCCGAAGCUUUUCGGAAUUACCUUUUAGUUCCGAGUCCGAUUCCGAAAUUUCGGAAUGUACUAACUCUAUUCCGAUGCGGAAUUUUCGGCAUUAUCGGAAUUUUCGGAAGUUAAUAUUUUCGGAAUUUUCGGAUAAUAGUUUCGGCAUUUUCGGAUAAUAAUUUUGGAAAUCAAAUUUUGAAAUGUUCUUGUGAAUCAUGAUUAAGCCAACCAAACAGGAAAAAAAAUUCCAGAAGAAUUCCAAUGUUUACAUUCAAAUGACAUAAUGUUCAAAUUUAAACUAGUCCACAAUAAAAACAGAAAAUGAAAACUACAAGUACAAGAUCCAUAAUACAUACAAAAUCAACUCAUCACUGGAAAUAAGCUAACAUCAUUUUUCGCAACACCAUUGCUGAAAUCACGAAUAUGCCAACCUGCAAUUCCAAGGUUACAGCUAAUUACUCACUCGUUUUGAGGAUAUAUAUAAUCUGAACUGUUAUGCAAAAGAGUUAUGAACAGUCAGAUGCUAUGAACUGUUAUGCAUGCUUCGGUAGACAACAUGGGUACAUGAAGAGAAAAGUGGAAGGAACAUAAGAGUGCUAGUUCUACUCAGAAAAUGCCUAUCCUUAAACCUUUGAUUGUACAUGAGUGAUACAAGCUAUAUCUGCUACAGGAUAUGAAAAAUGUCUAUGGAAUGGAAGGAAUGGAAGUCAGCAACAAAGAAAUUAGCUGCGAGUCAUGACCUAAAAUCAAGAAUAUCAAAGCAUAUAGAUCUCUUGGUGUAAUUAUUAACUAGAAGUAUCAUACAUUCAUGUGUGAUGGGAAGUUCUAUGAUGUUAGUUAAAAAGGGGUAAUGUUACAGUAAUAGUAUUUAUUUGAACAAAAAUCAACACUCACCUCUCUAAAUUAAAAAGUACACCAUCUCCAAUUCCUUGAAAUAAUUUGUCAAUAAAAGAAGCUGCAAAACAAAAUAUAUACAAUGUUCCAUCAUCAAACAUGAUAAAAGAAAGAAAACUAUACUAAAUGUAUAGAAUGUGAAUGUUCCAUCAUCAAGCUCAACUAAAUUUAGUUAGCCUAGAUAAACAGAAUGCUCUAUCAGCAAGAACAAUCACACAUUAUUAGAGCCACGACACUAUUCCAGAACAAUCAAACAAGAGCACAUUAUACUAGAUAAGAAUUGCACAGUACCAAUACCCCAAUAUCAUUCCAGAGGAAUCCAAGAAAAAAAAAAUCUGCAUAUUUAUACAAAACUAAACUAAAGAACUCCAUACCUUCAUAUUCAGUUCCAUUCAUUGACGUGACAGAUUUUCCAACUCUUGGCUUACAACUGCAACAAGCAUAAAAUCUAUACUAUAAUUAUAAAAAAAAAAAAAAAAGCAAUUUAAGAGCUGUAAAUAAUUUAAAGACAGAUGUUACAUACCAAUUUCAAUUUCCUCAAGCUCUUCAAGUUGUUCUUCAACAUUCUCACACUCUAGUUUGGAACAUCUUAACCAAUCUUGGGUACACACCAAAGCCUCGACGAUAUUUGGUGUUAAGGAACUUCGAAAUGGGUCAAGAACUCUUCCAGCUGUACUAAAAGCAGAUUCUGAAGCAACAGAUAUCACUGGAAUUGAUAAAAUAUCUCGUGCCAUUAUCGCAAGUGCAUGGUAGGUUGCAUACUUCCCUUUCCACCAAACCAAUACAUCAAAGUUUGGAGAUUCAUCCUCAAUUCCAUCACUCAAGUAUUUGUCCAGAUCAUUAUUAGCAUCUGCAUGCUCCUUUCUUUUCAAUUUACUCCUAAACAUCUCCUUCUUGGAUCGAUUCCCACCUUGAUUAGCCACAACACUCUCUGAAUUUGCAGAUUGAUCAUCUAAAGAUGUAGCUUCUGACUUAUAAUGAAGAUAAAGACGUGACAUCAUACUUUUGAAUCUUUCAACCCAAUCCUCAACUUUUUUAUCUUUUUCAUCCUCACUUAGAAGAAUAUCACUAUCCAAGUAACUUCUAUACCAAAACGUCACAUAAUCCAAUUUAUAUCUAGGGUCUAGCACAAUAGAAGCAAUCAAAAUUGGAUUCAAAGCAUCAAUGUUACAAUAUUUUUCAAAUUUUUCAUUCAUUUUCUUAGCCAUGGAACUAAGAAAAACAUCAUUGCUGCCCAUUUGUUGCAAGAGCAUAUCCUUGGUUUGUGUCACCUCAUCAAAGUAAGUGUUAGAGGUGAUGUAAUGAGAACCAGAUAUACGCUUUGUUAGAAGAUAAAAAUCUUCCAAAAACGUAUGCAAACUUCGCAAUUUUCUCCAAUCAUCUUCAUUUAUGGGACCCCUCUCAUGACAGCUACUUCCACCUUUUUUUUUCUUCAAACCCAACUCACUUCCAUCUUCUUUAUUUUUUUUCAGUUCACAUUCACUUCUAUAGAAUGGAUCAUGCUCCAAAAGCCUAUCAAAUACUUUCUCAAACUCCAUUGCUGCAUUUAUCAUCAAAUAUGUUGAAUUCCAUCUUGUUUUAACAUCUAAACACACAACCUUCUUGCAAGUUACACUCUCCUCUCC
rnacentral:lncRNA from 1 species